rnacentral:lncRNA from 1 species
UUUUUUUUUUUUUUUUUUUUUUGAGUUCAAUCCACCAAGUGUGAACCAUAGGUUGCAAGUGUUCCUAAGGAACAAUUUAAACCUGUUAAACAACUGAUUCCUGUAAGGCUAAUGCUUCCAGGCUUGGGGUCUGGCUUUGACUUCAAUAAUCACAGGCUUACCUACUCGAAGCUCAAAUUACAAUAAUGUAUGUCAGAACAUGUUAAUUAGCAUACUGCCAUCAUUGUGUUCAAUUCAAAGCUUCUUUUUAGUACUGGAUAAACCUAUCAACGAUCAUUUUUUCUUUUGAUGAUUUGCUGAAUUAUUUUAGUUGAAAUGAUGAUUUUAGGGAAGUUUGCUCUGCCUAAUUAUUGAUGAUACAGUUCUCUUCUAUGUAUCCUGUCAGGCAUUAGACCUUGGGAGAGGUGCGAAUCCAGGAAGAUAUAUUGUUGAAGAGAUCUGGGAAGAGCUUGCUAAAGCAAAGUACAUGGAGUGGGAGCAUGAAUCUACAAUGCGCUCCUGGGAGCUUCAGAACUUGAAGUAAUGGCUCUUCUAAUGUUGCUUAUAAAUUUCUGUUACUUUUGUUGGAUUGUUAUACCAACUACAUAGGUUGUCUCCCCAUAAUUUUUCUUGUGUAUGCGCCUCAGAGAAUCCUGUGAGUCAGCUCUCAAGGAGACCCAUAUGCUUGACAGUUCUCAGACAGAAGGGCUCAAAGAUGAAAACUCAACAGCGCUUUUGAAGCAACUGGAAGCUCUAGGUGAGGUUUUCAUGAAAGCUGCAGCAGAUGAUAUUCCAACUGAGGUGAGCAUUCAAGCAUUUAUCAUGUUAGUCAAUUCUCCCUUUUGUAAGCAAGUAUGUUGUAUUAACCUUUGACACUUAACAAAAUUCCUAGGUUCCUGAUUACUUGUGUUGUAAAAUUACUCUUGAUAUUUUUCGUGACCCUGUAAUUACUCCGAGUGGGUUUACAUAUGAGCGGGCUGUGAUCCUUGAGCAUUUGCAAAAGGUAAAUUUGUUUCUCCUCCCUCAUUUCAUCUUUGUUUUCCAUUGGAUUUGUUAAUUUAUGUUCCUUAUCCUGUGCUUGGCAAUUUAGGUGGGCAAAUUUGAUCCAAUCACAAGAGAACAACUUUUGCCGUCCCAGUUGGUGCCAAACCUGGCCAUAAAAGAAUCUGUGCGGGCAUUUUUGGAUAGGCAUGGCUGGGCAUACAGGAUACAGUAAAUUUUUCGUUGGGCAUACAGGACACAUGUCCUUGGUGGUGCUAGUGAAACCAAGAGCCAGAGGGGCGGGAGGACGCAUCUUUUGGUGGUAGUCAUCUGGCUAACUGCUUCCAAUAUGAUUCAAUAUUAACAUGGUUUCCUGUGUAAUUCAUGUUAACCUCAGUUGUACAGUGUAGUGCUUUUGUACAUUAAUUGUACAGCAAACCAUCGCGAGUUUUUUGUAAGAUGUUACAGUGAUAUACUGUUGAUCAAAUGAAACAAUAGUUUUUUGAUAAAGCUAGCUUUUGUGUGAAGAAUUUGAAAAACUUAAACUAGCUUCUGACUUAAUUUUGCAACAUGUUCACCAUCAAUAUAGGCACAAAGGGGGAGAGAUAAAGCUACACUCUAUACCCCAAUGACCAAGAAUGAAUUGGAUGGAGAUAGGGAUGGCAAUGGGGCGGUGUGGGUUGAGCUUAAUCCGCUAAAUUUUUAAUCCACCCCGCCCUGCAUUACAACUCUUUUCAUUUUCAACCUGCCCCGCAUAAUUUUUUUAAUAUUUUCUUUUUCUAGUUAUGUUUGAUACUACAAAUAAAAUUCAUAAAAAUAAAUUCAUUUUUUCAUUAAGUUGUAUUAAUUUAAUAGGAUAAUGACUUAAAAUUUUGUUUUUUAGAGGUCAAUUGGGAAAUAUGUAAGAAAUUGUAUUCUUUUUUAUUGAACCAUUUUUAUUUAUUAUCUUGAAUAUUUUAGUAGCUUUAAUGAAAUUAUCUUAAUAAAUAAUGCUCUAUCACUCUUAUAACAUGUAAAAAGUUAAAAUUAAGUUUGAAUCCAAAUAAAAUCACAUAUACCCGCAACCCAUCCCUCCCCACAUUAAUUUUUAAAAAACCCACUCCAACCCGACUCGCACCACACAACCUUAAACCUGCCCCGCCCCACAUAGCCUUAAACCCGCCCCGCCCCAUUGCCAUCCCUAGAUGGAGAAUCAUGAGGCCUCUCACGUUCAAAUUCUAAUGGAGGCAAAAAUAUUAAGUGAUUUCUUCUCACAUGUCUUAGGCUUGAUGGAUAGGGUUACUCAAUACUUGUACUGGAAGGUAGUAGGUUCCCCUUAAAAUUUUCGAGGUGCAUGCAGUUUGGCUCCGUACACCACUGAUGUAAAAAAAACAAUUACUCCCUGACAUUUUGUGUCUGUUAUUAACUCAAUUCCAGCAGUUAACCCUUUCCACAUUGAUUCCAAUUUACUCUGAAAACAAAGUCUCAACUCAAUGUCCGGCGUAUCUCAUUUUACUUAGACAAUUCACUAUCCAUGAGUAGUCCCUCUACGCUUAGGACAUCAAAAUAUCGAAUCAUGAAUGAAUAAAGAAAGAAAGGCAUGAGAGAAAAGAAUUGGCUAGUGAUUGUGAGACCUCAAUUCUUAACAUGACAAGAAAGGAAUUGAUUUUUUUUCUUUUAAAAAAAAUGAUUUUUUUUAAUCUGUAAGCAUAAAUUGAUGCAACAAUAAAUAAAAUUAAAGAAACAACACGUUGACAAGUGGCACUUUUAUUCUACUUUUGCCACAUGCAAGGAAGUAUCCACCAACAAAUAAAUAAAUUAAGAAACAAUAUUUAUAUCUUGAACAGAAGCAAUACAGCUAUCUCUAUACAAAUUGUGAAAGGGUAAAAACUUGUAGGUACUGAGUUUUCACACCAAAUCAACAAAACUACUCGUGAUCAAGUUAUAUAAUGAAGUGGAAAAACAGUAUAUUCAAAUACAAUAUACAUAUAUUAAUUCGAUAAAAGCAUUCGAUCCAAGUAAUUUUUUAUCGAAAAGAGUGCAACUUGUAAAUAAAUAAACAAAAAAUAAAGCAUCAUAAAGUCCUUACACUUUGACCCUUUACGUAACCCAACCCUUCAAAAAAGAAAUAGAGGCUAUAACAACUUUAGUAAGGGCACUUUGAGCUUCUACAAAUACCCUAAAGUCAAGCCUGCAAAGAACAAACAAAUCUUCUUGAAAGGCCAAAAUAUAUUAAAAUAAAUAUUAUUGCCCUAUCGGAUCUCUUGAAAAACACAUUAUCCAUUCAACAACCUUAUUUUAUAUAUAUAUAUAUAUUAAAUAUUUCCUCCAACUCAGUCUUAUUAAAUACUGUACUGAUAUAGGCCACUUGUCCUCAAUAUUAACUUUUUAAAAAUCAUUCAAUGUCCAAAUGUCCAAACUUUACUUAUUUGAUCAAUUAAGAUUUGUCAGAUUAACGACAAUUUUAUUAUUUGAAAAAUGGCAAUAUGAAUGAAUCUGAAUUUUAAAGCAACGAGUACUAAACUAGUUGAGGAUAUUAUUUUUCAUAGAGAGAACACCCGACGAAAAUUAUUAAUUUUGUCAUCGAACUAUUGACAGUUUUAAACUACAUGAUACAGCGAUGGUUUCAAACUCUUGUAGAAGCAUGAAACUCUUAAUAAAAAAUUAAGAAAAGUGCUGAAAAAAACUCCUAAACUUGGCGAGAGUUUAGGGAUGUAUUUCACUCAUAUUGCAAUAUCGAAAGUGUAUUUAAGUUCAGUUAGUCAAAUAGAAGGUGUUUCUAAAAUUAUCAAUAAUUAGAAGAUGAAACUAAUAGUUCGCACCAAAUUUAGAGGUAUUCAAUACUUCUCUCUUUCAUAUAUUAUGUAGACAAGUGUAUUUUUCUAAUGUAUAAUAUGUUCCAACAAAUACUGCGUCGUCAACCCGUCGAUAUCGUAUUUUUAAUCAGCCGCCCGAAUUUUGAAACUGGAUUUUCCAUGUUGUCAACGACGCUGCCUGCUCUGACCACUGAAUUUAUCUUGUAAAAAAUGCUCCUUGCCCAUAUCUAUGGCACGUGAAAUCUUAACUAGGCUAUGUAUGCACACAAUAUGCAUUCGUCGCGUUACACAUUGCAAAUAAACAAUCACAAUUCACAAAUCAAUAAUAAUAACAUGUUCAGUAUAUAUAGGAGACGAACUGAUUGGCUUUUCAAUUGUUACAUUCAUAUUUUCAUUCAAUCAAAUACAAAUAUAAGUACUUGUAAUAUGAAUGAAACAGAAAAAUAAAUAAAUGGAUCUAUUACUUUAUUUCAAAAUUUGAUUAAUUAUUGUUAUCUGUCGUCUAAUCAUCUAGUACGAGUUGUCGCGGGAAACAACAGGCAGUUGUUCACGGCGGUAGUGUUAAACCCGACGGUCCGGCAUUUUACCGCAUUAGUCUCCUUUGACGGUGACAACCACGCCGGCGAGUUCGCCGUCGGUAUGAUGUUUGUUGUUCUUUUGUACGAACUGAACCAUUUGUUCUGCAUGAACCGGUGUUUCCUCCAUGGCGGAAACGUGAGGCCUCUGCUUUUCAACGAUCGUCUCGCCGCAUCGCUCAUUGCUCUUAAAAUCUGCUUUAGUUCUUCACUUUUGCCAACGAAAAUAUUUGGUAAUGACUGUAAUAACCGUUCGUACUGAAUCGUCGGCCUCACGAUCUCGAACUCUGCUUUAAAAUCGAGAUCGAUGAAGUAGCGAGUAGUGAUCCGAUUGGCGGAAUCCGAUUUCGUUAUGUCAAUAAACUCAUAAUUUCCGGCAGAAAGUCCGCCGGAACUCUCCCAUUUCGUCUUACAAACCGCCGCAUUGUAACCGAAAUUCCUCAGGUAUGCCAUUACAUUCCUCUGGAGCAUCGAUUUAUUCGAUUUAAAGCACGAAAACACUUCCAAUCCCUUCGCAACGCAAGAUACAAUCACAUUACGAUACAAAUCGAGCUCGCUGCAGAAAACAGGGCUCGGCAUUAUCUCAAUCCUGUCAAUUGAAUCACACAUUGAUACAUCAAGCUCAGAAUCUGAAUCGUUCUCCGGAAUUUCAUCUCCGGCAUUAUUUUCCAAAUCACCGAAAACGAGAUCGGAGAAACUAGGAGAAGCAACAUCAUCAUCAUCGGCAUGAGCACUGUGUUCACUGCCGCUGCUGCCAACAAUCCGAGCCUUCAUUUUUUCGUCUAACGGGUCAGUAACUCUCUUCAUUCUGCUAAAACCAGACAUUUUUUUCUCCCUUCAAUUUUUAGUAAACCACAAUUAAUUCGUUGUGCUUAUUAAAAGAGCUAUUUGACACGAGAAUAUUCGAAUAAAAACUAGAAUUCGAAACAGAAAAAAAAAAUGUGGAGUGAGUAAUGCUUUUAUAAGUUUUUGAAAACAACAGAAUGAGUCAUUGAUAAAAAAGGAUAUACUUAGGAAAAUUCUGGUAAUUAAUUGAAUGGCUUAAUUAGAUAGAUAAGUGUAGGGGCAUAGGGGGUACAUAUGACUCUUCAGAAAAUCGAAAAGGUAAAUACUAAAAAAUAAUUAUUGGCUGCAUGGAAUUGGAUUAAGAUGGGAAAACGUGUUUUUGGGAGCUUCUAUUUUAAACUAAUCAAAAAUAACUAUCGCGAUUUUAAGUUAAUAUAUAUAUGAUUUGGAACAAAGAGCUGUGUACCAUGAACAAUAUGGAUAAGAUCAUAACAAAAAUGUCAAAUAAGCUAAGAAUUCAAAGUUUCUCUCCGUCCUCUAAAAUCGAAGAUUUGAAAUAUUGGCAAUGUCACGACUAGUGAUAUAUUAUGGUAUAUGGCUGGUUUAAUUUAUACUCCUAUUGAAGGAUAGUUGUUAUGACUUGGGUUACAAGAAAGUGAGCUGUAGAAAAUCUUGAGCUAAUUUUGGAAAUACAUUUGCCUUUUGUCCUUAGAAUAUAAAACUACAAAACUGACUCUGUAUACACAUUGAUUAUGCAUUAAAGCAGCCAUGGAUUCGAUAGUCGAUGCCAAACUUUGCGGCCAAGCAAGAUUGUAUAGUUGCCACAUAAGCAUUAGGUCAUUUUUUAAAAAAAACUUUUUCGAUUUAAGUUGAAUAUGUAAUUGUCUUUGUUAGAGAGUACAUAGAACUUUGAAUUUAAUCGGAUCCAAUACCUGAAUUGGAUGGGAAAUUAAAGAAGGGUCAAUUUUUUGUUCUUUUGCAUUAGGUCCAAGUAUUGCCUUUUUUGAAAUGAUUUUAAAUUGGCCAUGGGACAAAUUAAAUACCUAAUAAGUGAAAAUUAUACCUUCAAUUCAUAAAUCUCUCUACCUAAUUGUCCAACUGUUCUCACUUUAUUUGUUUCCAAAUAAACGUCAUAGAGGCCUAUUUAGAGCAUGUUUGAAUGAGCUUAUAGCUUUUGACUUACAAGUUAAUCUCCAUAAGUUAGUAAUUUUAACUUAUGACUUUCGAUUUAUUUGGCUUUAAACAAGUGUUUAAAAGGAUUUUAAAGGAAAGUAUUUAAAAACUACUUUCAUUUAAAAUAUUUAAAACAAGUCAAUCUAAACAAACUCUUAGCCUUUUCGUUGUGUACUUUUAAGUUUUCAUUAACACGCUAAUGCUAUGGAUGUGCUGACUGCUUUUAAUCGCUCUAUCACUUCAUGCAUGUACCAUGAUUCCAAUUUCCAAAUUGAACCUCUUUGGAUUAGCUAAAUUAAGUAUUUUAUCAGUCCUAAUUUAUGUGACAUAUUUUUUCUUUUGUGUCUGUCUAAAACAAUGUCAUCUUUUCAUAAUACUCCCUCCGUCCAACAAUAGUUGUCCUCUAUAUUAUUUUGGUAUGUCCAAUAAUACUUGUUCAUUUUAUGAAAUCAAUGGAUAAUUUUUACAUUUAGUUUCUAAUUUACCCUUAUCAUUAAUUAUAGUUAUUCCUCUAUUCUAUUUUUCAAGACAUUAUAUUUAUUAUAUUCAAAGAGUAAUAUAGUAAAAUUACCCUUAUAUUUAUAGUUUCUUAAGAAGUGUGCAAAAUUAAUAAUAGCCAAGUAUUGUUGAACAGAAGUAGUAAUAAGACGAACAUGAUAGACUAUAGGCAACAAUUUUAUAAUUUUAUAUUUAAUAUCAUUACCCGUAAGCUUCCCUUCAUUUUUCUCAUUUUUAUUGAAGAAUAAUAUGCAAACACAUAAAAUAAUAGAGGAGAAUUGUGAAUAACUGAAUUAAUUCUAUUUCUAGAAAUUGACUUUGCAGAUUACAGAAACCUCAAAUACAACAAUAUGAAAACAUAAACUAAGCUGGGCCAACUAGCAUGGUCCAUUGGGCCGAAUUUUCUCAAUUCUACAGCCCAUUUCAUUCGAAGCCAAUUAAGUAGGCUGCAUAAUUCUGAUCGAGUCAUUUAACCUCAGCACAUUGUCAUUUUAAGAGCCUGUUUGACAUUACUAUUAAAAAUAACUUAUUUUUAGAAGCACUUUUAAAAAAUAUUUUUGGAAAAAAAUAAUUCGUAUUUGGUAAAUUUAUUUGAAAAGUGAUUUUCAUAAGCAAAUUGUGUUUAACUAAUUUUUUUUUAAAAAGUGCACUUAAGAGUCAAAUUACAAAAAAGGGCAACUAUUAAGUACUUCUAAUAUUAAAAAUAUUAUAUAGAGAGAAACUAUUUUAAAUAUCUAUUAUAAAAAAGAUAAUUAAAUUUUAUUUUUUUUAAAAUUAAAAUUUACAUAUUUAAAUUUUAAAUCAAUAUUAUAUCUUUUUUGGGAGGCUGAAAUCUUUAAUUGUUAUUUUUUUCUUCUUUUUUCUAAUUUUGAAAAAAAUAUUGUUGUUACUUUUUUUCUAAUUAUACAAACGUAAAGUAAAUUAUAAAAUUCAUUAUAUAAAAUAAAAAAUAAAAUUCUUAAAUGAAAUUUAACCAUAUUUAUGAAAUAUGCUAAUUUAUUAAUAAGAAAUGUAUUGAUAAAUAUGUAAUUAUGUAUAUAUGAAAAGAAUAUUUAGUCUUGAGAAAAAUAUUUCUUGUUUCUGCUUUUUUUUUAAAACAUAAAUUUUUAGCUUCCUACCAACCGCAGAAAAACUGUUUCUGCUUCCAUUUAAAAAUACUUUUACUGAUUUACCAAACACUUAAUUUUUUGGGAAAAUUACGCGGUGAAGCAAACUUAUACUACUUAAUUACUCAUCAUAGCUAUAGUUUGCUAUAAUUACCACUCACGACUAACAUUAUACAUUAAUUACGCGGGCUGACUUCGAGUUUGUAUAAUUUGCCACGUUUGUAUAUGUAUAACUCGCCAGAAUAUAAAAAUUCAUAUGUAUAAUAUACAAUUAUCUAACCUUUAUACAUAUACAAUUAAACCUCUCUCCCACUCUCUGCCCUCUCUCGCUCGCCUCUCUCCUCCCUCUCCCAAUCUUGCUUACCAUAUAUACAAAUGCAUAUGUAUAAUAUACAAUUAUCUAACCUUUAUACUAUAUACAAUUAACUCUCUCCCACUCUCUGCCCUCGCUCGCUCGCCUCUCUCCUUCCUCUCCCAAUCUCGCUCACCUCUCUCCCCCCUAUCCCAAUCUCGCUUGCCAUAUAUACAAAUACAUAUGUAUAAUAUACAAUUAUCUAACCUAUAUACAUAUACAAUUCACCUUUCUCCCACUCUUUGCCCCCUCUCUCUCGCCUCUCUCCUCUCUCUCCCAGUCUCGCUCACCUCUCUCCUCCAUAUAACAUGUAGCUACGAAUUGUAAUUAUCAAACUAUAGCUAUGGAGAGUAAUUAGGCUAUUUUUGAGUGGCUAUAUGUGAAAGUUCCCCUAAUUUUUUCUAAAAAUAAGUGUUUUUGCCCUCCCAACAACAAUGUCAAACAAGCUCUAAGGCAUGAAAAAUUAAAAUUGCACCGAUGGCCACUUUGAGAACCCCUACUUAAAGUAUAGUUAAAAUUCACAAUUUUUUAUAAGUUUAGGGCUUAUUAAUUAUUUUUUUCGUCUCAAUUUAUGUGAUACGGUUCUAAUUUGAAGAAUCAAACUUUAAAAUAUUGAUGGUAAAUUUGGACUUUGAACUUUCAUGUUUUCUGAAGUAAAAUUUACAUAAAAAGUAUAAGUCACUGUAAUUUCUCAUUCAAAAUAUUUAAAGACAUGAAAAAAUGCGUAAAUCUAUUUGACUCUUGAAAUUUGAAAUAUGACACAUGAAUUAGGUGAGUGUUCAUUACAACAAAAACAUCUUUUAGUGGCAAUAAGUAUACACAGUAACAAAGAGUGUUAAAACGUUUAUCAGCAUUAGUUAAUUGACAUUAAAUCCAAUGUCGCUAAAGACUUUAGUGACAUAUACAGAGAGUGCUAAUUGUCGCUAAAAGUACAUAUUUAGUAACAAUUAAGCUAUUGCUGUUAAUAAAUUGCCGCUAAAGAUCAUUUUUAAUGUGAUGAUUAUUUUGAAUAAAAUAAUCCAAAGCAGCCAAGAUAUUUAAUUAUCCACCAACACACCCCUACUCAAAGUUGUUAAUCUUGUCAUCAUCAUUAGAAUUAAAAAGGCUUAAUUGUGAUUGCAUGUACAUGACAAGGCAUAGACCCAACAUUUUAUGACACAUACUAUAUUAUAAAAAUAAGUUUGUGUCAAUAUGUCACUGUAGAGACCAUCAAUCAACAUUGUCUAAUUUUUUACUUCUCAUGCUUCUUUUGUUGGUAGACAAUGGUUACACUUGAUUUAAUUACACAUUAUUUUUUUAUUUGCUUUUCAAUCACACACAUACCUAUUUUUUAGUUUAAUUAUUUUUGUUUUUUGGUGUGUCUCUUUCUAUUUGUUUAUGUUUAUAUGAGUAGCAAUUAGGUUACUUAGAGACUAGGGUAAUAAAUUGACACAAUUCAUACUUUCAUUAGUCGUGUUUUGGUCAUAUGAAUUCACAGGUAGAAUUACAUUACAAUAUUUUAGAAUCUUAUCCAUAAAAUUUAAAAUAUUAUGUUAAAGACUAGUAAAAAAAUUUAAUAUAGAAGCUGAAAUUGUUAUACUAAAACAAAAAAUCAUUAAUAUGGCAUAUAUAUGCUAUCAUGAUUAGAUGUGUCAAAUUGCAAGAUAUUCUCCUUACAAUGUUUGAAGUCUACCCGUUACGGAUAGCUGAGUUAGUGCGCAAUAGAUAAUAUUUCAUUAUGAAAGUUAAGGAUCGAUUCGUCUUGUCAACACCUUUUUAGUUGAGUUUGUCAACCAAACUUGUGAAAUACGAUAUACAUAUCUCAUAUAAAUUGCGAGCUAUUGCACAUAAGCGAAUUUACCUAAUGCACGAAAGAUAGGAACUACGGGCUGGUUUUCUUUGAAUUCCAAAUUCUUAUUUCUUUAAUAAAGAAACGGUUUCCUUAGUUGUAAAGUUGUAUAAAAAAAGUUUCUUUAACUAAAUACCGAUGGUUGUUGAAGAUGUUCAAUAAUAAAUCGUGCAUAAAAAAUAUAUACACCGUCAAAUAAAUAAGAAUGGUCAAAUACUCCCAUUGUUUCCCAACGAAACUCAUACAUAUAAGUGUAUAACAAAAACUACACAUAAGUUUUUUUAAACCCCCCCCCCCCCCCAAAAAAAAANNNNNNNNNNNNNNNNNNNNNNNNNNNNNNNNNNNNNNNNNNNNNNNNNNNNNNNNNNNNNNNNNNNNNNNNNNNNNNNNNNNNNNNNNNNNNNNNNNNNNNNNNNNNNNNNNNNNNNNNNNNNNNNNNNNNNNNNNNNNNNNNNNNNNNNNNNNNNNNNNNNNNNNNNNNNNNNNNNNNNNNNNNNNNNNNNNNNNNNNNNNNNNNNNNNNNNNNNNNNNNNNNNNNNNNNNNNNNNNNNNNNNNNNNNNNNNNNNNNNNNNNNNNNUCCCCCCCUACCCCCUGGGGUGGGCGGGGGAGGAAAACCCCCCCCCCCCCCCAAAAAAAAAAAAUGUCCUUCUGAAGCACGUCGAUGGAGCUGUGCCUACUUGAAACUCUCUCUUUUAUAAUAAGAGAAAAUUAGUUAAAUUAAAGUAGAACAGAAUUUUUAUUUUAUUUUUCAAAAAUACCCUUGCUGAAGCAGACACAUUGAUGAAGACGUAUCUGCUUCAACUUGAAACUUUCUCUUGUAUAAUAAAAGGAAUAUAAUAAAGGAGACCUACAAGCCUGCACCAUGAUGAUCCUAAUAGUGUUUAAAAUUAUCCCAUUUUAACCAUCACAUUGAUAAUAAAUCGCUGGUACAUUGCUGUAAAAACUUGGACAUGAAUUGUUUGGCAAUGUAUUUGUGUUGGUCAAAGGCAAUGACUAAGGCUAUAAAUGAGAAAAAUAAUACUGCAAGAAAAAGGCUACGAAAUAGUAGGUGAGACGAGAUAUCCAAUGACAUAAAUGUAUUUGUGCCAAAAUAGAUAUAGUCAAAUAUUGCUAAAACCAAAUGCCUAAUAAAUACUGGGAAAAAAAGAUGCCUGAUAAAUACUCCUCCCUUUACUUUCACUCAUUUAUCAUAUAAAAAAUCAAUGUUCAUUUUUAUUUAUUCAAUUUCAAAAAUCAAGUAAUAAUUUAUUAUUCUAUACGUAUUUUAUCUUUAUUAUUGAAAAUUUCAAAGAAUUGUUAGUUGGUUGCACGAUUUUGAGAGUCCCUUUAGACCACUUUACUUGUCAUAUUUUUUUAACAAACUAUGUGUUCGACUAUCAUACCUUAUUUAUUAUCUUUACUCAUACAAAAUAUAAUCUCUCUUUAAUCUCCCUUCAAUAAAUAAAAUGAUAAUCUAACCAAUCACAAUAUUGGAGUAUUACUUCCAAGAAUUAUAGCUAAACGGGAAGCAUGUUUUUUAAUCAUGUCUUAAUUUUUUGAAGUAACAAUUAUAUAUUUUUGACCAUCUAUUUAUAAUAAAGACUCAAAAAUAACAGGUACCUUCCUCAGAUCUCACUUAUUGAAUGUUACUGGAUAUGUACUAUAAUAAAGACGUCAAGUAAUGUGGUCCGGAGAAAAUAAUAGUCCAUUAAGAGUGAUAUAACAAAAAUAUUAUUUUAUUUUGUCAAUAAUAGCUCAAUUAUUGACCUUAAUUAGAGCAUCAAAGAGACUAGCAACACUUUAUAUAGUGUUAGAUCCUCCUACUGCAUAGCCAUGGAAGUUUCAAUGACCACUUAAUUAUCAGUAUUAAUAAUUACGUCGGUGACAUACCGUAUUUGAACAUUGACCAGAAAAAAAAAACCCAAAAAUUGAAAUUUCAUUUAUCCACGUUUUUAAUUUUCUAAGUAUUUAUUAUGUUCCCAACUUCUACAGAAUAAUAUUCUUAUUCGAUAAAUAUAUUUUUACCUACAUAGUUUAAUUAGUUAUAAUACUCUCUUUGUUCCUAAUUACUUGUCCACUUUUCAAUUGGCACACCUAUUAAGAAAACAAUAAUUGACAUAAUGAGUUUACCAUUUUACCCCUAUUAAUUAUAAAGUUAAUGAAUUAAAAACUAAAGAUUUUCAAGAAGUUCUACAUGUUAUAGUCAGGAUAAUCAAUUGGAAACUCUUCGUUGAAAAAUAAUACCAGCUAAUCAUUUUAUUUUUUAUUAAAAAAAAUAUUUACAAGGUGUUGUAGCCCAGAGGCUUUAGACGCCUUGAAAGAGCCAGCGCUUAGGAUAUGCUCACGUGUUCGAAUCUCUCACUAGCAUUUAUUUUUUUUGGACACCCUUCGUGAAAUUCCUGGUUCCGCCUGGACUAAUUUCAGAUUCACGUCAGGAAGUCACACAUUUGAAAUCAAAGCGCUUUCUAACAAAUGUAAUUUUAUAUCCAUGACUCGAAUAUGAGACUAGAGGCGAAUUCCAGAAUUUGAAGCUUAUAAAAAUGAGAUUCUAAUCCUUCAAAGUUAUUGAAUUCUAAAUUAUAAAUAUCGAAUUAGAACCAAAGUUAUCUAUGGCUAAACCCGAAAUUGAAAAGUCCAACACUACUACUUUCCUGUCUAAUACCUAUCAUCAAAGAUGAAUAAAACCUUAUGACCAGUUCACCACAAUCUUUAUUGAUUUCGAAACAAUACUAUCAAUGCAUCAUUCUCAUUGGAAAACGUGGUGUUAUUUGUGGUUGGUAUAGGAAGACAUAUAUAUUGAAUUAUGUAUAAUAGUUGCAUGAUUGAAUAUACAUAUAUUGGCAAAUAUGGCUGGCAUUGCGGCUGCAAUAUUUGAGACAUAACAGUGUCAAUUGUCAAUUUCCAACCCAUAUUCCCACUACUGCCCAAAAUAAAAAAGGGGUCUUACAAAUCAUUUGUUUUUGGACAAUAUAUAUUAUGUAUAUAUGUGACAAAAAUGUAUUAAUUCGAGGUUUCUUUAAUACUACGUGACAUCCUAUUCAAAGGGUCAUUUAUUUUUUUACGAUCUAAGAAUACAUCGUCUCAUUCUUAAAAUUCAAAUAUAGUUACAUAAAAUGAGAUGAAGAUAAUACGAAAUUUUUGUAGGAUAUUUUUCUUCUAUUCAAAUUGUGACUGGCUAUUCAUAUAUUUCAUCUUAUUCAUAGAAUCACAUACUCGUCUUAGGGAGAUUUGCUUUCGUAAUUGAUUAUAUCUUUUAUUUUAGGUAUAUGACAUUUUCACUAUAUAUUUUUAAAGAAUAAUUAUAAGUUGAUAUAGGAGAUUAUUUCAUCUUCACAAAAACAUGAAUGUGUUUGGUAUUUGUUUUCUUUUAUUAAUAAUGGUAAUUCAUAAAUUAUAUUGGAAGGGAUAUUUUUAUAUUAAAAUAAAAAACUUUAAAAGCGCAAAAUACUCAUGAUUCAGACAUACUGUCUUGAUGAACAAAAUAGGAGAUCUUGUCAUAAGAUAUGUGUCGAACGAUCCAGUCAUAUUAUAAUAAAUUUUAAAAGAAAUUAUAAGUUAUUUUAAAAUUUUCAACUAUUUUUUUUGUUUUUGUUUUAACCACAGCUAACUUUUAAAAAAUUAAAAAAAAUGAGAAAAAAAAUCAUAAAAUACAAAAUCAAACUCUCAUCAACUAGAUGAAAAUUCAGCUAAUCAAACAAUUAAGGUACUAAAAUUUCGUCAGUCACCAUCACAACUAACUAGUUUGGAGUUGAAAUAGAAUUUGAUAGAUUGACUCUUUCCUUAAAAUAUUGCACAACGUAAGCCACACUUCAAGGAAAUUAAUUAAACGUUUUUCAGCAGAGAUUAUAUUUGAAAUUUAAAGCAGAAUUAGUACAUCAAACGACCCCUUAGUGUUUUGAAACUUCUUACACCGUCACAUAAAAUUUAUUAGUAAUGAAUUUAUUAUAACGCCAGUUGGAAGAGAUGUGUGAAGAAUAUUUGAAUUGUAUUUCGAAGAAAUAGUAAUUAUAAAGUACUUCCUCUAUCCAUGUAAUUUGACUUGCUACAAUAUUACUAUCUCACUAUUAAUAGUAAAUUAUUUAAUUUUGAAAAUGAAUUAUUUUAUAAACAAGAGUAAGAUAGAUAAAAUUGAUAACUACAUUAUUUUUUGAACAUAACAUCCAGUGGCGGAUUCAUGAUUUUCAUUCAAGUGGUUCGGAAAAAAAAAGUAUAAACGUAUGAAUAAGCCAACAAAACACAAUUCCAAGGAAGUAUAUAGUUUAUGGAUACAAAAAGUUAGUUUCGUUACAAGAGACCAUUUAGCACGUUUGGAUUUUCUUUCGCGUUUGGAUUUUUUGGAGUUUAAAUCUACUCUUAAAAAAAGUGAAAGAUUGGUCUUGAAACUAAAUGAAGAGAAGCUAAAAAAAUAAAAUGUUCACAAAUCACGAUGGGAUUCGAACUCUGGACGAGAUGAUCUUGAAACUAAACGAAGAGAAGCUAAAAAAAUAAAAUGUUCACAAUGACAUUUGAACCUUGGACGAGAGGGUCAAUUUAUAAAGAGAUCUACCACUAUGCUACAUCUUGCUACUUGUUCGUGAGAGGUCAAAAUUAAUAUAUCUACAUAAAUAUAAAAAAAUUAUUUUAUAUAUACAAUAUAAUUUUUUACCGAGAGAGUUCGAAUAAACCCUGAAACCUAUAUGGAUCAGCCUCUAUUUUUAAUAUAGUGAACAAGUAAAAAGGUAGAUGGAUGGAGUAACUAUGAUUACUACUAUCAUAAUAUAAUUAUAUAGUACUAUAUAUUAUAAUUAAUGCUAACCCAACAUUUUCCGAUUUAAUCGGAGAAGUUGGAAUUAGCGCAAUGAUUGACCUGCCAAAAACAAGUUGUUUAGAAAAUAAUAAAUUUAUCUAUGUAACUUGUUUAGAUGGAUGUGUAGAUAUAUUAAGACAAUUAAAUUAGGAACAUAGUUACAUAACAACCUUCAUCGUAAAUAAAUUAGAAAAACGAAACUGAGAUACUUCAGAUAUACGUGAAGAGAAAAAGUUUAGAUGCAUCAAUAAGGAAGUGUACGAGAUUGAAUGUAGUAGAUUUUUAGAGAAGUAAACAUAACUAGGUCAUGAAAAAUUAGAAAAGACGAUCGGACAAAAUAUAACACAACUUAAAUUACUAAUAGAAGCAUAAUAGGUAGUCGCGCUCCUUAGUAUUAUUUCUCAGCAACAGAAAUAAGUUAUAAAUAUGAGACAAAAACUUUUCCUUUCCCUCAAUUUAAUUCCAUUUCUCCAAUUUCUUUCUCUCUUCUCCUUCUUCUUCUUCUUCUUCCUCCUUAAUUGAAUCUCAUUCUAUUGAAACUUUUUGUGUGUUAAUUUCUUCUUUCAUGGAUAAUGACUACUUCUCUAAUGGUGGAAUUCAACCACCAUUCCAUUUUGACCCCAAAAUUCCAUUAAACUCUCUACAUUCACCUCAAGAACAAAAUUCAGAUUACUUUCUAAACACCCAUUGGGACAAUAAUUCUACAGAUAAUCAAUACACCCAUUUUGAUUCAGUUUUGAGUUCGAUAGUUUCAUCUCCAGUACCGUCCAACUCAGUAAAUUCCAAUUCAUCACUCUGCGAAUUGAUUGGGAAAUUGGGUUCAAUUUGUUGUUCUCCUUCAACCCCAUUUACUAAUAACUGUGAUUCCACUAGAACUUCGUGUUAUACUACACCCAUGAACUCUCCUCCGAAAUUACAUAUACCCAUAAUGAACCAAAUUGGAAAAGAUAAAUUACCCAAUUUGGGGAAUUCAGUUCUUAUGAAUUCUCCCCCAUUUCCCUCUCUUUCAGCUGCUAAAUUCUCUGGUUUUGGUAGCCGUAGUUUUAAUGGCAGAACGAGUCAGUAUGAGCUGAAUAAUGAAGAAUCGCGGUAUGGAUCUGGUACUGGAGUUAUGGGGAGAGGAAAUUUGACUAGAAUAUCGAGUAGCCCUUCUGUUGUGCAAAACAAAAACUCAAGCCUAAUGAUGUGUGAGAGAUUGAAUUUGGGCAAAAUUUCAGGUCCUUAUGAAGAAUGUUCUGUUUCUGAGCAAGACCCAAGUGGUGAAAUAGGGUCAAAAACAAGAUAUGUAUUGAAUUCUAAGAAAAGAAAAGCAGUGAAAUCAAAGAAUUAUGUGCCAAUUGUAGAUGAAACUGGAAAAAAGAGAGCAAAAUCAACAGAAGGUAAUGGGAGCAACAAUGGAACUGUUAAAAUGGAGGAACAAAAGGGCAGUGAAGAUGAUGGAGCUGAGAAAGAAGCAAAGGAAAACCGAAAGAUUGCGGAGCCACAAAAGGAUUACAUUCAUGUUAGAGCAAGAAGGGGUCAAGCUACUGAUAGCCAUAGUUUAGCUGAAAGAGUAAGCCUAAGAAGUUCUUCAUCUUUUCUUUUUUCUAGUUUGUGUUAUGAUUAUACGACAAUUUCUAUUUACUUGAUUAUAUUGUCAACACGUCUUUUUACAUGCAAGUUUGAUUCUUUACUAGUAGUGCCUAGACCAAUAUGUGGGCACGUCCACUAAUUCCACGAGAUACUUGUGAUCUCCUACUAUGCACAAACUCUUUGAACCCGAGGCCUAAUGUGUGACGACCUCAUCUAAAAUUUAAAUUUUGAGAGAGAGAAAUUACACUUUUACAUACUAAUUAUACUUGCAAGUUGUAACGAUCUGAAGGCUAAACUGUCAUCUGUAAUUUUGUCUAAUUAUUGCCUUGUUUGCCAUUUGAUUAGGUCCGUAGAGAAAAGAUCAGUCAAAGAAUGAAGCUUUUGCAAGAUCUUGUACCAGGCUGUAACAAGGUUUGUCUCCAAAUACUUCUGUAAUUUCUUUGUUUAUCAUUUUCUUUAACUUUCUUGAUGAUCACAUUGAGUUUUAAGUUGAACUUCCAUUUUGAGUCCAGUUAUAACAUAAAUAAACAACUUUACUAGGUGACUGGAAAAGCAUUGAUGCUCGACGAAAUUAUAAAUUAUGUCCAGUCACUCCAACACCAAGUUGAGGUAAUUCAAGAUUUUGAUGUAGCAUGUUGUGUAUACACUCUACACUCUCCAGACCCCACUUGUGGGAUUUACACGAAAGAUGUUGUAGCUUCUAAUUGAUAUUUAUUGCAACAUUUUGUAGUUCUUGUCUAUGAAGUUGGCUUCGGUGAACCCAAGAAUGGAUUUUCACAUAGAUAGUCUCCUUCACAAAGAAGUAAGUGCUUGAUAUAUAUAUCAAUGAAUGACUUCCUUGUUACAUUCAAAUGGAAUUUCAUGGGGUUAUUUUUCCCUUGUUUCAGAUAAGUCAACCAAGUGGUUCUUUGCACCAACAUGUGUUCCUAGUAGAUGGAUAUGGUGAAAAUCUUGCUCAGGUAAUAAACCAUUUAACAACUCGUCGGUUAUAUGAAUCCUAACUAACUAUAUCGCUCCAUUUUAGCUCAUUUCCGUCCAAUAUUAUGUAAAAAAAAAAGGUACUAGAAUUUCGAUAUCUCUACUGGCAUUUUCUGAUUAGAGUUCAUUUAUACAGCUUCCAACAAUCUGUGAGGAUGACCUCCAAAGCAUUGUCCAGAUGGGAUUUAAUCAGAACUCUAACCAAGAUCUGAUAUUGCAGUCACAGACAUUCCCUGGUAAGAAAAGGAGAAGCAAAGUAUUUUUUUGAAGGGGGGGGAGUUAUGAUAAUUGGGGGCCCGCACUUUCUAUCGCAACUAGAGUAAAUAUCUCAAAAAGUCAUUCAACUAUGAGGAAUUACGUAGUAAAAUCACUCAAUUUCUCAUAGUUGAGUGACCUUUUGACAGUGCGGACCGCAGUAUUCCCCUAUCGACCCUUUAACACUUAUACAAUGAAUUUUAGCUGAUAAUGAGGAGAAAACCUUAAUUUAUGAUUAAUAUAUUUGUUUCUUCUGAUGCAGUGCCUAAUUCUGAAUCUCACAUGAAAAUUAAGAUGUAAUCACCAUUCAUUUGUCCACAAAUUAAGGUCCCCCACAGGAGAAAGAGCUUGCUGUAUAUAAGUAGAGAGAUUUUUAGUUUAAUCUGCUUCAGAAAUUGCUAAUCAACAAGAUUAGGAUUAGCAUUAAGGGAUAUAUUUCCCCACUUAUUGUAAUCUAUAAUUGAUUUGAGAAUUUUAAUUUUUGCUCUUGUUGAGCUAUUAUAGUAUUUACUGUAUAAUGUUAAUAUCAUCUCAUGUAAGAUAUGAGUAUUUCUCUGUAAAGCAAUUAAAAAUGGAGAUUAUUACAAGCUUAAAUUAUUCAAAUAAUUGUUCAUUAGUGUUCUAAAUCAUAUCAAUUGACAAGAUAUAUCCCAAAUUCCAAAUCUUCCAAGAGAUUUGCUUAUGGUUGGUGUCAAAUUAAACAGUGAUUAAAUCAGAAAAUUUUCAAAUAUUUAUGAUUAUUAAGUUAAGUAUGUUGUAACCAGCUGUAUUAGUGACAGCGGUGCUAGCUUGGGCCUAGCGGUUUCAUCCUAAAACCCUUCUAUUUAUAUAUGACUAAAAUUAUUUGUGUAUAUAAUAAAUGUUGAACCUCUUUCGACUAGUUGUGUAUGUAGUGGUUAACUUUCAAUAGAUUAACCAGAUAGAGAAGCUUCUGUUCUUCUGAUUUACAGUGCUAAAAAGUCCAAUAAUUAAAAAAUAAAAAAAUCAUAAGCCUAUUCUUACAAACUUUCUUAAUAAAAAUAUUAUUAUAAGUUAAAUCCCAGGCUGGCAAUUGGUCAGAUUCGGACUAGACCUAUUGAAUUAAGGGACUUUAAUUUUUCAACUAAUCCAAAAAUAAUUAAGUGAACAAGAAAAAGGUUAAAUAAAGUAUUGGAAAGAUACCAUAGAAAAAGAUUAGAUUAAAGAUUUAAUCAUUUGAUAGAAGAAAGUUAAUACUAGUAAAAAUUGGGUUUAACAAAAAUAUUUCUGCUUUGCAGCCUUAACUUUUUUUAAUAAGAAAGAUUCUUUCAAAAAAAUAAAUCUUCUUUCUCUUUUGUUUUCUAAUGUUAAAAUAAAUUGUAGUAAAUUAGUACAUAAUAAUAUUUUGCUAAUUAUAUUUCAAGAUAUUAAGACCGACAAACUUGUCCCCAGCCACACAAAAAAAUGAGAAGAUCAGUGUUCACACUAUUAAUUAUAUCAAAUAAUUCCAAUAAAAUUAUUUUUCAAGAUUUAGAUUACUAUUUUUAAAGAAAUUUUUCACUAUGAUUUUCUGGACAGGACUUAGAUGUUUGUUCUUAAUCUAAUGUUUAUUUUUGGCUAAGUAAAGACAAAUAACAUAUGUAUUUCUUUUUCCAUUUCUGUUUGGCUGUUUCCAAUCUGAAAUUUAUUAAUCCAGAAGAUUCCUUGUUUUUUAAGAAUACAGCAGUAAGGACCACAACUGAUCGUGAUAAAGUAAUAAAUAUUGUUCAUUUUUAAUCAAAAAUUUUAAUUCGAGCUCUAGACAUGAAACUGUAUAAUAGAAAAUGUUUUAUCUCUCAUAAUAUGUGAUGUGAUCCCUUAUUUAAUUAGACCCCUCGGAAAACAGUAAAAAAAAAACAAACUCUCAUAAAUUAUUUCAUGAUUAUCAAAAAGCAAAAAGCAUAAAGUUACUCUAGUUACUUUAGUGCAUCAGUGGUUUCUUUGUUUCGACUCAUUUAACUUUUUACUGAAGCAGUCAAAGAAAUUCCAGUCAUAACUUUUUUUGGACUCUGAAUAAAUUAUUUAUUAAUAUUAAAUAAAUUCUUCAAUGUAAUUAGAACAUGUGAGUUAAAGGUAUUAAGUUCUGUCAAAUUCCUAACUUGCAUGUAAAUUUAGAAUAAGAGGAUGGAUGUAUAUUUUGAUCUGAUUUAUUUGAAUUCAGUAUUUUUUAAUGCGGAACAUAAAUGAUGUAAAUGUUCAUUAAAAUUUUAAUAAAUAGUAGGUAUAAAUUAUAAUAGCCUUAAUAUUAAAAUCUUUAAAGGUGAAACUCUUAAAAUUUAAAUUGUGUAUCCGCCUCAGACAUGAGGGUGUCCAAUGCAAAGUAUACCAUUAAUUGCUAAAAUAUUAAUUAACUUAAUUGGCUACCCUACAAAGUAAAUUAUUACAUUACAUAGAGAAAAAAGGAUUAGUGAAAAUGGAAAGAAUAGUGUUGGCAAUUGACUUGUUUGUAAUUCAAAAUGUUUUAGAAGAGAAUUUUUUUACUUACACGUUUCUAACUAUGAACCAAUUUGGCAAUUGACUUGUUUGUAAAUCCAAAAUGGUUACAGCUAUUCUUGAACAUGUUGCCUACAAAUGAGAAUUUAUAUUUUUGUAUAAAUAUAUACAGUAAUUUUUAUAUAUUUAUAGCUAAAAGGUAGAUGAACGCAUAAAAGGAUUAUACAAUAUAUUUCAUGUAGAGAUUAAAACGAGAGCAUCCCUUUCAUUAGGACGACCAAUCCUUUUAUGACUAGAAAUGGAUCGAGAAUUUCUAGAUCAUAGGUGGAACAUUAAAGAAAUAAAAAAAAAUUAUUAAGUAGAAAUUGAACCUCUGUUGUUUGAGUAUUCAAUCACACAAAACAUUCAACUUUUUUAAGCGUGAGAACCAACAAAUAAUAUCAAGUUUAACAGAUAUCAUGAAUUUACGUGUAUCAUAAUUAGCACAUUAAGUAGGUGUUUGGCCAUGUGAUACCAUAUCGUGAGAUGGAAUCAACUCUUGGACAUGCGAUUUUACAUUGAUUUCAUAUCAUGAGAUGUGAUUCCAUAUUCUCCAAAAACCAUGAUAUGAAAUUAUAUGGGAAUUCCAUAUCAUGAUUUGAGAUGUUUUAAAAUAAAAUAUGAUCCAUGAGUUUAUAUUUUGUUAAAACAACCCCACAUUUAUAUCUACUAACCAUUUAUUUCAUAUGUAAAUAAAAUUUAUAAUCACAUCAUUACUUUUUAAAAUUUUAUUAUUCUCACCGACAUAAAAUUUAUUAUUCUCACCAACAUAUAGUCACUUUAACUCACGAAUAGCUUUGUAAUAAUUUAACUUCAACGUGAGGAAAUUGUCUGUACUUGUGGGACGAUUAUAUUAAAGACUAGUACACUACAAUUUAUGUUCAAUUUUUUUUUUAUUAAAUUAAAGUUAGAUGAAACAAUUACUUAAGUGGAGAACAAAUAGCUUUGUAAUAAUUUAUUAUGCGAUUUUAUAAAUUUUGUUUAUUUGAGAAGAUUGAAUAAACAAUUGGGGCUAUUUUAAUAGUUUUACAACUUAUGGGAUUUUUAUGUUUAUGAGAAAAUAUACAACACAAAAAUAUCAUAUCGCAUGUCCAAACAAAACUUCAAUUUCAUCUCAUGAUUCCAUAUAAUGAUACCAUAUCGCAUGGCCAAACGGGACCUAAAUCUACUCUUGUUUAUUAUGUGUUGCGUAAAACUUAAACAUAACAAUUGAAACAGAAUCAAAUCUAUUUCCAUGUUCCCAUUCUUUCAAUAUAUUGAUCAUUAAAACUCUUAUAAUUAUAUUAGAAAAAUGAAUUAGUGAUCUAUAAAGUCAACAUAAAUACCAAUGGUUGCCUAAUAGCGUUUUUGUAAAGUACCAAGUAAUGAAUGAGACAUAAAACAUGUGAAUAACCUAGUUAUUCAUUAGUCUUACUUCAAAGUGCUUUUAGUUACAUUGUCAAAAUCAUGUGCCAAACUGUGAUAAUGGUUUUCAUACAAGGAUAAAAAGGAAAUUGGGCACGAUUAAAGUGAAAAUGACAAGCAAAAAAAAAAAGUGAAGUCUUUAUCAAGAAAAGAAUGUUUAGACAGAUUGAGGUGAAUAGACACUGACGCAAAUUUGAUGGCUUUUUGUAGGACAUAAAAUAGUUAGGACUCAAAAUUACAAACUAAAUCACCAAAUAGUUGGUCUCCCCCACAACCAUUUUGCAUCCUAUGAAAUUUACUUUAGUACGCUUGAGAGUUGAAACUCAACCAAUCUUGAAAGUGGAGUUAGCGGCUAAAUUCAGUCUUUAAGGACCACAACAUAGAAAAGUUGUGGAGUGUAUAAUAACCCCCCCGCCCUAAGGAAUAGGGACGAUUUUCUUGUUGUAGUAUUGUGAAUGAGCAAAGUAGGGUUCGAUAACCUUUUUGUUAUUGAUAUAUUGAUCUAGAAUAAGCAAACUAUACUGAAAAACGUAAUUGAAAAAGAUUUAGGGGGGGAUUGAUGAUGAAAAUUUAAGACUUAAGGAUCAAUUAAUUUACCCAAGUAGGUAGAAAAAGGCAAUGACAGUGUAGUUGGAAGUGAAUUUGUAGUGGGAUGUUCUUUUAUAUUUGAUUGAACAUUUGUUGGGAUGUCUUUGUCUAUGUCAUCAUCAUGCUCUCUUUGUCACAACUAAAGUGGUUGUUAGCAUUCACUCAUGGUCGUGUUUCCUCGUUUGAUGUUGAACAAGUUAUGUUGCUUACAAGUUUGGCAACAAGUUUGUACCAAAGCUGGUGAUUGACUUUAGUGGUCAUUGAAAUCCGUUCUUCACUUUCUCUUGCUUAAAAGUUGAGAGAAAGGUAAUAUUUGCUUUGAGAAAGUAGAAGAUUUAUGAAUGAAAAUGAAUCUUUCCAUUGGAAUGCUACUCAACAACAAUACCAUACCCAAUGUAAUCUCACAAGUGAUAGGUGGGAUUUGGUGAGAAUAAACCUUUUACUUUCCUCAUGAAGGUACAUAGACUAUUUUCGAAAAUCCUAGACUCAACUACACCACAAUAAAAUGAAACUAUGAUAAACAUAUAGUAACAGAAAUCAAGGGAUUAAAAACUACGUGAAUAACAUAUGAUAUCUAAUAUGCAAGAAGAAACCUAUCUCAUUGGACAACAAAAGUGAUGCUCAAAUGUCCCAUCUAAUCGCUUUUCUCCAAACUUUAAAAAAUUUACAAAAUGCUUGGAAAUAUCGGAAUAAUACUUUAUGUCCAAACAUUCUAAAAAAAUGAUGGAAAAAACUAUUUUUAUAGUAGAAAAUGUUCCAAAAUGCUUGGAAACCAACACAAAUGGGUAACUGAAAUAAAAACAACACUAAUUCAGCCAGAACGACCUGCGGCGCAAACAAAAACACAGAAUAAGCUGAAACAAGUAAUGAAUGCCAACAAUAAACGAAGUCCAGGCGUCAAUGUCAACUCAUCGUAAGACUAAAGAAUACGCAUAUAGAAAAAUAUCCUCACAAAACCAAGUUGUUUAAAAGGAAAAAGGAAAAAAACAUAUAAAUUAGUCUCAAAAUUCAAAGAGCUCCAAUUAAGCAGCUGCAGCCUUGCCCUUCUUCUUCUGUAGUUUCUUCAUAUAGAACUCAAGUUCUUUGCCCUCCAAGAUAUACCUGUCAAUUGCAAUAAAAAGAUCAUGACUUGAGUGGGAACAGAUGCAAAAAAACAAUCUCACAAGUCUAGGGCCGGGAAGCAAGGUUGUCAAUGCGGAACUUACCCAUCAGCUCUGCCACACUGACCAGGGCGAGAUGAGAUACAAGCAUAUAGUCUACCAGAACUAAAUUGUUCUUCAAGGUGAGAAUCAAGUUUGCGAUCUGCCAGGCGCUUCUCAAUUUUUCGGAGAACAUGGUUGCUCUUCUUAGUUUCCUCAGCAGCAGCAGCACUUUCUCCCUCCUGCCAUGUUGUCAACCAAAAGAAAUAAUCAACACAUAGAGAAAAGAAGGAAGUCAUCACUACUUAGGUCAUCAUAAUGGACAUUUCAGAUUCUCAAGAUAUAAAAAUGAGAGGAUAAUUUUAUUAAAGUGGAAUACAUUAGUUGCUGGAGUUGGAACAGUUCAAAGUAAAGUGAAUAGGCCGGUAGUUGGUAAAUUAGGAAAACUAGACUUAUUUAGAUACAGUAGAAUGUGACUGAGAAGAGAUCAAACUAUGUAAAAGAUGACCUCCGCUGCAUUGUUAGAGGUCAAAAGUAUCCUCAAUAAGACGUAUUUUUCCAUUCACUCGUACAUUUUCUACCUUUAUCAAUUCUUUCUCAAUCUUGGGCAAGUUAUUUCUGAUUUUAACUGGACAUCAUGUCCAAACUUCAAAAAAUGUCAAAGCAAUCAUAGAUCACAGCCGUGAUGAAGAAUUCACAGCAUAUAACGAAUUAUGAUUGAACAGGAAAAUGAAAGAGCUGUGGAAGCCAGAUAGCACGGAGUCAACAACUACUCAUCAAAUGAUGUUAACCAAGUAUGGAAGUAAAGAUAACAAAAUUUGGCUACCUCAGCAGUUUCCUUCUUAGCAGCAGCCCCCUUUUUCUUCCUACCAAUGUCAACACCAUAAUGCUGGAGGUACCACUGUUUAAAUGGCGCUGCAUCAACCUGAACGAUUGCACUCUUGACAAGAGUCUGUGUACGAACAAGUUCAUUGUUUGAGGCAUUAUAGACCACAUCAAGGAUACGAGUCUUACGGGUGGUAGCCUCACUACCCCAUGAAUAAUUUCCGGUAUCCAAUCUUAGUGCCCUCCAUUUAACAUUGCCACCACGAACACGAAUGCGUCUGACUGUUUUGUUACUUGAGAUCUUAGUAUUAGCAGGCUGGCGGCCAAGCUCAUACCUUUAACAAUAAGAAAAGCAUAUUCACACAAAAUCAGUAGCUUUCCCAAUCAGACUUUCCAUUACAACCUCACAACAUCAUAGUUUAUUUUCAACAAAUUUAUCGCACGACUAUGCUAACAAUAAUUUUUAUAGCAGUCAUUUCAUUGCAAGUAUUUUAUGUCCUCUAUUUUCAUUCCUGUCAUAAUCAUCAAUCUAAUUUAUGCAAAUGCAGGUUAUAUCUUCCACUAUCUUAGUUAAUCUAAUGCUAAUUAUUCGGGAUUAAGUGUAGCUAAUGUGUACCCCAAACCUCCACCAUUUAGGUGGGAAUUAGAUUUACCAUAUUGUAUUCCCCUCUCCCAGUUCUCCCCACUUUCCAUGUAUAAUAAUUUUUUUAAGAAAAGAACCUGAUAUUAAUUCCUAUCACUGCCCCAAAUAAUCUUGGAAGAGUUACUUGUUUGAUUGAUAUAAAUCACCAAAUCAUAAUAAUAUUACCCUGGAAAAAUUGCCAAUAAAUCACUAAUUCCACAAGGGAGAGUGCAAGUUCUAUUGCAAUUUCUACUGCAGUUACUACUACUUCAUUAGAAAUAGCAAUUAAGACUAGCAAAGGAAUCUGGCUCUAUUCUCGGAAAUGAAGUUAUUUUUAGAUAUUUGGUAAAUUAACCAUCAUAAUAUCAAAUAACUUCCUUGCUUAUGCACUGAAGUCAUUUCUCUUUACUACUAUCCCAACAUUUACUCCAAUUUGCUGAUAUUAAUAUCAAUCUUCAACUAAUACUCAUCCAAAAAAUAUCUUCUAUUCACAAACCUAACAUGGACUAGUUAGACAAUGUGUUCAUAUACAAAACGUUUAAAUGCAGUGUUUUGAUAAAUUUUCAACGCAUUUUAAAGAAUAAACACCUAGUAGUCAUAAACAUGACAAAUAAUUGAGCGAUAUAAGCACAAUUAAGGAUAACGAAAGAUGAAUGUAAUAUAGAUAUAGAGAUAUUCAGGCAAAAGAAAAAGAGGCAGUAGCACUAACUUUCGCUUCUUCCUCCAGGUUUUCUGCUUGCCACCAGUGGCACGCCUUUUGUGCAUAGAGUCUCGUGAGAUACCUUCAUAUUCAUGAAUAAAUCAGUAAAAUUAAUAAAAACUGUCUGUUUUUUCGUCAAAUUGCAGAUGAAAUUAGCGUAGAGAAGAUGGAAGUAGCAGGUUCAGAUUCAUACCCAUGGUUACUGAUAGCUAAGCCGCACUCCCUCACACCACUCUUCCGCUUUGAACGAAGAGAACUAAAACCCUAACACCUUGAAUGGACAAGCCUAGUCCUUAAAUGAUGUGGGCUGGGCUGUAGUUCUGACAUUUUUUGGGCUUUUCAUUCUUGGGCUAACAUCUUGCAUCUCGAUUCAAUACGAAAGUCGUUCAUAUCAUUUUUUUAUUUCGACUUUAAAUACCUGUUUGUAGGAAAUCAAGGUCGAAACUGAAUUAAUUACGACAAUAAUAUAUCCAAUAUAAUUUUAUAAAUUGAGUGUCAAAGAAAUAUAUAUAAGUUUCACAAAUUGAGUCUCGAGGGAAGAAUGUACAUAUUAACCUUACCUCUUCUCUUAUGAGGUCCAACACAAGAAUGCUACGGCUUAUCUUCCCCAGACUUCAAAUAGGGAGGAUGAGCAGAUACUAAAGAAGACAGUCAACGUGCAGCAAAAUGACUGUAUUGAACUUACUAAACUUCGAAAAUUAUGAUUGGUAAAGUGUAAACAAAGAAACUUAGUACAAAACAAUAAAAGAUGGAGUAAUAAUUAUAAGAACAUAACUAUUGAUAGCUAUUAAAAUAAAUAAAAAAGGAGUGCACAGGGCUUGUGGCUCAUCAACACACCGGUUAGCAAAGGAUGCACCUUUCAAUUCUCAUGUCUUAAGCAUGAAAUAUCUCUUCCGUCUCUUUUAUUUUGUCUGAAUCCCCACCUUUCUUACGUUUCAUAAUUAUUGCUCACAAUCAUUAUUAUUUCUAGAAAUACGGCAUUUGCUUGCAAUUCAAGAACUGAUUAUUUUUCUACAGCAAUUCAAAUGACCUUUUAUUAAUUCCUCUCAACAAAAGGACAACACAUAAUAACUAGUAAAAGAUUGGAACACCAAUGAUGCCAGACGAAAUUCUAUUACAGGAGGAUCCAUCAAUAUAAGUACCCAAUGCAAAAUCAGAAAUUACAGUCAGGUUAUUCAGCAAACACUUUUUCCUAAAAUCCAACUAUAACGACUCCAUGGCAUUUAUGACAUCUCAUCGAAACCGUCAAGAAAAUGAUGCUGAUCCUUUUUAUGUCAUGUCUGAGUUAAAAGUUAUGCCUUGCUAUCAAUGCUCAUCGGUUCUGGUUCCUUGGCAGCAGAGUUCUACAGAAACAAAGCCACGAGUGAGUCAAUAAAAGAACAAGAAGUAAAGCUCGAAGUCAAGGGGUUAUAAAGUCUGCCACUUACGGCUGAGUUUGCUGCAUCCUGCUUAUUCAACUUUGCAAACAUGUUUCCAUAGAACUUUGCAUCCUUCUUGUUAAUUUCCUUGACUUUUUCCUUUAGAGCUUUGUACUCAAGCUUCACAUCCCUUGAUUAUCACAUAAGAGAACAAGCUUCAGCACCAUAACUAACAAAUACGAUAGCUUGGGUAUAGUAUAGAAUGAACUUGGUUGUAUACCUGUUGUCAGGGUCAAUCUCAAGAGCUUUCUUAAUGUCAAAUUCAGCCAGAUCAAGAUCAGCCAUGUUCAUAUAUGCUUGAGCUCUGCGGUAAAGAGCUUUGACAUUUGCGCUAUCCAGUUCCAACACCUACAGCUCACACAAAUAAUCCUUGAGAAGAAAGUAAAAAGGAUGAGUAUUUUUUUAAGGGGGUGGAUUUCUAGGUUUCAAGUUCUAUACCUUGGUACACAGUUUCUCGGCCUGCUUGUAAUCUUUCAAUUUCAGCUUGCAAGCUGCAUUAUUUAAGUUGCAGGUGAUCUUCAAUGCUUUAGACUGUUUCUUUUCCUCCUCGCUGAAGGAAGUAUCAUACUCGAUGAAUUUAGCAGCCUGCAUUUGUUAAAAUGUACAGUUAGGUAAUCCUGGCACAAUAGCAUCUCGAUCUUCACAGACAAAAGACCCACUAUUCUAGUUCUAAAUAACACAGUAAAAGCCAAGUAUCUACCUUCUCAUAUCUCUUAGAUGCCCUUGCGUAUUUACCAGCCUUGAACAGUGCAUUCCCUUCUUCUUUCUUUUUGCCAGCAGCCUCAAUUUUCUCCGGGGUAUUCAUAUCCCAUGAUUCCUUGUCCUACAGGCCAUCAACAAGAGUAUAUGAUUCAAGUAUAGAUCCAGAGAACAGUGACAUAUAGCUAAGGUUAGAAAAUAAAAAGAAAGAAAACAUCACAUACCUUGACAAAAGAAACAAGCUCAACCUCAUAAUGCACAGUUGAAUUAGGAGGAACAACAGCUAAAUCUUGCUUUGACUCAGAUGAACCAAAGGCAUAUUCAGGUGCAAUUGUAAGCAGCGCCGCUUCACCCUUCUUCAUUGUCAUGACAGCUCUGUCUAGCCCAUCUAUUACUUGUUCUGUUCAGGGUAAAUUAGAGCUCAGUCAAUACUAGUUAAAGUAUUAAAGACCAGGGAAAAUCACAAUUUAAGAUCUCUGUAGUUGGAACAAUGUAUACGGAGUCAUACCCUCAUCUGUCUUAAACUCAAAAAGGUUGUCUUCAUUUUCCCCAUCAUGGCCCUUCUUUGUGAAGACUGUGCCAUCCAGCAGCUUGCCAACCAGUUUUACUGCAGUAUGCAAAUUGAAACAACCCUCAAAUAUCAUAGUAUUCAUGUAACUUACAAGCACAAACUAAAGAAUUUUUCCUGUGACAAACUAACAUUUAACAACAGCUCCUUCAUUGGGUCUCUCAUAUCCUUCCCCUUCUUUCAAGAUCUUCUUUAAUACUUUCUUGUCAUCAGUAACAUUUGAAACAGUUUUCCACGAGACCAACUCCAAGUUGAUCUGUAAUGUGGCAUUAGGUGGAACUGCUCCUCCAUCACUUGAGGCUGGUUUUCCUUUCUCUCCAAAGCCAUCUGCAGCAAACAAAUCAGACUUAUUAACAACAUCCCUCUUAUCGGCAGAUGAUUACACAGUCACUUGUUAGCAAGCAUCACUUACAUUGCGGCUUAACUGUCAAUUGGACCUUUUCACCUUUCUUCAUAGUUUUCACAGCCUUAGCAAGAGCAGGACAGAAAUGACCUGUUCCAUUAAGGAUGUCAGAACAAAACUACAAUCUUUUUUUACCUAAUAGAACAUUGUGGGGAAUAAGAAGUCAAAGGUUACCAUCUUGAACAGUGAACUCCACUCCAUCUGAUUUUCCCACCACUGUGCCAUUUUCGAGCUGAGCUUCGUACUUGACUAAAUUACAGAAGACAGAAGAAGAUGCUCAAUUUAUGUUCCAAACAGCUAUAGCAUAGUCCCCUGUGAUUUGAAAAUGAUAAUACAUACCAAAUACUUCGUCAAGAUCUUUCGGGUUUUCCCAUUUCUCCCCCUCUGUGAGGAUCUUUUUGAAAAUUCCACCAUCCUUGCAAAUGUCUUUUACACUCACCCAUGAUAGCAACUCAACAUCAAAUUGUAGAGUGGCAUUUGGAGGGAUAGUUGGAGGAGAACCACUCUCUCCAUAAGCAAGCUCUGGAGGAAUGGUGAAAAUAGCAUUUUCACCUUUCUUCAUUGUAUUUAUACCUUGAUCCCAUCCUUUAAUAACUUGUCCUAUCAGGAAAUAAAAAGCAUCAGCAUAUCUGUUUAAUCUUGAAGCAAAAUCGAAUUCAUCUAAGUGCAAAUGCUAAUUACAUAGAUAUCAGAGACUUUCUCGCAAUGAAAAAAUCCAUAUUUCUUGGCUUUAAUAUGAGUUCUCACGUAAUUAGAUUUCAAACAAAUCAACUUUCUGUUUGCAAUCUUUGACAAGCAUUGUCCUUUCAACCCUUAAUCUCUGGAAUUGAGGAUGAAAUCUACUUUGGAAUGCCAAAGACCAUUACAAUCAUCCUCUAAGGAAACAAGAAGAAGAAAACCUCAGAGGAGCUAUAAAGUGCUAGUGAGAACAGCUUCACCACAUCUUCAGAUUCUCGUAAUAAAAAAUUUACUGUUGUGAAGUUCAUGCCUUCUCGACAAGCUAAAUCCUACUUUAAACUAAGGAACAAGAUUUACGUGUUACCAUAUAUUUACUAAGCCCUUGGAGGAAACAAGCUCCCCAAUCUCAUAUCAUCUAUACUGGUCCUAUUAGAGCAAUCAAGCUUUCAUUUGUUUUAUCAAAUCACUUAAGUUUAUUCAAUAACCAUUAACAAGCAAAUACAAAAAGCUAGUGAACAUUCACUAACCUUGACCGAGAGUAAACUUGAAGGGGUCCCCUCUAUCGCGACUGGAAUCGAACUUGGUUCCGUCAAGCAAAGUUCCAGUAUAAUGAACUGAAAAUGCAAAAACCAACGUGAGCUCAAAUAACACGAACAAAAUCACGUUUACCGCAGAGUAGAUGAAACAAAUGAAAAUUAAAUAACCCAAAAGCCAUAGAAUGAGCUCAGAAUCAAUCCACGAGUCUAGCGAGCGCAAAAUACUAAUUAACAGCAACUAAUACAAUUGCAAUUAAUUAAUCAAAACAAUAUUGCAAACACAAAAAACACAUUAACAUAAACAAAUCUCAUAUGCAAACUAAUUAGUAAUUACCUUCGACUUCAUCACCAGGCGCAGGAGUAUCCCAACCUUCACCUUCCUUAACAAGCUUCUUCUUCAAUCCCUGAUUUCCAAUUUCCUUCUCCUCGCCUACUUUCAGGGUCGAACUGUCAUCCGGCAGAUCCAUGUCCUCGUUCAUUCCCUCUACCGGUGGAAUACCAAAAUCCUCGUCCAUUUUCCCGUCAAACACAAUAUGCACUCACACGCAGAAGAUUGAUUGAUUGAUAGAAUCGAGCUCAGUGAAAGUAAAUAAUGGCGUGCUGGAGAUGAAGAAGAUGGAGGCUUAAAUGGUGUGAUAGAUAGUGUGAAAAGAAAGGGUUUAGGUUCUAGAGUGUUCCAAGGUUUUUGAGAGAGCUUUAGCGCGACGAAGGGUCAGGAUUCUUCCAGAUAUCUUAAAUUUAGAUAACCAAUAUAUUAGUAAUUCUUUAAAUUUAGAUAAUAUUAUUGGAGAGUGGGGACCACUACUAAAUUCUUAUUAAUCCAACUGCUGAUCUUUAAUUAAAGUUUUAAGUUAGAUGGCAAAUGAAAUGGGCCGAAUUUGGGCCAACACUGAAAAACGGGUCGUAAAAUAAGGGGGACUUGAGGACCUUCAUUUAAGAUAUAGCCAAGGUUCUUGAGUAUUUUCGUUUCUAAAACAUAUAUCCUCUUAGGGAUGUUCUGGUGUUUUAUGCCUCUCAUUUGUUUUCAUUAAGAUUAAAACGUUUAAAUUUGAAUGCCAUAUCUAAAUUAUGUUUUGUGAUAAAAAUAAAAGUCGAUAUUCCAAGACCAAGCAACAUAAAGAGAGAGUGCUUGAUUUCCUUCUUCGUUGUCUAUAGUUAACUUUACCAUUGCUGGAUGAGCUUCCAAAAUAGUUCUGUAUAUUUACUUACAGGGUUGGAGUUUGUAAUAUUGUCACUACCCAACACCAACAGCAAGUGUAUACAAGUAAGCAAAAGAAAAAUUGAAAAAUAUGUUUCAUUAGCAUCUCCUUGACAAUGACAACGACAAUGUAAUGUAGUAAUUUGGAGUCUGAACUUUGUCAAGAGGUAUUUACAGACUCAAUUUGACAGAACAGGCGUCCAAGUAAGCCUACUACAACAACUAUUAUGUUUCAAUCACAAGUUGAGGUCAGCUAUAUGAAUACUAACUUUCCAUGUCGCUCCCUGUGGUAAUUCUACUAUAUUCUCAUUGAUUAUGGGCAGCAAGAAACCAAUUCACGUGCAGAUGCAAAACACUUCAUGAUUUAGCCAAGUCUCAACUAUCAAUUGGCAUGAUGAGCAACAAGUAUCCAACAUAUCAACUGUUUGGCUCAACCUUUCAUUUUAGUCAGCACCAUGAGAUUACUGGCUCUUUUUCUCUUGAAACAGUCAUUCCAUGCCCAACAAUAUUUUCUGCUUGAAUACAUAAUGAUAUCCCAGUGGCCAGACUUUUUCUUCAAUUACUGUCAAUCACUGUUCAAUGAAGCGUUUCUCCAUGUUAGUGUCUGAUUCACAGCUCCAAACAGUUGGAAACUACAUAGCAUUAGUUUGAGAUCCAUCUGCCAAAGAAUAAUCACACCCCAUUUCCUCCAAUUAUUGUCCUUGUAGUCACCUGAAUCAGCAACUCAAAACUUUCCAGCACUGCGAAGUGAAAAUGAACCAUCUGCACAGGUGCAAUGUAGAAAAAGAUACUUGGUUAAACCGAACUUCGUAAUGAAGCAUGUAGAAGACUUGCAGCCCACUCAAUAUAUGUUGCUGGGACUCUUCAUAAAUGUCAUCGGGUGCGUGUUGGACCCUUCAAAAGUAGUGCAUUUUUGAAGGAUCAACACAGGUGCGGCAACAUUUUUGGAGAGUCCGAACAACUUAGCUCUCAAUAAUAUAGUGGGCAUGAUUCAGCUUUGUUGAAUCAUUAUCAAGACAUGCAAAUUAAUGAACAAGGAUUAGUAAAUAAUUCUUCACCUAUGCUGGAAAAAGAUGAUUCUGAACAGCAAGACUAGCCUUUCCGAUUCUAAUUGCUGAUGGCGUUACUGAAUCUUAUUGCUGAUAAACAGCUUCUCAAUCAUCAGGCGGGCAAAAGAUAUACUUCCAAAAGACAAUUGAUCAAUAUUGAAACAUAAACAUAUCAAAGUUCUACUAGUCCUUAUUAAGAAAAUAUAAAGUAUUCAACAAAGACUUGUAAGUCUUUUCAUUCAUUAAACUAUCCCUCUUCUUAAAUUCUUCAAGAAGUUCAAAUGCAUAAUCUCCUCUUCCUUCCCUACUCAAUUCUUCCAUCACUGUUUUAUAAGUAAGCUGAUCAGGUGACAAUGAAUUAUCCAACAUAUCAAACACCACCUCAGUGGCAUCCUCAAAGCGACGCUCCAAAGCAAGACUACAAACCAGUAUCAUAUAAGUAGAUCCUUUCGGAAUAAACCCUUUGUUCCUCAUUUCCUUAAAAAACUCAAGCCCCUGAUUCACUCUUCCCUUCUCACACAACCCUUUGGCUAUAUAGCCAUAGGUAAACGCAUCAGGCUCACAUCCAUACAAACCCAUUUCACGAUAAACACGAAUAGCUUCAUCAACCUCCAGACACUUAGAGUAAGCCUUGAUUAUCAUAUUCAAUGCAAAUGUAUCAGGAAUCACCCCAAAAGACUUCAUUUGCUUCGCUAAUGAUCGAACAGAAUGUAAAUACACGUAACAAACAUGUAACUUAUUAAAUUUACUGAGAAGAGCAUUCAGCAACAAAUUAUAAGUUUCUAAUGACGGCUUAGCAUCUUCACAUUUAGUCAUUUUCUUGUAAAUAUCAAAUGCACGAUUAAAUAAGAAUUUACGACCGCAGCAAAACUUAAUCAUGGAAUUGUACAGAGGGAGGCUCGGCGGGCAAGCGCCCGUGCGGGCCUCCCUGUGCAGGGGCCANNNNNNNNNNNNNNNNNNNNNNNNNNNNNNNNNNNNNNNNNNNNNNNNNNNNNNNNNNNNNNNNNNNNNNNNNNNNNNNNNNNNNNNNNNNNNNNNNNNNNNNNNNNNNNNNNNNNNNNNNNNNNNNNNNNNNNNNNNNNNNNNNNNNNNNNNNNNNNNNNNNNNNNNNNNNNNNNNNNNNNNNNNNNNNNNNNNNNNNNNNNNNNNNNNNNNNNNNNNNNNNNNNNNNNNNNNNNNNNNNNNNNNNNNNNNNNNNNNNNNNNNNNNNNNNNNNNNNNNNNNNNNNNNNNNNNNNNNNNNNNNNNNNNNNNNNNNNNNNNNNNNNCGGCGGGCAAGCGCCGGCGAGAACCUCCUCGACUAGGGUCUCCGCAACGCGAUAGCGCUUACUUGAGACAGCAAUGUUAAUCAUGUUUAAGUAAGUGACAUGGUUGUGCUUGUAGCCCCGUUGUUGGCCUGUCCACCGGAAGAUAUCGAGGGCAAGGUCCGGGUCGGUUUGGGCUUUCAAGGCUUCGUUUACAUCAGCUGGUGUGAACCCGGGUUUGAGAUUGUUGAUCCAUGAUUCGAACUGUUUCUCUAAUGGAGUUUGAGUUCGGGUCCGAGGGAUAGGGACUGGGAGUUCAUCGGAGAACGGCAGCGGAGAUGUUAGGGUUUUGGGGUGGUGAUCGGCGGAGGAGGAGUUGGAUAUACGGCGGAGAGAUAGCGAAGAGAAGAGAAAGGAGAUGACCGGACGGCGCACGGUCGCCUGCAUUUUCGGUAUCGGAGAGAAGAAACAAGGGUGUGUUUGGUUGAGUUGCUGUGAUUCGUACUUUGGGUCAUUCAUACAUUGGGCGUGGGCCUAAGACAAUUAACUUAUAUGGGCCGAGAAGCUAUGUUAGGCCCAUAUUUUCCGCUAAGCAGUCCCGUUUAAUAGCCCAACUAUCGGGCUAAGUUAGUCGCAUGUGGUCGGUUCGGUUCGGUUUAUGUAGGAAAAAAUUAUAUAAAAUAACAAACUAUUAAUUAAAAUUAAAUGUUACAACCACAGUUUCAUUUAAUGCUAAUCCGUAGCAAACACUUGUCAUUCUCCUCUCUCCCCAAAAAUCUCGUUCGCCACUCUCUCUUGCAUCUUUCACUUUUAUACAAACACAAAUGUAUAAAUUAUAUUUGUGUCUAUAUAAAGCAAGAGAAAAUCGUAUAUACAAAUACAAAUAUAUAUAUAUUUUCGUCUUAUACACUUGUAAUUAUACAAAUAUAUAUCUUCCCCUACCAGUUCUCUUUUGUCUUUCUCUCUUUCUCGCUUUAUACAAACACAAAUUAUACAAAUUACAAUGUAUAAUUUGUGUUGUAUAAAGCGAGAGAGAGAUUUGAUAUGCAAAUAUUUUAUUUCGAUUCAAUUGUAUACAAAUUCAAAUUUUAUGCAGAUAUACAAACACAAUCAUUGAUACAUAUACAUAGUAGUUACAUAUACACAAUUAUCUAACCAAUAUACAUAUACAAUCGAUGUGUUUUUAUACAAACGAGAUGUCUGCCUGCGAUUUAUACAAAUCUGAUGAUCCAUAGUAAAUAUAAAAUUUGUUAUGAAGCGCAAUCAUGCAAACUAUAGUUAUAGCAUACAAAUAUGAUUUUUAUGUUUGCUAAAUCUAAAUUUUACUCUUUAUGUAUUAUUAGUUUAGUUUAUCGGUUUUUGGCUUUCAAAUACAUUAAAUCAAUAAGAUAUUUUUUUAUCAGUUUUGGUACUUAACGUUUCAAUUUUUGAUUUAACCAAUAAUACUUAUAAAACAAAUAAACGACUCUUCAAACAAUUUGACGCGGUAAAACAAUAAUGUAAUCUUACAAAUGCUCCUAAAAUAAAACAUUAAUACUCAACUAACAUGAAAAAACUAUAUAAGUGUAACACAAAGAGAAAUUAAGAGGAAUAUGGUUUUUAGUUUAGAUUUUGACGUUUUGUAUAAUAAGAAGUUGUGAACUCAAAGUCACUGUGAAAUGUGAAUUGAAGGCUAGAGGGAAAAGACACUAACCAACAAGGUACUAAGAUUGAUAUUUAAAUUUAUGUAUGGAUAAAGCUGUAAAGUAUUACAAUCUUAAUGGGUAUUAAAAAUCCAAAAUCGAAUCGAUAUCGAUAAUUUUCUUUUUUAAUAAAAUCAUUAAAAAACUGUUAACUCAAUAGAAAUAAAUCAAUAGCACUUUUUUUCAAUUCGAUUUAUCGGUCGAUUUAAUUCUUACACACCUCUAGGCUAAGUGCAUAAAUAUCUGCUUUGGGAGUCAUCAUUUAACUUGUAUUCCUUCCGUGUUAAUUUAUGUGAUAUAGUUUAGGAAUAAUUAUGCAGAACCCAUAAAUUUUACUAACCAUCUAUUGAGCCUAAAAUUAUACUAAUUAUUAUGAAAAAUAGCCGUUCUGAAAAAGUAUUUACCAAAAAAUGGUUAAAUGUCAUCUUUCUUCUUUUCUUUAAAAUUCAAUAUACCACAAACGUAAAUCGUUUUGAAUAAAUUAUAUAUCAGGAGACUCAAAAUAUCGAGAGGUUUCAUAUCUAAAAAUUGAGACUAUUAAAUGAGAUUUUGAGUUGGUCGAGAUUAAAUAGUCAGGUACACUUCAGGUAUAGUUAUGCUAUAUUCAUUUUUUCAAGUAUCAUAAUGAAUAAUCAAUGUAUAACUUAUGUAUGGGUAAACAAGAUUCAAUUUUUUGAAUGUAUCAUAAUAUAUAGUCAAUAUAUACUUCUAUGACUUUUGAUUAUUUUAUAUAAAUAAAAAUGUGACUAUAUUUAUUAUAAACUAAUUACUUUAUUACAUAUAUUUGAAACUAUCCGAAGGAAUAUUCUUUCUCAACUUCAAAUUAUACUCAUUUCCGCGAGCCCAAGCUUCAAGCCCAAGUCAAAUUCCAUGAGAAGACUAGUUCUUUCAUACGAAAUCGCGUGGUCGGGUGAAAUGUGAAAUACCGAUUACAUUCCUAUUUUUCCUGAGAAUUACAAUCAGUACCUGUUCACAAAAUGGCAGAGGUUCGUAAUUUUACGAACAAUUAUAGGGCAAAGUUGUCACAAAAUAACCGACAAUGGAUAAGUUUGAAAAUAACAAAUAGGCAGAAGGGCUUUUAUGUAAACAUACUUGAAAGAGGACCACUCCUUUUCCCCACCACCAAGCAUCUUUUCCAUUUUUUAAUUUUUAAUUUUUUCUUUUGAUUUUUGUUUUUAAAUUUCUCUUGUUUAUCUUAAAAAAAACUAUUUUAAUAUUUUAAUUGCUUUUUAUAUGUUUCCAAAAUAUAUUUUGGUUUCUUCUACAACGCUUCUUCUUAUGAUGAUUUUGCUGUUACAUUAUCGAUCGGAACAAUUAUCUUCUCUCUAGAAAUCUUCCUUUAUCUUGAUCUUUCUCUCUCUAGAUGUUUGAAGUUUCACUGUUUCUACAGCAUUAAGCGGUGAGUUUGAUUUUUUCUUCUUCAAUUUCUCUGUUUUUAAAAUUAUAUCGUGCUUAUUAUACGUUUUUCUAGUGGCCGGAGAAUUUACUUCUGCUGUGUUGAUCAGAAAAUCAUGAAUAAAUUCAAUUGCAUUAUUCUUCUGUAGCUUUAAAUUCAAUUUUCAACAUUUUUGCUGUAUUUUUUGUUUUAUAAUAUAAAGUGACUGGAUUGUUUUCGGUGUUGAUUUGAAUUGGCACUAGAAGAGUUACUGGAAAAUCUGUAUCUGUUUUUUUUUUUGUUCACAAUUGCUGUUUGAUUUUAUCACUAUAAACAUCCAGCUGUUCAUGCGUUUUUUAAUAUUUUGUUUAUUACAUGUUUUUCCUGAGGAGUUUUGAGUUUUGAUCAUCUUCAUUGAUGUGUGUUUGUGUAUUUAAUUUAUCAAUUACCAUGUCAUAUGAUUUGUGCUUAUGGUGGAUUGUUUUUAAUUUGUAAUUCUCCUUUGGAGCUGUUUGUUGACGGUCGGCACAAAUAUGAAGAAAGUAAAAAAACCAGAGACCUCUCAAAAUAAUUGAAACUGAAUCAGUUUACUAUUUAGCUGUUGGUGUCAUAUAGAAAUCAUUGUUACGACAAGAAAAGGUGAAGCUAAUUGCUACAUAUGUUCAUGGAUAUUGGUAAAUCCAAGCGGUGAUUCCUGUCUUUUGAAUGUCCUGGUUCUAUAUCAUCAUAAUAGUAGGCAUGGAUGAGCUGAUCAGAGUAGUUAUUUCUCGCCUGAUGUCCCAAAGAUCCUAUAGAAGGCGAGCCCCCGUAGUGUUUAGAAUACUGGAAUAGAUCUCGGUGGGCUAGGUAACACAAUAGAACUCUUCCACAGAAUAGCAGCCUGCAUAUGCUAUUCACUAUUUUUGUAGCAUCUUUUUUAUCUCAUCUUGUCUCUCCUUUCUCUCUGUGAUUGUUUGAUACAUAUUCUGCUUUUUAUGUUUUUUUGGUUUAUAUUUUUAAUCCAGAUUCUUGAAUCCUUUAAAGCACUGAAGGUAGCAUGCGUUAUUCAUGUUCUACAGCUGUCUCUGACUUCUCUGUAACUUCUUGACAGAGAAAACAUAACUGAAGCUCAAUGAAAAGAGGCAUGUUCAUGGUUUGAUAUUUUGUUGGCUUACUUUAUCCAAGAUAUAGCAAGUAUUUGACAGAAACCAGUGGCUGCCUUUUAGAUGAUAACUACUGAUUGCAGCUCGUGAAGGCUGCAUUUAAGCAUGUUGAUAGUCUUUCAAUUGAUUUUCAAUUUCUUUUGUGAUGAGAGGUGGAUUUUUUACCAUUUACCGUAUCGUAUGCUGCACAUAAAAAGUGAUAUAUGUCAACAAUCACGUGAAGAUCACUGUUUCUACAGUGUAGAAACCUCUAUCAGGAGGUUAGAGGUCCAUUGAAAAAGUGUUGGUCCGCCAGUCAUUGUAAUCAUAAAAUGGAAAGGUAAUUCAUGUUCACACUCUAUUUGGAUAUUAAGAGGUGGUUUUCCUUUUGAUGACCCAAUAGUUUUGUACUUUGUUCUGUGGGACAUUAUAAUUCCAGAUAUAGAAUAUUGAAGGAGCUUGGAGAUGGAACGUGUGGUAAUGUAUAUAAGGCCAUUAAUACAGAAACAUCUGAAAUUGUAAGUGAUUGUCUUUGUUUAUGUAUUUAUUAUGUUUUAUAUAUCCACACAUGUUUUUCAGACUUUCUCAUUUAUUAGUUGAUAUAAGGAGACGUACCAUAAUCAUAUAUGCAAAAUCUAAGACUUGAGUAGGAAGUUUGCGUCUGGCAGCACCAAAAGAGAUUUUGAUCUGUGCAUGUUUGAAGAGUUGCACGUCUAAAUUAAUAAAAUCCUAUUGUUAUUACUUGUAAGUGCCAGAACAUUUGGAUUUGCUCCUUGGUUUCCUUUGUAAUGGCAAGUUAUUGGUGCAUCUUUCACACAACAGUACUAAAUGUUCCAAAUCUCAGGUAGAGUCUGCCUAACCAGAAGGGCCUUAGUACCAUACAUAAUAAUUUGUGAGAGCCAUGUUAAAGUUCCAUUCCACUUAUAGUCAAGUCAUCAGAUUAGUUUUAAUCAUGCCUAUGCUAUUUCCAAAAAUGAAGAAUAAUAAAAUUUGACCUUUUCACUUUCUUCUUUGUUCCCCUUGGAGGGAGUUGACGGAGAGGCUUAUGUUGAUUGUUUCUCUGUGCUUGUACAUCUCACAUGAUGUUGAUUCCUCUCAAAGAUUGUAACUUAUAGUUUCGUUUCAUGUAUUGUAGGUUGCAGUAAAGAAAAUGAAGAGGAAGUUCUAUUUUUGGGAAGAAUGCAUUAAUCUACGUGAAAUAAAGGUGUGUAGGUUUCCUCUUAUUUGGUCUCAUAUUGAUGGUCUGAAGGGAGUAUUUAAACAUAUCUAUUCAGAAAAAUUACCGUGUUAGAAAAGAGUUUCUUGUACAUAUUUAUAUAUUCUUGGUGCAAGCUAAGCUUUUCAAUCUUUCUCUGCGCAGUCCCUCCGUAAAUUGAAUCAUCCUAACAUCAUCAAACUGAAAGAGAUUGUCAGGGAAAACAAUGAGCUUUUCUUCAUACUUGAGUACAUGGUAUCAGUUUAAGACUUUUGUCUAGAUUAUUGUGUUGCACCUUUCUCAUUGUCUGUGCUGCAGAAUCUUUCGUUCUGAUAACAUAAUGUACAUUUAUGUAACUCUGGCAAUUAGUGCUUUUAGUUUCAGAAUAUCGAAAUUCUAUGUCAACGUGAACCUCUAAACUGUCUCCUUAUUGAUUGUCUAGGAACGUAACUUGUACCAACUAAUGAAAGAUCGGCAAAGACCUUUCCUAGAGGAAGAGAUUCGAGGAUUGAUGUCUCAGGUGUUGCAAGGACUUGCCCAUAUGCAUAAAAAUGGUUACUUUCAUCGGGACUUGAAACCUGGUAUUGAAAUGUCAUGUGGUCUAUUUACUAUCUUUAUUUAUGGAAGUGAGAAACUAAAGUUACACUUGUUCUGGCUCAGAGAAUUUACUGGUGACGAAUGACGUAAUUAAAAUUGCUGACUUUGGGUUGGCUCGUGAAGUGUCUUCAUUGCCUCCUUUCACUGACUAUGUUUCAACUCGUUGGUGAGUUGUCUUCUCUAGUUUGGUGUAUCCUUUGUUUCCAAGUGCUUGCAAAAUUUUUGCCUCUGAUGUAAGGAUGUUCUAAUGUCUUUUAAAGGUACCGAGCACCAGAAGUUUUGUUGCAAUCUUCAUCAUACACACCUGCUAUCGGUAUGCACUGUCAGUACAUUCUUGCAAUUUCAGAAGCUUCUUGUGUGGCACACUGGAUCAUUUUUUCAUUUGACACUAAUAGGUUUCAGUAUGUUUAGAAACUCAAGCUAGCAUCCAGAAAUUUUGUUAUUGAAUCUUGACGGCUGUUGCAGCUAGUUUGUUACUUGUCCUUAUAUACUUGUAAAUCUAAGUACAUUGCGCAGCAGUAUAUUUCGUGUUUGUUGAUAUUUUACGGUGUAUAAACAGUCUUUCUUUAAACGUUUUUUGUUGAUUUUGAUGGUAAGCACGUUGUGUGACCUGCCAUGGCUCUUUGAAGGUAAUAUAACCUUCAAUGGGUUCAAUGAAGGUUGUGUAAAAGAAAAUAGGAGAGUGCCAGGAAAUCCUGUGGACCAUGUUCACCAUGCCUAACACAGGCCCAUCAAACCCUUGACUUUAAAAUGCUGGCUUGAUUCAAUAGUAGAACUGGAAUAUGAGACAUUUGCUGGUGUUCUCCUAGUAGAAACUAAGAAUUUCCUCAGUUUUUUUCCCAUGUUUGUCUAGCAUGAUUUUAGAUGAAUGUACAAAAAAACUUGGGUUAGUUUUCUAGAACAUUGUUGACCGGUGACUUGGCUCCCUUUUCAAUUCUUGAAGUUAUCUUAUGUCUAUUCACUACUUCACAUGCUUGGGUUUUUCAAUCUCUUUUCCUUGUAUUUUUUUAGAUUGCUUUGUUUUGGAAUUUUAAUGGUCAUUCUAUGAUCUAUCCAAAAACAUACAUCUCUUUGAACUGCUCUUCUUUUGAAGUUCUCAAACAUACUUAAGUUUGACGGCCUUACAUUAGAAAUUGUUCAAUGCGUGGAAAGAACUCUUGGAUAAAAUUUCAUGUUUGUUUUUGUUGGUUAAUUGAUCUUUUUCUUGACUCAUGAGAAUAAGGUCUGUACACAGAUAUGUGGGCAGUUGGCGCGGUACUUGCUGAGCUUUUCACUCUUUGCCCAAUAUUCCCUGGUGAAAGGUGAUUUCAUAUCCCAUAUUGUCUUACACAAAAAUGAUGUCCUAGCUUCUUUAUUUUGGAGUCUAGACUGCUUUGACCUCAAAUGUAACCGACAAUUAGGUGAUGUAGUUAGUUCCAAGAGCUUGUGGGGGCAUAUUAUUCAAAUAUUAUGGGUAAUUGGAACUUGAUUCGUAUCAUUUGGAGAACUAUUUCCUUAAAGAGUAAUCUUCCCUUUUUCUUUGACCAGUGAAAUUGAUCAGUUGUAUAAGAUAUGCUGUGUUCUUGGACCACCAGAUUGGACUAGCUUCCCAGAACUGAGAAGUGCUUCACGGUUGUUUGAUAUAAGUUGUUUUGAUGUAAGUCCAGAUGAACUUCUUGCUAAUUUCCAGCCAGUUUCUUUUGACCUUUAUCACAGACAUGUGAAUGAUCACGUAUUCAAAUCAUUCUUUUUUUUUUUUUUUUUGUUCCUGAUAGAUUACACCAGCCAAUCUGUCUGAUGUCAUUCCAAAUGCUAGCUUGGAAGCUAUUGAUUUGAUCAAGGUAUUCCUACUAGCUGCUUCUUUACAUUGCUGGCAUAUUUUAUGCACGAAAUACAAAGUGGUUCUUUACUGAUCUAUCCCUCCCUUCAUGACAUAGCAACUCUGCUCGUGGGACCCAUUGAGAAGACCAACUGCUGACCAAUGCUUACAGCACCCAUUUUUUCAUGUAAGCCAUUUUAUGUUAUUUGCCAUUUGCUUCAGAUUUUUACUGUAAUUGGCAUCCUUCCAUGGAGAUUAAAAUAACCUGCCACUUGCUAAUGAAUAGGUUGAUAUGUCAAUUCCUCGUCCUCUAGGGGAUCCACUGCAGAUGAAUUUAAGUAGUGUUGGUGAGAACUCGUAAAAUACUUUUAGCAUCUGUCACUGUCCACUUUUAGUUCAUGAAGCUAUCCUGUUGUGCAGGACCUGAGCCUAAUCUUGAGUUGAACCUGUGGGAUUUUGGGACAGAAAAAGAUGACUGCUAUCUUGGUUUGACUUUGGCUGUGAACCCAACUCCCUCUUGCCUAGGUAUGAACUUUUAAGAUUUUAAUUAUUUCAGGUGUAUUUCUGUAUAACAUCCCACUGUCUAUGGCUCAAUUUGUUGCAAUAAUUAUAAUUUAAUCAUGUAUAUUCUGGCUUUUGUAAUAACUGACAUCUUUGUCCUUGACUCAUUGUGUCUUCCUCUAUCUUGUUUCUUAGAAGCAAUACCUGCACCGCUUUUGUCCACUAAAAAAGGAAAUAUAUAUUCUUGAUAUGGUGGUAAUCCAAGUUUAAGAACGUCUCAAAUUUGCCCAGGGAAACAUAUUUCUAAAGACAGCAUCCCUGGCUCUUGUAUCAUAUAAAACACCCUUAAAGCAAAAAACCAUCUUUGUGAUAGUAUCAUUCUUUAAGAGCAUGAAGACUGACAUCCUUGCUUAGUAUAUGUCUUGCCUUAAUUUUUCAAGUUUUUGUUUUAUUGUUGUAUUCUCUCUUUUCCAGUUGCAUCUUCCUAAAACAAUUUACCAUAAACCUCAUCAUGUAGAUUUAUUUCCUGCAAAGAUGGCAAGUAAAAGUCAAGGUGCAGGAACGGUGAGUGUCUUAAUUUUUUUUUUAAUACUUGGGUCACUGUUUUCAGGGAUUUCUUUCCAUAAGACUCCUGAUUUUGAUAUAUUCUUCUAAAAGGUUUUUAACAACAUUGGCAGGAUAUGUUCUGCCCUGGUUUCCAAGAUCACUCACAACACUCAGGUAGCUCAUAUACUUUUCUUCCUAGUGUAAUAUAUUGUUGUUGUAAAGAAAUGAAUCUUGGGCCUUACUCAACCCAAAAGAUAGCUUAUAUGAGGAGGAUUGUCCAAGUUCAUAUAAGGAGUCCAACUGCUCCUCAUCCCACCAAUGUGGGACUUAACAAUUGUGUUAACCAGUGGCGGACCCAGGAUUUUGGUUCAGGGCUUCGGAAAAAAGCAAGCAUGCUAAUAGUGUUGACAAAUUAACGAGUCGAUUUAGAUAUAAACGGGUCAAAUCAUAUACGAGUGAGCUUAAAUUAAAUAUUUUUUUAUUAAAGUAAAUAUUUUUAUUAAAAAGUUUAUUAAGUAUAUAAUAAUAUUUAUUGGAAAUCAAUUUUUUUUAUUGAAAUAUUACUAUGUAUUGAUUUAAUAUUUUAAAGAAACCCAUAAAUUUACAAUAUAAACCUAUUUGAAAAGGUUUGACUAAGUCUUCACAAGAAAAAAAAAAGUUGUCAGAUAACACCUCCACCGAGAUUCGAUCUCAGCUAAAAUGCAUGGACCUUAACCUGCUUAACCUCUGCACUAUGUACUAAUCUUGUGUUGAGGGAGUUCAAAAUUUAAUAUAUAUACGUAAAUUGUAAACUUCAUCCUAUACGUACAGUAUAAUUUUCCGAGUGAGGGGGUUCGGGUGAACCCCCUCGGCUCCAUGUGGGUCCGUCCCUGGUGUUAACCAUUCUGCAAUUUUAUACAACCUUCUUUUUUCUUUUUGUUAUGGGUGGGUGGUGGUUCUGUAAUAGUAUAAUUGCCUUGUGUUAAGACUCUUGAAUGAAACCUAGAAUGCUGAAAGGUUUGUCAUCAUAUUAUGGUUCUUUCUGGGUAUUUAAUGUAGUAGGUUGAAAUCUUCACCUUCUAUACUAUUUUACUUAGAGAUGUCAUGGCUGUGUUGAUUUCUUCUUUUCAGUUUUCUGGUCAUUGUUUCCUACUGAUCACCAUCAAAUAUCUACUCCGGUGGACUCCUCAUUGUCAUUAUCAUUCAGGUCAGUAUCCAUUUAUCGAAUUUUGUUUCUGUUAAUGGCAUAAGUUUUGGUGGGUUUUUGAGUAAUGUAUUAUUCCCCUGUUGAGAAGAGAAAUGGAAUCAUCCCGCUACCCAGUUUUGGUGGGUUGUUGAGUGAUGUAUUACCCCUACGGAGAACAGAAAUGGAAUCAUCUUGCUACCCAGUUUCCUUAACAAAUUUCUGUUCAAUAUCAUUUCUCAUAUUAGUGAUUGAACAUAACUUAGUCUUCCAACUCUCCACUACCCCUGCUAAACAGACAGCAUCAGAUACAUGUCCUCGGGAAAACCAAUAAGACCCAAUAGUAUCACAACUUGCAUGUCAGUACUGGGGAAUGCAAGGGUGGGUCUCGCUCUAUUGAUCAGAAAUAUGAUCUUUUUUGUUUUUGUUUUGUUGCAUGGAACAAUUAAUUGAAGCUGCUUGUAGGAAACAUGAAACUAAAGUUGUCCCUUUAUUUUGUCUGCAGCACGAUUCCACACUCAACUAUUGGAGCUCCACAAUCAACUGGUUUUGGCAUGACAUCUCUGCAGACUAACUUCUUGGAGCGCCCCUUUCUGGCUAUGUCGUCAUCCUUUCAGCAGGGACGUUGCCUUUGAGCUCCUGAUUCAAGUCUCUAGUUCGACUAAAUAAGCAAUUAUACUAGUAUUUAGUUGUAAUCUGUAAAUGUAGUUGACAGCACAAUUAAAGUCUAUUUACUAGAUUUUUUUCAUAAUUCUCAGAAGAUUCUCUUCUAAAGAUGUAGAGUGACCCACACCCCUUUUAGGCGGUGUAGUUGGUGUCCUUGUGGGAACAAUCGUAUAGAAGAUGACUGAAGUAUACUGUUGUAAUUAUUAAACCAUCAUAAACGUGGAGAAAGAUACAACUCUAGUUCUUUAUUUAGUUUUUGUUUUCAUUGUUAGUUGGAUGAGCUGAUUGCCUGGCCUUUUGGGGCCACAAAAGAUUUGCUAGCUACUCUUGAAUAACAUCACUUCUUGAAAAGUUUAAUGUCCAAUUUCCCCUUGGAGGUAGGGACAUAAUCACAUAAUGAAAUUUUGAAUUUGUACUUUGGGAAUUAAUAGUUCAAAUUCAGAGUUGUCAACCAAAGACCAGAAGAGAAAAUUGAAAAUGACAAAAAUGGUCUCUUAUGUCUCUGUAAGUUUAAAUAGUCCACAAACUAUAAUCUGAACAUUUUGGUCCUUUUAAGUUUGUCCACACUUUUGAUCUACGACGAAUAUAUAAAAAUUUAUUUGUGGGAAUUCACAUUUGGAGGUAUAAUUAAUAUAGUUUAUGAUAUUCAUGGUCUAUUUCUAGAGUUUGAAAUCUUACUUUUUUAUGUACGAUAUUAAUAUAGUUUCUGCUAUUUAUGAUCUAUUUCUAGAGUUCGAAAUUUAACUUUUUUUAUAUGCAAUUUUGGGUAUGUUUAUUGUUUAGUCUAUUUUUUAGUGUCUACUACAAUUCUUUCCAUCGUAAGAUGUAGCAAGACUUUUCUGGUGUUCUAUGGUUUAACAUUUUUGUCCACAGUUAUCAUAAAAUUUAAGAUAAUUUUUUAAAAAUAUUUAAAGGAGAUUAAAAAUGCCCAUUUUUGUCAAACUCAAAGAACCAAAAUCAUUCAAAGCAUACUUAAAAGACUAAUUUGUACGUACCUCAAAUAUAAGGGACCAAUUUCGUUAAUUUCCUCAUCAAAUGUCCAACCUCAUUAUUUUUUCCUAAACUGUAACGUAACCUCCUUAAUUAAUGAAACUGUGAGACUCUAAUAACCAAUCAACCACCGCUAAAUCAGGUAACACGUGGCAGAAGCCCAGAUAAUCUCCAAAAAACACACAACUCCACUCUGAUUCAAAACCUUUUUUCUUGUUUUUGCUUCUUCAACUCUUGUUGGCUAAGUAAACUUCUCAAUUCUAUCAUCAGCUUCUUGAAGUCCACUCUUUUCUUCUAAACCUUAAAAGAGUGGAUUUUGAAAACCCCCAAAAUCACAGUAAUAGUUAGUAGAGUUUUGCAGGCUUACAGUUAUGGGUGGAGAUACUACAUCCCCUCAUUCUACUCUCAUCCAUUCCACUGGUACAAUAUAUGAAAAUCUUCCCAUAUUGUUUUUUUUUUGUGGGGUGGGGUGAUUUUUCACAUUUCUUGCAUAUUUUUGAUAUGUAUGUUUGUAAAGUAUGGUGUGUUUUGAGAAUCAGUAGUUGUCAGGUUCAAAUUCCGAGAUAAAAAAUAGUACUAGGUGAUUUCUCCCUAUUUGUUCUAACUGACAGAGUUUAGUGGUGGAAGGUGACAUAUAUUUCGUGGAAUUAGUUUAGAAAAUGAGGUGUAGCAGUAGGUUGACGGUUUUGAACAUCUGAUCAUAUAACUCACUGGACUAAUUUGGACUUGAGACAAACAGUUGAUUGAUUCUUGCAUAGUUUUUUUCUUAAUUAAAAAUCUAGACUUGAUACACUGACAAGGCUGAAAAAAAGAUUGAACUUUUGCUACUUGCAGAAGAAUAGUCAUCUUUUGAUCAAAAUAUCCCUGGAAAAAAAUCUAGUUUUUUUCUUAUUUAAAAAUCUAGACUUGAUACACUGACAAGGCUGAAAAAAGAUUGAAUUUUUGGUACUUGCAGAAGAGUCAUCUUUUGAACUGAAGUUCCCUGAUAAUCCACCAAGUUCGUCUUGGUUUCGCAGGUAUUUUCUGUUACUGGUUCAUGAUUUUCUACAAUCAGAGACUCUACACAGGCUCUGUGUGUGUAUGUGUACAUGUUUGUUAUAUCAGUGGUUGGAAAUUGGAAUGUGUGCAGUGGUAGUGAUCUUUUUGGCUCAAAAGUAGAGAAUGGAGAAGUUGGACUAGGUUCUAUGGAUUUGGAGGAAUUCUUUCAAGCUUCUUCAGAUGUAAUUGAUGAGGUGAAUAAAAAGCGGAUAAGGAAUGUAUAUAUGGACGUCCUCAAGAGCUAUGAGGAACUGCAGUUCCAUAAGGAUUAUUUGAAGGAAGCCAAAAGUAAAAUCUUGAGGUACAGUAAUUUAUGGAAUUCAUUCCAGUUUAUUUGAGAGGACAAAUACAAGUUCUUCUUUUUAUGCAAUUAUUGUUUGUUCACUUAAAGGCCUAGAGAGUAGAGACAACUAGAUUUGGAUUAGUGCCCAGUGAUAGAAUAUUUGCCAUUUCUCUUGCCUAUUUUUAACUUAGUUAGCUACUUUCUAUUUUUGCAUAACCUUAUCUUACUUCAUCUCAGUAGUUAUUCAGUUUCUCAAUUGUACACGUUAGAUUCCACAUAGCAUAUUAUAAAGUUCAAAGUUCCUUGUCUUGGGUUACUUGUAAAUACUAUGCAUUUGUUGAGUUACAUGGCAAAUGAACACCUGCAGCUACACCCCUGGAUCAUGGAUUGAGGAGGUGGGUGGCAUGAAAGCGAGUGAUUACAAUAUACCAAAAAAGAUGACACUCUUGUUGAUUGGUCCAAGAGGAUCUGGAAAAAGCUGUCUUAUUAACAAGAUCUCCAGAGUGUUUGAUGAUGAUCCUUUUACACCAGAAAGAGCUCAAGUAUCGUGUAUGUUCUCUUUCCCCUUUGCUCAUGUAAUAAAGUGAAACUCAGAUAAAAUAUAUUAGAAUAAAUGUGAGUAUCAUAUUUCCUUUGUUUGUCCUAGAUACUAAUUCAAUCAUGUUGGUUUUUUCUUUACAUAUUAGUUGUCAGAUUAUUAACAUGUCAUAACAACUUCAUGGUUCUGAAUCUGUGGGUUACCAGAUUCUUCUGAUGGAGAUGGGACAUAUUUUCUCCACGAGUACACGAUGCCAAAAGGUUCUAGUUCUUUCUGUUUGUAUGACACACGUGGUUUGUCGGAUGAUUUGAAUGAAAAUAAGAAAAUUGUGGACCGCUGGAUGACAAAAGGGGUUCGUCAUGGGAAGCUAAUAAUGAGGUUUAUAUGAUUUAUUUUGAAUUUACUUAAAAAAAACUUACUUAGGGUACCUUGACUCUCUGAAAUGCUCCUUGUGACAGGGAUUCUGAUGAUGCACAUCCGAAGUCUAACGUUAGCCGAAAUAGAUACUGUGCCAGUGAGACCAAUGUGGUUAAUUGUGUCAUAUUUGUUGUCAGUGCGGUCCAAAUUCUGCAAUCGAUGGACAGUGAUGAUGAAACAAAGAGGCAACAAACUCGAGCUGUUGCUACAAAUUUCAACUACCCUCUCUUGUCAUUCAAAGGUAUUAAUUCACUUUAUUGUAAUGUUGUUAUCACUUCAAUCUGUCUUUUGGCCUUUUAAGAGCAGUGUAGUUGAUUAAAUAUUAAAUGCAUUUUGUUCGUAUUAGAAAAAUAUGUAGACAGGAAUGUUCUAUUAGAUAACGGUUAAUAUUAAUUGAAGCUCCCUUGAUCAGAAUAUGGGGGAGUUCAUUGUGGAUUUACAAAAUAAUGUUGAAGUAAUCAUGUGAAGAAGUGUUGGCCCAUCCAAAAACAAGUGUCAGAUCGAUACUAAGUUUAUAACAUAUUUCAGUAUCUAUCAUCCCAUUUCCUCUUUCUCGUUGUUGGAGCAUAUUACAGCUCUUUUAAUUUGCGUAUUCUCGCCAUCUCAGAUGAAAAACCUAUUGUUGUGCUCACACAUGGUGAUUUACUUUCACUUUCGGAUCGUACGCGCAUCCGCAUGCAUUUGGGACAGCUGCUGGGUAUUCAUCCCAAGAAACAAAUUUUUGACAUACCAGGUGACAUCAAGAUAAGUUAGCAUGCUAGUACAUGAAUUUGUUUAAGUUGAACAAAACUCUAACCACCCCGCACCCCCGUUCUAUGUUUCUCCUUUUGGUUUUGUGUUUUCAGAAAGUGAUGAUUUUGGGACUAGGUUGACUAUACUCAACAUGCUGCGCCAUUGUCUUGAGCAUGCUGAUAAAAACCUACCCUUCAAAAAAGGCCUACCUUUCAAAAGCCCAUAUAGCAGCAAGGUGAGAUUAUUGUUAGAGCAAAUUACAUGGUUGAUUCAUGUUUUAGGCGGUUUCACUUCUUUGUUAGGGACUUUUUAAAGUUCAUUUGUCUGUAAAACGGCUUUACUGCACCUUCCUUUGAUCAUUGAUGGACAUCUCCUAGAUCAAAUGGGUAUUCUGUCAACACUUCAACCUUCUAGCUAGAGUCUUUUGGGAACUAUCAAUUUAGUUAAAUGUUGAAGCAGUAAUGCAUAAUUACAGAGACUUUAAUGUUGGUCAUUUUUCACUUGUAUGCUUUGCCUCUUGGCAAGAGUUUCCUAUUAUGCUACUUCUAUGGAUCUAGGGUGUCGCAUGUUCAGAUGAUGUCAAACUUAGGCUGAGUUAAAAUGGGUGAGUAAAUAAAGAGUCAUGUAGCAAUCACUCAAAGUUCACUUGCGUCAGAAUGGGUUGAGGUGUGAGUCACAGUCCAAGCCAUCCAACUAGAAAUCACUUCUACAGUUUUAUUUUUCUCUGUAAGCUUUACAGUUGAGUUGCUAAAAAUCGUUCACUCUGCAAUAAGCGAAAGAAUUUGGCUGUAAUUUUCUUUAUUCAAGUCAUUUACUAUUUAACGACCCCCAACUUGCCUGGAUUGAGAUAUAGUUUAUUCCUCUAUUAUUUGGCGAAAUCCUGUAGUGGUUAGCAAUGUAGCCUGUUGGAUGAUUGAUUUGGGCUGUUCCUAUUUUUCCACUUAGAUGAAUGUCCCCCACGACCCGCCCAACCUGUUGAAUUUGGAUGCCCACACUUUAUGGCUCAAUACCGACACCCUUACUGAGAUCCAAUUAUGAUAUUGCUAUUUCUAGUUCAUCGGUAUAUAUUUGCGCACACAACUGAUUUUAGGUAUAGCACUUAACUAGUAUUAUGACAUAGAUGGAAGAAGUACAAUGCACGUAUUCAUUGUUUUAGAGACGAUAAUUGAUUUGUGCUGCUUGUAAACUCGACCAUACUCUGCAUCUACAUGUGCUCUUCAGUUUAAAUUACUGCUUCUUGUGCAAUUUCAAAUCAUGUAGUACUGUUUUUGCUUUUAGGGGGCCUUGCAGAUGCUUGCAGUACGUCUUCUAUUGACAUAUGCGGUUCUAGCAAUACUUUUCGGAAUGGGGAUGAUGUUCAAGAAUACUCUCAAAGCCAAAGUUGCCUCAGUUCCUGAUUCACAGGUAUCACAAUCACAUAUGGACAUAGAUUGGCAUGCAACUGCUGUUGAUUCUGCACCCAAUCUUCAGCCUGAGGCAAUGCAACCACAUGUAAAAGUAGAGUGUCAUGCAAGUGAGGUUGAUUCUGUUCGCAAUCUUCACCCUGAGGCCCCCCAAUCAGAUGAAAGCUUAGAUUGUCCUGCAAGUGAGGUUGAUACUGUGCGCGAUCUUCACCCUGAGGCCCACCAAUCAGAUGAGAACUUAGAUUGUCAUGCAAGUGAGGUUGAUUCUGUUCGCAAUCUUGACCCUGAGGCCCCUCAAUCAGAUGAAGACUUAGAUUGGGGUGCAAUCCGACACUUAUGGUCUGACUAAGUUUAUUGAUGAGCUCCGAUGUAUAGAGGUUGAUGCAUACUUUCUCUGUAUAAACGGCAUAAGAUGUCUUACUUUCCUUGUAUAUAUAGCAACUUUCAGCAAUAAUUCUCUUGGAAAAGAGUGACAGUUCUUUAGGAACUCUUUGCAAGUUGAUCUUUACGAGCGUUUAACUGAACUGUUUUACUACUGUUGCUGUUGCAUAAGUGACUAUUCUCGCUAUGAGAAGCACACUUGUCGUGGCGUGGCAUUAUUUUACAUAUAUGGCUUAUAUUGGUCGGGUUAGUAAAUAGAAGAACUAGCAAAGCUUGUCAGCAUUUUAACAUGCACAUAGGAGGAAACUAAUAGGACAGAGACAUUUUGAUUUACUGGGAUUCAAAAGUCAAUAAUUUGUACUUCUAUGAAAUUUAACACACAUUAGGUUCGGAAGACAAGUGUAAGCACUGAUUCACAUGGUACUGAAAUAAAUUCAACCAGGACUUCAGUAACAUUAAUAUUGCAGAAGAGAUUGGAAAACAUCAUAUAUGUAUAUGCUAUAAUAAGGCACAAUGUGCCAAGUAUGACACUUAAAUCAAUGGCAACUGCAUUAGAAAUGAAAAACCAAGGGCAACUUAAAAAUAUUGCUGGUAUGGUCCCUUGCUCAUGCUAAAUAUUACAAGGAUGGAAAAAAAAUGGAUAAAAUUUCAUAACCUCAUUUAUCACUAUGCUAUAGAAGUAAAAACAGGACCUCCAAGCAAAGAACCUACAUUCUUGAAUUCAGCGCGAGUUUGCUUCUCAAUACCUUCAGUUUUACCUGAGUAAUCCGUAGGACAAGUACUUAGCUUGCUGUAGCCUGUAUAUUUCCUUUGAGAAAAGACAUCAUCUUCCUGCAGAACAAGAGUCUGGGAGGCUCUGCAGAAAUUUUGCUCUUGCAACAGGGUCAGUGGAAAAUCGACCCAACACAGCAAAUGUGGCUGUGUUGCUUCCAAAUUUCUCGAUUCCUCUAGAUAUCAUACAGGUGUGAUUUGCUUCCACAACUACGAUAAUGUCUUCACCUAAGAAUGAUGAAACAGUCUCAGCUAUUUGUCUGGUAACCCUUUCCUGUACUUGGAGUUUAAAGCCAUAAAAAUGUACUACUGAUAGCACUAGAGGUCUUCCAACCGGGUUGACUCCAUCUGAAGAGUGAUAACCAAUGUGCACAACACCUUGAAAAGGGAGUAGAUGAUGUUCACACUGGGACCAGAAUGACAAAUUGAGCUCAGAGCAGAUGCCAUCAUUAAAAUUACCAACCUGACCAGAAGGACUUCGAGUAUCUAUUCUACUUCGAACAAAGCCAUUCAGUUUCAUCUCCAAAUUAGAGUUUCUAAAGUUCAUGAACCACUUCACAAACCUAGAUGGGGUUUCUACAAGCUCUUCUCUCAAUGGAUCUUCGCCCAGAGACUUAAGUAUUGAAUUCACUGCAUUUGUCAUAGCUGAAUUUGCUUGUCCUAGCAUGCCACAAGAUUGAGAUGGGCACCAUGAUUGGCUAGAGGAUCUACGAUGAGCAUUGUCUAUGCUUAUACCUCUGAAUUUUAGUAGACUCCAAAAAUCAGUCCAAACAUCAGCAUUUCCAUCCUCAAAAACACCAGAACCUGAGGUAGCUGUUAUCUUUACCCAUCCUUGGGAAGUCGAGUCGAGAAAUGCUGAUUCAAAAUUUGGAAAACAAAUAUGCAUACACUGUAGAACCACAGCAACACCUGUUGGCUUGAUUCCAUGCUGCAAAGCAGUGCAAACUUCAUCCGCAAGGCGCUGUGGACUUUGGAGCCGUUUUGCAAAAAUAUCAGCAACCCGAGAAAGCUUGCUUAAUCCUACAACCCUUUUUCCAGAUGGGACAUAACCUACAUGACACUUAACCUGGAAUGGAAGCAAGCAAGACUCACAGUAUGAAAAGAGAUCAAGAUCUCGAACAAUCACAAGCCCACCAACUCCUCCAGCCUGACCACUUCCACCUUCCAAUCCAGCUUCAGGGAAUAACGCGCCAUGAACGAUAUCAUUCACUUUUUGUUUGUAACCUUCAUACAACACAAAAUAUGAAAGACUAGAGUCAAACAGUAGUUUAAAACAUCAAUCCACCGACCCAUCUACAAUUGAAACUAUCAACAUGUUUCAUGCUAAUAGAAGACGUAGAUAUCCCUUGCAUACAGCAUGAUGAGUUCUGUGGUGAACUAGCAUAAGAUAGAUGUUCAAUGACUUGCAACAAUUUGUUAUGAUGUAAUCAAGUUCUUGGUGUUCAAAAUUUUUUCACUAAAGAAAUCCCUGCACUUGUUUCAACCUAGAACAGAAAUCCAGCACUAACCAGCAACCAACUAUUUAAAUGUAAACUGCAGAAAGGAGCAAAGAACAAGAAAGAAUGUUUCUUAAAUAAACAAGAUGAAAUUCCUAAUUGCAUAUGAAGAAACAUUGUUCCUAGAGAUGCUUCUCUUGACUAGAAAAAGAACACAUGAUAUAAUCUUUACUUCCCCUCACGUGUAUUGAAGAGACAUACACACAUCAGUUUCCUUCAACUGUGCUUCAAGGAUGAGUAUCCAAAUCAAAUACAUGGUUGCAACUACUUGACGGAAUAUCAUUUCAUGGACGUCCAAAGUCUGGUUUCAACAUUCACGACUUCCCUUGUCCCUAACUACGUAUAGGUUCACUUCCAAUAGCUUCAUACCAACAUUUACCAAACAAAAGUGGUUAGAGAAAAUGAAGUUAUCCAAUUUGCCUAAUGAGAGGGGUUUCAUCUAACAGCCUCCAACCUCCACCUUGGUGGACACACCAGAAUGGCCGAAAAUAACCUCUACACUGGAAAUUGAGCCACUUUUCCGAAACUUCAAAAGGUGCAGCGCUGGGUUCAUCUAGAAAAUAUGAAAUACAGAAAGCUCAUAUCCAACAUUGAAAGACAACUUUUUUUCUGGAAAGUUUGACGACUCAUGCUGCACUAAAUGCAAAGCUAAACAACAGGUGCAUUAGGAGAUUACUGAACUUCCUAAAGGGGGCAAUGGAAAGCUGGAAAGCCCAUCGAUCAAGAAGUCACGGCAAACCAUCCAAAGAUACAGUUUUGGACCAUCUGGAGGGAAGGAAUUUGAGAUAUGAUGAGGGGUUGGAAAACACCACCCUAACCUGAAAAGCCUUCUGAAGUUUGAGGCAAUCAUUUUUUUUGAAGAUAAACUGAAGUUUGAGGCAAUCAUUGCUUCAAUAUUCCAGAAUAAAUAUUCUGGCUACACAAUGAAAAUAAUUAUUUGGUGUAAUGAAGAAAACCAGACCUGGAAGUACUUUUAAAACUCAAUUUUAAAAUGGUAUAAAAGCAACUAAAAUAGUCCUCCUAGAAAUGACAAAGCUUGUUUGUCUGGUUAAAGCUAAUUCCUCUACCUUACCCGUUCUCUUUCCUUUUAUACAUAAUAAGGACAGACUGCUCAUAAUUGCAGAACCUUCACUAAAGGAGAACAAAAAAAGACCAAUUCAGUAAAUUCUUCAACAAAAAAAAUUCCAUCUUUUGGCAUUUUCCAACAAGGGAAACACACAAACAAACAGCAUGAUGCAAAAAUAAGCAUUCAUACUAGCAGUCCUUACUAAUAAUACUCUGACAAGCUUGAUGCACAAACUACACUUUCCCCAGAUCUCAUGGAGAUAUUAAGUUAGCAGAUCCAUUGACACAGAACAAAUAAAAAACAAGUAUUACAAAAUCCAAAAGGGUGUCAAAGUUUACCUCUUGUUCCUUGUCGAAGAGCCUUAGCAACACGAAAAGGGGUUUUCUUGAUUCCUUCCCUAUUGAUAUCUUCACCCAAACCCUGCAAUAGGACUCUAACAGCAUCCUGAAUAGCCAGUGUUUCAGGCUGACUUUCAAAGCCAAGCUCAAAACUAACUUCGUUAUCUAUUUCUGCAUGAUAAUGCCCUUCAUCUAAUGCGCCCAUUGACACACAAAACGAAAUAAUACAACAGAUCUUACCACCUGAAUCACAAGUGAUGAAUCAAGAACAAGAACAAAAAUUGAAUCUUUAAUUCGAAAGAUUUUAGCCAAAGAUUCCAAAUUUGAGACACCCAAUGACCCAAAUGAGGAAAAUUUGACCAAAAAUAGGGAUGAAAGGGGAUUUGUAGGGCUGCUAUUGAUGAACAUAUACUAUAGGGAUCUGGAGAUGAGAUGCAUAUGCAUUACUACAAGAACUUUGCAGUAUUUAAAAAAUGUUUUCUUUUAAUAAUAAAAAAUACGCAAAUAAAUAAAAAUAUGAUUUUUUUUUUAAAAAAAAAUGUAAGGUUGCAGUUGAUAUUGGAAUGUGUGGAAAGCUUUACCUAAUUCUGUCACGGCACUACUUGUGUACAAAAUUAAAGAUUUAAGUUGUGAAUUUAUGAUAUAUCAAACUAUUGAAAACAUCCCCUUAUUAAUUUAUAGCUUUAAAAAUAUUUAUUUAUUCAAUUAAUUAAACUUAAAUAUACAUCGAUCUGUCACAUGACAUAGAAAGUAAUCUUAAAUUCUUGUAGGAGCAUGAAACUUUUAAUAAAAAGCCGAGAAAUUAUAAAUAUCGAAGGUGUAUGCAAUAUCAAAGGAUAUAUGUGUAUUUAAAUUUAGUUAGUCAAAUAAGAAUGUAUUUUUAAGAUUGUCAAUAAUUUGAGGAUAAAACUAAUAAUUCACGCUAAAUUUAGGAAUUCGGAACUCAAACCCAACUUGGCUUGUCUAUUCCAUCCGCCGUCGCAUUGUAGCAGUUAGAUGAGUUUCUCAAUCAUUCAUCGCAUGGUUGUGCUUGGCAACUCCUACACCAAUAAAACUUGUGAAGAUCGUUUUUAUUUAAUUGAGUGGCUUUUCGAGGAGUGGAAAGGUUAAUAGAUUCAAUCGAACUCAAUAACUUUAGUUUAAAUUUGGUAUGUAUUUUAAAUUUUUUAUUUAAUAUAUAUAAUUUAAAUGGACUAAAAAUGGGCGGGGCAUUGGUGAAUGUUAUCUUGUAUACACCAAUUAAAGUGGGUGGGGAAUUGAGAUGCCACUAGCCAGUGACCACUAAACAAACUCAUCAUUUUGUCUUCUACUUAAACAUGGCAAAAUCCUCAUAUUGCUCUUCAAUUUCAACUCUGUGGGACCAAAUUUACCAUUUUUGAAAGCAUAAGCAUGGCAUAGAAAUGGAUAAUAAUAACAUUCACUGAGAUUUGGUGGAAUUUUGAAAAUGCAUGAGACAUGAUUUCCUCCUUUAAAUUAAGGACUUUUGGUGGGGUAAGGAAAGGGAAAAUCAAGGAGAGAUUAUGUGGUGGGAAAUUGAACUUUAUCAAUAAAGUUAUCAACUGAGUCACUAAGAUUCUGUCGUUAGUAAAUUCAAAAAUAUUUUUUCUCAAUAAGUAGGUUGUUCUAUGAUAAAUACUAAAGAGAUAAUUCUUUCGAUUUCACUCGUAUCGCACUACUAGCUUUUCCGUUGAAAUCAUAAGCAGAACUCAUAAAAUAUAUUCAGAAUUCAAGUCAAAUUCAAACUUAGCGAACUGAAACAUCUUAGUAGCUAAAGGAAGGGAAAUCAACCGAGACCCCGUUAGUAGCAGCGAGCGAGAGCGAAUUGGGAUUUGAAAAAAAACAAACACGAAGCUUCGUUCAAAUAACUGGCUGGCGGUCCACUUAGUCGGCUCAAACUGGACAGAAAGGGAAAUAAACGCUGUUUUAGAACAAGCAGUUUUUCCAGUAAUGAUUAAGUUUCACCAAUAAAGUUUCUGUCAAGUGAUGUUAGCUUGGUUAAUUUCUUGCUUUUGUUGAUUGUGUGUGUGGCAUUUAACUUGACUUUGUAGCUACUCAAAAAAAAAAAAAAGAUGACUUUAAUUUGCUGGAAAGGAUUCUUUCAAUUAAUUUAUUUUUCACACUGGAUUCGAAUUUUAAAAUGAACUUUUCACCAACCUCAAAAAAAGAGUUGGGGUGUGGUGAUGACCACGAUAUAAAGAGCAAAGAAUAAGGACUUGAGAAAUGAUAUAAUAUACAUUAAUUUGAUAUCCUGUCAAACAUAUCACAAAAUUCUGCGUAAAAGGUCAAAAACACAUUUAAAAUAUCUUGAUUAUUGAAUUCUAAAAUGUCAGGUGUGUGAGCUUACUAUUGAACUAUUACCAAAUAAUUAUCGAAACACACCUUGACUAUUAGUUAUUUGUUUUCCUACUUAAAUGAUAAUGAUAUUUCAAAUAGAAAACUCUCACACCUGAUAGUUCGAAUAAGUAUGUUCUUAAUUCUUCACUCUAAUUGUUUUUAAAUGAUAUUUUAUUUUAAAUUUUGUGUCAAAACAAAUUACCGUAAAAAAGAAGAAGAAGGUUAUAGGACGAAUGGAGCAGUAUAAUCUCAUGUGGGCUGAACCAUUAAAUGGCUGGUCUAGUCAUGGGCCGAGUCCAGGAUAUUUGGGCUUUAUUGUGUAGUAGCCCAGUUGCCAAUAUAUACCUUCACAAACCAAUAUCGUGACCCGAAAUAAUAAGAAAGAAGCGAGUACACUCUCAGUACAGCUCCAAGCCAUCAAUGGAGAAAAAUUCGUCAGUCGGUGCGAAGCCAUGGAGUCAUCAUCCUCAUCACCAUCACCGUCAUCAUCACUUUCAGAUAUUGCAUAAUUGUCCAUUUCACAGCUACAUGUUGCAGCGGAACAAACAUGGACCAACAUGCCCACUUUUUACUCCUUCUCCAUUGCCGCAAAACCCUGAACAAAUUACUCCGUCUUUACUGCCGGACGAUUUGAAUAUGCAGAUUUCUGAGCCUAAUGUCAGUUUUAACGACUCAGGGUAACUUUCACUCAAUUAAUUAAUGCUUUCUUGUGCUUUGAUUGAAAUUGGGUUGAUUGUAUUUUCUGCACAGUUGCUACCAUUGCACUUGGAUUUUGUGAUUACUGAUUAUAUAAAAAUGCCAUAUGUAUUUGCUGGUAAUAGUUUUAUUUCUUGAUAUUUUACCUUCUUUUAAUCAUGAUUUUCUGUAUAACACAAGCUUAAAACAUCAGCAUUACUGAUCACUGAAUUUCUGAUUUUGUUUAGAGGCUAGAAGUUUCUUUUGAGGCACCCAAGGGUGUGGCCAAGUGGUUCAAGUCCUAGCCGAGACAAAAAAAACACUUGUGAUUUUUUUCUGUGUCCUGUUGUUGAUAGAAUUAGUGGAAAUGCACACAAGCUCUUUUGGGCACCACAGUUAUAAAAAGAAAAAAGGAAGUUUCUUUUGAGUCGAGGGUCAAACAACCUCACAACCCCCACAAAGGUGGGAGUAAUAUCUGAUUGAUUGUUUAAAGGCUAAAAGUUGGUAUAUUUCAUGGCCACCUUUUGAGUGAAAAGUCUGAAAGCCUGGAAUUCAUUUUCCACACUUGGGAGUUGUUUUCUACUAGUGUAUGGGAACUGGGAAGUAACAAUCUAUUGCAUCUAUAAUUAAACGUUGGUUCAAUGAUGGUGAAUACUAGUGUAUGAAAACGCACCUCAGCCACUGAAGGUGCAGAAUGUUUGCUUACUAUGCACUGUCUGGUAUUAUUUUCCUCAGUAGCUAAUGUCAGUCAGACUGCAAUUAGAUGCAGCAAUGGUUGGACAUAUUAAACAAAAUUCAGUAAUUACCUAUUCUGCUGAUUGUGACUCAACUGAUUAUUAUCCCUUCCCGAUAGGUCUACAUCCAUCCCUGAAUCUCGUGGGUUACUAUUUUGUUCCCUUCAUUCUUGUAAAUGUCACCUGCGAUCUGCGCAGGUGUUUCUGCACCCCUGAGUAGACAGGAAAUAAAGGAUUUCCAUUAGCAAAUUGAGGAAAGAUAUUACAAAUAGUUUGUGGAGAUCCCAAAUGACGACUUAUAGGAGCAUCAACUCCCCCAUCCAGCAAUAUACACCGCAUCUCUGCCUUCACGCUCUCCUCCUUGUCCUGACCAGUUUUCGCAGCUGUCCUUUUCUGUUCCCAGAGCCCAUUUUUCCUUAGCUCUGUCCAUUUUCUCUCUAUCACCGUGGAAUUUUAUGCUUAUGUAUAACUUCUCUAGGAGUCCUACAUCUUCUUACUGAAUGCAACCAUCUCCAAGUCAUCCUAAUUCUCUCGACUCCUCAACAUAACAUUUGAAAUCCAUUCCACAUUUUCAGAAGUCCUCUCAGUUUCAGAACUGUGCAUGGGAAGUGGUAAUAUUGAGUUGAUUGCUGCUGAAUUUGGGACUCAAGAAAUAGGUCCAAAGUAAAUAGUGAUUUCUAUGCAUGUUCUGUUUGUCAAAGAAAAUUGAAAAGAGGAGGGAGUUUGUCCAUCCCAAACACGGAGAAGUACUUGAUCCCACUUUUCUUGUCUUUUAGUUUGUUCUUGGAAAAGGGGAUGAAGAUUGGUUUUGUGAUAGUUUGAAAGACAGAGUAUUAGUGGGUGCUAGUUGACUGGUUGAUCUUCUGUAUUUGUUGUAAUGCUACAUUUGAUUGAAACCUGAAGCAGGAAAUUCUGGCUUCAAAUAAACUCACAGGAAAUAAAUAUAGAUUAUAUUGGAAGUUUAAGAGAGUUUCAAUGGACCACUCCUUAUAGAAUGCAGAGGAAAAUGGUAAAAAAUCACGGACCUGAAUUUAAAGUUUCGGGAAUCAAGUAGGUGGUGUAGGAGAAAUUGAAGCUAGAACCUCACUGGCAUGAUUCCUUUUUGGUAUACAUGUGAAGCUGUGCGCUUGUGAAGUUACCCUUGUGUUAGAGCUGUCAAUCUUAAGGCUCUUUCAUCCGGUUGAUUUUAACUUUUUUUUGUGUGUCUUCAUCUGAAGAAUGAUGCAAAAUGAAGGUGAGAACUUUGAAGAUGAAGAUGAAGAAGAGGAGCCUAUUUUUGUCCUUACAGAUGAAUGGAGAGAUUUCUUUGCCAAAUCUGAAGCUAAAAGGAGACAAGGUAUUUUCACCACUUCCUUCUCUUUUAACUGUACAACUUUUGCUAGAGGUGUAGUGAACUAAUGUAUUUGAUCGGUCUGCAGCAAAAAAACAUGCUAAGAAGAAAGGGAAGGGUAAGAUCACAAAUGGGAACACACCAGCAUUGGAGGACUGAUUGUGACGUGAAGAAUGAAACUGCUAUAUGUCCAGAAGACAGGACCAGGAUAAACCCCUUUGGAUAGUUGUGACAGAAUACCAAAUAUCUUAAUUCUAUAGCUCAAGAAAUGUUUCUUUGCUCGAGAAGAUGUUAUUAACUAUUGAGUAUCACCUGAAGAAGGAAUAUGAGCUGAUGUAAUAUGCAUUUUUCAAAUGUUAUCAUCAUUGUCAUCAUUUACGCCUUUUAAUGAAUAUUUUUGUGACAUCCUUGGUUGAAGUAUCGUUUGUAUGUCAUGUUAGCUGCGGACUUGCAGUUGCUAUUGUUAUCAUCCCAGGGCUAUCUGCAGAUUUCUGCUUGGUUUUCAAUUAUCCACAACAUAGAACGAGGGAGCCAACUCUUUUUUCAAGGAACUGAAAAUGUCAUAAUGCUAAUAUAUCAGGGAUUUGAUGUUUAUGUUCCUACCAUGUCCUUUCAAGAUAAUAUACAAUAGUAACUGGUUCACAGUCAAAUAUUUAUAGAUAUCUAGUAAAUUAAGUACUUAAUAAUAUAUCUUGCCCGGAAGCUAGGUGCCCUGGUAUCAACUAUCUUCCAGCUAGCUUGCUCAUGGCGGCAUUUACCCUCUCAUCUGAGAUCGAUCUAUGGCCGUCAUAAUAAUCUAGUAUCUCCAUUGCUAUAUUUUUCACCUGUCAACAUUUAGAACUUCAUUAAAAGAUGGUUGUCCAAGCAGCAACUUGACAUUAAAAUAAGGGAUAGUCUAACGAUGGUCUUGUUAUAUUUUGAAAUCAUUGGCAAAGUUAAGCUUGCAUACAUACCACAUUCAUAUCAACUCGAAGCUCCUCAAACCAGGCAGUAGUUUCUUUAUCUUUCAGCACACUUGCAAUAUAUAUGCAAGCUAAAGUAAUCAAAUGUGGCGGAUGAAUGAGAAUUAGGUCCAUCUUAUAGGUGUCAUUUAUAAGUCCCCUAAAAGAAGCAGAAUUCAGAAGUUAUCAAGAUAAAAACAAAACGAAUGUAGAAUUUUGGAGAGACAUAUUAUGGGAAGUAAUAUUUUAGAGUAAUCUGACAAAUUUCGCAACUAGAAGUCAAAGAUAGGAAAGCCUCGGAAAGUUUCUUACCAAGUCAAUUGAGUUGCAUCAUUCAUGCCGGCAUCCUGAAGGAACCUGCAAAAUUGAGUUAAGAAUCAAGUUGUAUGCUGAGAGAAAUUGAUCAGCUACACAAGGAGGUAUCUAGGAGAUACUUACUGUGCUAAUGAACGAUAUGGAUGAUAUACGACUAAGUAAUAGUUUAGGGCUUCCAGAACUUUCAUCUCCAUGUCUAGUAUGUCUUUUAUUUCAUAUUUAUACUUCUCAUCCGAAUCUGCAGAAGCAAGUCAGAAAAAUCAACGUCUUGCAUUAGAAAUGAACUAAAUUGGGUAUGUAGCAACAACAGGAUAUCAUAAGAAGUACUUUUUCAUUGUAAUCUAAUAUGUUCUUACAUAAUUUCUUGAUGUAAAAUACAAGAAGUCGGGCCUGCACAGUGCUUUCUUCUGCUUUUGAUGCCAAAUACAAGCAAGUUGGAGCAACCAGACGAGGAUCAUACUCGGUCAUACUUCUCCUAUGGACAAGAAAAAAGAUGGUUAGAAAGAAUGAUAAAGUAGAAUGGUGGUUCAAGGUGAAGCAAUAGUAGGCCUGUAGAGCAUAAGUGUGAAUUUAAAAGUUUCAGUUUUGAAACAGAAAGGACACAGAGUCCAAAUUAGAGAAUUUUCCUUCCAAUUCGUAUGACUUUGUCCAGGAUCUAUUCCAGAAAAGAGUUAGCACAGGAUCCCAAACAUAAAUAUAAAACUGGUUCAAAGAAACAGAGCUGAGGGUGCUUUUUUACUCUUUAAGAUAGCAUUUUUUUUUAACAUACGAAAGCAUAUGACUUCAUGUUUGUCAGUUAUGUAUGCAAAUGCGAUUUAUUGUACACAUAUUUCUUUUUUAUGUAAGAAUAGCUAAAGUGGUCCAUCCAAUAUCCUUUCCAAAUCAGCUUACUUAUUUUACUUAAUUUGCUUUGGUUUAGCAAAGUCAUUUGCUGAUAAAGUGGUUCUACCAGAACAUAAUAAAUCACAAUUUGAGUGGCCAUAGCUGGUGCUUGCACAUAUCUGUGAGGAAUUUCUGCGGAGAAGUGACUCGGCAGACUCUCUCUCAGACUGCACAGAAUUUCCCUAUCCAGAGCUGCAUCGGAACAUUAUUGCCAGUAAUACCAAUCUUCUUUUCUCAUAAGUUCUACAUUUUUUUUCACAGCACUGAUUCACUAGUCCUCUUGUAUGAUUUAUUUAAGCAAGCUAAAGAAUUUAUGCAAUGUCUUUAAGAACCAUUACCCCAUUAGUUCAUCAUUCAUAAUCUUAUAGGCUUAAAGCAAUAUGGAUUUAUGUCUGGGUGGUGGCUUGUCGGAUUAAAAGUUCCUAAGUAAUGUAUCCUAUAUGCCAACAAGCUGAAGGUCCUUUUAAUAGGCGGACUUUUCUGGUUAGGUAAAUAAUUUACAGCGAAUAGUGUAUUGUCCUCCUAAUACCAAAGAUAGCAUGAUAUACCUGACAUAUACGCGUCUCAUGUACGUAAUUGCGGUAGCAACAACCCUGGAAAUAAAAAUCAUAUAUUAGAUACUAGAUUUCUGGAAGUAGCAAAAACAGGUGUUUUAAGAAGGAAAAUUACACAAACACACAUCGUCAGUUCCCUUCUGUGAAAGUUAUGGAAAUACAUGUAAUAAACACUCAGGUGCAAAGAGCAAUCUUGAAAAGUUUGUGAUGAAAAAAAUAACUAUGUCGAUAGGUAAUCCACAUUGUAUGAUCCACAUAUUGAGCAGAGGACACACUUAUGUAGUAUCACAGCAUUGACCUUCCUCUAUCGUCAAGCAAGUCCUCUAACUAUUAAACAGCUACAGCUAGUAGAUUCUUCCCCCUUAUUCACAUCCAAGUAAUGGAAUAGAUAAACGAACACAUAAUGUCGUGCAGUAUAUAUCUUCCUACAGGAAAAUAAUAGGUCUAAACAAAUAUUGAUCAUGUCAAUGGAAACAACAUCCAAUAAGCAUGUAUUUUUAUGACCAAAUAGCUCUUCCAGUUUUUCAGCUAAAGGUUAUGAACCUCACAGAAACAUUAUGCUCUUAAAGAGACAGUGAUGCUGAUGAAGGAACAUAAGAAAUACCUAUUACUUAUAGCAGAAGUUUUAUAAGCAGAUGAGGAGAGAAAACAGACCUUUGUCUCACUUUCACAUUUUGAGCCAAUCUUGCAACAUCUGCGAGGGAGCAGAAAAUUUAACAAAUCAAACGAUAUGGAAAACGGUAAUUAAAUUGUCCUGUGCAAGAUGAUGAUUGAUAAUAAGGAACUGCAAGCCAGGCAACCAGUCACAUAUACAUUAAAAUAAAACAAGUAAAGCACAAAUUCUGAGAAGUUUGAAGGCAUGCAAAGUAUGUUCGAGAAAAGAUAAGUGGUGCUCAAGAGGUAUACUGAAGGUUUCAAUUGUUUCAACUAUGCCAGACAAUUAAAUUUAACUGCAACUACCAGUGUGUACAUCAGCAAAAUUGGCCAUAUAUCAUGUAGAAAGAUGCACAUUUUGAUGUUGCCACUGAGUGCCGAAAAAGUACUUUGUCUAUGUUACAUACUUCAGACAAAUAUUUUUGUUAUGUUGGGUUUUUAUUAUAAAAUGUAUCAUUGUGAUAUUGCAAUAGAUCGUGAAUCAGAGCUUUAUCCAUUUCUGUUGACUAAAUUUCCAAUCCCAUAGCCGACAGCCUCCUUCAGAAGAGAUAUAAUAUCUGGUAUUCAUGCCAAGGGGAUCAGGCACAUAACACGCACAUCAGCCUUCCUAAAGUACAUUUUGAGCUCUCAAAUACCAGCAGUUUUCAUUCUUCCAAAACAAACCUCCAAGCCAAUAUAUAGUUUCUUAGCAGGCAAUAAAUCUUAAAUGACAGUUUUAAUAGAUUGGCGUAUCAAUGAAAAUUCUAAACUAAAAGGCAGUGACAACAUAGAAAUUUCCCAUUUCUGAUCUUCGGAUCUUGAGUAAUGGUAUUAAUUUCUUUCAUGAUAGGAAAUUAUUGGAUACCACUAGAAAUAGCUGAAAAGGAAAAGAAAUUCUUUAUUUUAGGACAAUGGAAAACUACUUAUUAUGCAAGCUAAGAGCUGGGUCCGCCCCUCUAACCACAUCAGGAUAUAAGACAAUUAGAAAACAGACAAAAGCUAGAUAAUGGGCCCGGCCCUCUACCCUCUACCCUCUACCCUCAUCCACUUAAAUACCAGACUUUAGUCUAGAGCAAAGUUCGAACUCACGACGUGCGCCUAACCCCUAAGUUGCGUGGACUUUUAACUUCUUAUGCCGCACCCGUGUCGGAUUCUCCAAAAAUACACUACUUUUGGAGAUUCCGACAUGCACCUGUUGACAUUAUUGAAGAGUCCGAGCAACAUAGCCUAACCCACACAGCACGCGCGACGCUCUUACCACUAGACCAACGCCCUAGGGGCUCAGGAUAUAAGACAUUUAUAGCUAUUAUUAUUAUUAUUAUUAUUGGAGAAUCGUGGACCAAACAUAUCCAAUGACAAUAAAGACACAAAUAACAGAUCUUUAGCCACCGCUUUGUACUUAAAGAUGCACUUGCUGGUGCUCUUUCAUGAUCAUAAAAAAUCACUAAACUUACUGACAAGAAACAGAAAAACAGUCUCUUCAUCAAAUAUGGUAUGAAAAUGAUAGAGUUUCAGUGCUCGUCCAUAUAAUCUAGCAAAUAACACAUGCUCGAUAGGGUAAUUACUAAGCAAAUCAGAGUAAAGCUAACAUUUCGAAAAGGGUCAUUUCAGGAAUCGUAUGAACAAGAGAAAAAAAAAUGCAGCUAACAAGGUCACAAAACGAAAUCAAGAAAGAAGUAAACACAAUUAUAUGAAAACAUAAUGUGAUAUAAUCUGCAAACUCCAGCAAGUGAUUAAUACCCUUGAAAAAUUCAAAUUAACCUAAAAAGCUAUGUACUUUACGCCUGAUUCCCAUAAGCAAAAUCAACCUUGAAAACACCCCCACCCCCACACAGGGGCGGAUAUACCAUUUUGGCUACACCUACUAAAAUCUCAAUAAAUCUAAUCCCUGAAGCCAUACUUUUAACAAUAAAAUAAGUCCAAUGCUAAGAAUCACAGAAUAAACCCUUGUGGUUCGAGCCUUCCCCGAACACGCACAUAGGGCUAGAUUAGUGCUAAGAAUCAUAAAAGCUGAACCCAUUUAAUUAAAUCAUUGGUUAUGGGAAUUACAAUUGGACAUAUGCAACUUGAUGAGCUUGAAAUCAUCGAGAGUGAUGCCUCUCUCUUUAUCCAACUGAUGCACAACAUCAACCUCUUCUUGGUCCAAAAGUUCCUUGCUGCAAACAACAAGAAAACAUCAAAACAAGAAAGAUUGAAGACGAAAAAAGGGAUGAUUUUUAUACAUACUACUGAGAAGAUAUCCAGAAAUUGGCAGCCAUAUGAUGAAAAGAGAAACACACAGAAUCAGAAAUUGGGUUUGAGCCACUUUAACUUGUACGAAUUCGACAACUGAUCCAGAUUCUUCUUCUUCUAGUUUCCUUUUCCCCUGUUCUUGUGAGAGAAGAAAAAAAUGGAUAAACGUCAGCUCUCUACUUUAUUGGGCUUUAUGACUAUUAGCUUUAUAAGGCCCAUGUAGGAGUUGGCCCAACCCAAAAUCUCGAGUUGCUGCUGUAUUUUUAGUGUAAAAUACUUUUUAAUAAAUGAAAAUAAGAUAAACUACCUUAUUAGACAUACAUCACUACUAUAUAUACUAAUAUUAUCUUUAUUUUCAAAUAAUUACAUAUAUUAUCACUUUUAAUAUUUUAUAUCAUUUAUUAAUAUAUUAUUUGAAGAUACAAUUAGAUAGAUACCCACAUCCCUUAAAACUAGGAUGGAUUAAUUAUCUACUUAAUUAACUCUUUCACUCCAAAUUAACCACUAUCUCUUAAUCCUCCUUCCCAUAUUUAUCACUCAAAUUUCACCAUACAAUUUCAUUCCAACAAUAGCUAAUCUACUCUUUUCUUCUCAAGAUAUCAUCACCAUGACCAACAAAUUCUCCUAAACCCAAAUAUUAUUUUGUAUUGCUCAUUUAUAACGAGAUCAAAUCAAAGUAACUGCUACAGAGAAAACUUUCAAUUCAAAGUGGGUCUUGAUUGUUUGUCUUCGAAAGAAAUGAAUAUUAGUUUUGAUUAUGUUAUGCCACAAAGCAAAAGGAUCAAAGAGAGUAUUGUAGAGAGUUUUUGUUUGUUGGUGUUCUUAAGGCUUUCUUUGGUUAUUGUGUACAUUGAUGUGGUAGUACCAAUAUUACUUCAAUAUAGCCCUUGAAACAUGUGUAUCCAAUAAGUAGUAAUCUUAAUUAAGAUUUGAGUUUGUAUUUUUAGUAAUGGGGUAUUUGAACAUAUAUAUGUAUCCACCAUUUAAUUUCGGAUACAUGAUUUUUAACAACACCAUGAUAUUAAUGAUACGACAUACUCUACAGUCAUGAUUUGCUCUUAAAUUUAUGUGUUUCAACUACAUUUCAUAGUUAGAUACACGAUGCUUCUUCUUUUUGUAUAUUCCAUAUUUAGAUACACAUAAUUAGAUGUAUAUGCUUCUUCUUUUUGUAUAUUCCAUAUUUAGAUACACAUAAUUAGAUGUAUAUGCUUCUUCUUUUUGUAUAUUCCAUAUUUAGAUACACAUAUAUAAUUAGAUGUAUAUGUUUACUAUAUAUUCGAGAUACAUGUUUUUUGAUAUAACAUAUGCAAUUGAUACUUGAUACAUCAAAUUAAUACUAGAUACGUAUAAAAGAUGCAUGAAAUUAAUAUUAGAUAUAUAUAAAUAGAUACCUAAAAUUAAUACUAGAUACGUAUAACAAAUUAAUACAUGAAAUUAGUGUUAGAUACUUCUAUGAUACAUAUGAAUGUAAUUGUAUGACACUCAUGCAUCUAAGUGUUUAGUUUAUUGGAUACAUCAUAUAUUGAUAAUAGAUACAUCACAUUAAAUGAAUUUAUUAUUUUAAGAGUAAUAAUUUGAAAUUAAUCAAAUUUACAUUACCAAGAUAUACAUGUUUUUAUCUUAUAUUAAUAAUAUUAAUGAAUUUACUAUUUCAAAGAAUAAUAAAAUGAAAUUAAUUAUCUAUGUAUUUUGAAAAUCCUCAAUUACUCCUCUAAUUAAGGAAAUCAGUUACAACCAAUUAAUUUAUAUAAAUAAAUUUUGUAUCUCAAUUUUAAAAUUACGGUCAGAUACAUGUAUCUCAUGAAUUCAGACUCAUGUAUCCAAAGCAUGAAAUAUGGUAGAUGAAGCAAUAUUUGAAACUAUUGGGAAUCUUAAUAAUUAAGAACUAAACUAGUGGGAUUUAUGUGGUUUGCCCAUGAAAAUAUUGGAUAAUGAUCUAUAAUUUCAUAAUCUAACGUUGUUAAGUAGGGAUGAAGGGUAAUUUCUUAAGAGUUAUAUUUGUACAGCAAUAACGAAAAAUUUUACUAUGGGUGAGGCCCAACCAACCAAAGUUGGAAGAGGCUCCAUCCAUUUUUUGACAUGUGGAUCGUGGGGCCCAAAUUAUUAGUUAAGGCUAAAAAAUGAAACCAAAAGGAGAGAGAAUGUAAAGUUUGAGUGGGAAUUGCAAGAUAAUUGUGGGGUCCAUGUCAACUUUAAUUAAAUAAAUUAAAAUAUUAUAUUGAAAGUGAAAAAGUGCAAGGGAAUAAAAAGUCAUAUUAUUAGUUGAUCAAUAUUUUUAUUUUCUAUUUUAUAUCCACAUUUAUUUAACGUGUUGAAUUGAAUAUCUAUUAAAAAUAUUAUUCUUAUAUUGAAAUUUGUUUACACUCUAUUUUCUUUAAACUCGCGUUACUUUUAAAAAUAGUUCUAUAUUACAAGAUAAGAUAAGAUUUGUGUAUUUUUUAUUGUCUUCAAACUAAUUUACUAUUAACGUCAAAUACCAAAUUGAAGACAUGCAUAAUUCUAAUCACCUAUUAAAUAAACCCUUUAAUGCUACUAAAGCAAUGGGGUGAAGAAAUGGAGGACAAUAUGAAAAAAGAGCGGAAAAAAAGAAAGUGAUAUCGUUUGUUUUGAAAACUCGAAAAUCUCAUUAAAUGAUUGUUGGUUAAUUUUAUCAUGUUGCGUUUCAUUUACACAAAAUAUAAAUUAUUUCAUUAGUUAAAUUAUUUAUCGUAGUGACUAGUGAGAAUGUACAUUAUGUUAGCAUUUAUUAAUUGAGAAAAGGUUCUAUACAAACUUGUGGUCCCUCCGUCUCAUAUUAUUUAAAAUAUUUUUUCGGAAUUAUUAUUUAUUUUAGAUAAUUAAAAUAGAGUGUAUUAAGAAGAGUUACAAGGCAAUUAAGAAUUGGGUGGUUAAAAUUGAAAAUCUCAAAAAAUAAAUUAAUGACUAAAAUUUAAAUAAUUAAAAUUAAAUUGUGAAUUUUGUAAUAAAUAAUACCGAAUGAAUUUUAGUAGCUCAAUUGGUUGAUUAUAUGAAUUUUUACAUUUUUGUGAGUCAAUUUAUUUAUUUUAGUUUCACUAUCUUCAAUCUCUUUGAAUUUAUUUAAAAAAUAAUAAUUUAAUUUCAUCUGAUAUAUUAUUAUAUAUAUAUAUCCGUCGGUGAGUUCUAAAGUUUCUUUCUAUUAAAAUAAAAUUACAAAGAGAGUUGGCAAGCAAACAAAGAAAAUGCAAGUAAGAAAGAAAGAAGUAUAAGAAAAGAUUAAAANNNNNNNNNNNNNNNNNNNNNNNNNNNNNNNNNNNNNNNNNNNNNNNNNNNNNNNNNNNNNNNNNNNNNNNNNNNNNNNNNNNNNNNNNNNNNNNNNNNNNNNNNNNNNNNNNNNNNNNNNNNNNNNNNNNNNNNNNNNNNNNNNNNNNNNNNNNNNNNNNNNNNNNNNNNNNNNNNNNNNNNNNNNNNNNNNNNNNNNNNNNNNNNNNNNNNNNNNNNNNNNNNNNNNNNNNAAAAAAAACAUUUGUAUUUUCGUAAUUCAAAAUAACUCAAAAAAUAAUUAUUAUUUUUUGAAAUAGCUAUAUGUGCCGUCCUGUUUAUCCCAUCCCGUUCCGUUCCGGUCCAUUCCGGUCCGUCCCGGUUCUAUCCCGGUAUAUAGUGGGACGGGACGGAACCGAGCCUCCAUCCCGGUAGUUCCGGUCCGGUUCAUCCCGGUACCGGUCAACAACCCGGUCAAACCGUCCCGUUCCGGUCCGGUUCCGGUUCGUUCCGGUCCGGUGGUCCCAUUCCGAUCCGGUGCCCAGCCUUAUAAUCCCACUCAAACUUUACAUUCUCUCUCUUUUUGGUUUCAUUUUUUAGCCUUAACUAAUAAUUUGGGCCCCACGAUCCACAUGUCAAAAAAUGGGUGGAGCCUCUUCCAACUUUGGUUGGUUGGGCCUCACCCAUAGUAAAAUUUUUCCAGCAAUAACAACAUACUUGGUUAAAUCACAUAAAGAAUAUAUGUGUCAAAUGUCAAUUACUAAAAAUAGAGUCAAAAUCUAAAUGAUGGUCUAAAAAAGUUUUUUUUUUUUUUUGGGUAAAUCAACCUAAUAAUAGCAUAUUAAAUGUUUCAAGUAUGUGAAUCGAUUUUGUUUUCCGAUAGGAGACAAUUCUAUUUAGAUAGGCUCUACACAAGGCAUAUUCCAAUUAGUUGAAUUAGCGAAUACUAAAUAAAUAAAAAAGUAUCUUCCUCAUUCGAAGACUUCUUUAGAUGAGAAUUCGACAAGGUGGGAAACGAUUGCAGCCUUCUUAUUUUUAAUUUUGAAAAAAUAAAUCAAAGAAUAUUAUCGAAAUGAUCGAUGUCAUCCAUAUAGGUCAAUGUUGUUUUAAAAAGAUUUUUAUUUAAAAAAAUUAUUAUUAAAAAUAUAUAAGUGAGAAAAGUCAAACAUAUCAUUGUCAAGGCACUCUCCCCACAACGAUUAUUGUUAUCCUUACCAAAGAAUCAAAGUUCUUGUUUAAGAUCAACUGAGAAGAAAAAACCAAUAGCCACCACAAUUGUUCACAGAGAGAGACAAGUAAAGAGGGAAGCUCUUCAUAGAACAAUCGAUCAAAAAAUAGAAGAUUGUUGAUGACCUCUCAAUAAAGAUGGUCCAAUUUCUUCUAGCAAUAGCUAUAUUUGUAAUUUUCGUAUCACUUUACAUGUUAUGGAAAACAAAAAUUCAAGCCAAAAAUAGUAGUAAAGUCAUGAUAAAUCUACCUCCAGAAAUCCCAGGAGCCUAUUUUCCAAUAGGUCACCUCUAUUUAUUCAUUAGCAAAACUCCACUUGCACUAAUUUUGGCUAAUUUGGCAGACAAAUAUGGCCAUAUUUUUAGUAUUCGUUUAGGGAUACAUCGUGCAAUUAUAGUGAGUAAUUGGGAAAUAGUUAAAGAAUGUUUCACAACAAAUGAUAAAGUACUUGCGGGUCGACCCGCUUCAAGUGCUGGUAUAUAUCUUGGUUAUAACAACGCUGCGUUUGGUUUUGCUGAUUAUGGGCCUUAUUGGCGUAAUAUUCGCAAGUUGGUCCUGUUGGAAGUUCUUUCAAGUAAGAGGCUCGACCAAUUCAAGCAUAUCCGCGUCACGGAGGUACUGUUCAAUUGUGUGACCAUCUUAUUCCUCUAAUGAAAAUUGAUCUUUUAUAUGUUGGAUGACGAUGAAAUUUGAAUUCAUAACCUUUUUCUUUCUGUUCUAAGAUUAUGUUGAAAUCAUGUGUAUAUCUCAUUUCAAAUCUUAAUAUGUUAGAAAUGGUAUAUGUAUUCUUAAUCAUAUAACUAAAUUAUGUUUGGACUUGCCUGCUCAUGUGUGAACCUAAAAGUUUAAACGGUUAGAAAAAAAACUACUAUAAUUAAUUUUAAUUAUUUGACUAUUCUCAACAGGUAGAGACUAACAUCAAAGAACUAUACUCAUCAAUUCUGAAAAGUGGGAGUACAAAUCCAUCAAAAGUGAAUAUGAGUAAAUGGUUUGAACAAUUAACCUUAAAUGUUAUAAUGAAGAUGAUUACUGGAAAAAGAUACAAAACAGAAGAUGAAAAAGGGAGACAUUUCACAAGAACCACCAAAGAAUAUAUGUAUGAGUCUGUCCAAUUUGUUUUAUCAGAUGUAAUUCCAUUACCAUUUCUAAAAUGGUUUGAUUUUCAAGGGAGAAUUAAGUCUAUGAAGAAAUUGUCUCAAGAAAUGGACAAGAUUGUAACAAGUUGGAUAGAUGAACAUUUGAUGAAGAGAGAGCUAGCAAUUAAAGAUGAUGACCAAGACUUUAUUGAUGUGAUGCUUUCUAAGAUUGAUGAACAAUUCAUGUAUGGUUAUACAAGAGAAACAAUCAUUAAGGCUACAAUUUUGGUAAGUAUUUAAUUUUACUCGAUGCAUCUAAAGCUUGAAUCUUUUUUAAUUUAACUGUUAUAUAUAUUGACAACGUAAAAGAUAAUAUAUAGUAAUUUAGUAAAAUAAUAGUAGUAGUAAACUAACACACUUAUUCAAUGUCAUGUCAUCACAACUUAUAUAAACUAAAGUCUCACCAAUUAGACCUUCUUGUUGAGAAUAUUGUUGAUAUCAAUGCAUAUGUCAUUACAUAAAAAAUGAUCUUUAAACGUAGUUAAUUAACACUUUUUGUAUAUGUCCCUAAAAUUUAUAGCGACAUUGGAUUCAAUGACAAUUAAUUAAUGUCGAUAAAGACUUUAUCAAUGUAUUUUUGCCGCUAAAACUUGUUUUUGUUAUAGUGUGCGGUGUGCCAAGUAGUCAUUGUCACGGACAUGUUUUAAUUUCAUGUCAUAUUUCUCAAAGUCUAAUUAUAAGUUUCACUACAUUAUAUUGUUCUUUAGAACAUAAUCUUAGCAGGGUCAGACACUACUUCAAUUCACUUGACAUGGCUCUUGUCCUUAUUAGUGAACAACAAACAUGUAAUGGAUCAAGCACAAGAAGAAAUAGACAUGAAAAUAGGCAAAGAGAGAUGGGUGGAAGAGUGUGACAUAAAAAAUUUAGUGUAUCUUCAAGCUAUUGUUAAAGAGACACUUCGAUUAUAUCCACCGGGACCAUUAGCAAUACCACAUGCUGCUAUGGAAGAUUGUACCGUGGGGGGGUAUAAAGUUCCAAAAGGCACGCGAUUGAUGGUCAAUGUGUGGAAAUUACAUCGAGACCCUCAAAUUUGGUCUGAUCCUGAAAAGUUUAUGCCUGAGAGAUUCAUGAAAAGUCAUAGUGAGAUUGAUAUUUCUGGUCAGAAUUUUGAGUUUAUUCCGUUUGGUUCUGGUAGACGAUCUUGUCCGGGGAUUACUUUUGCUAUGCAAGUGACACACUUGACACUUGCUAGGUUGCUACAAGGUUUUAAUUUUAGUACAUUAGGGGACUUGCCAGUGGAUUUGACUGUGGGCAAUAGCAUAACUUUGCCCAAGGCAAAUCCAUUGGAGGUAUUUGUAAUGCCUCGUUUGGCACCUAUGCUUUACCAAAAUUAGUCGGAGCUCCAAUACGGGCUCCAGACAUCAAGUAAUAAAAAUAAAAUCUAGGAAAAAUUGUUUCAAGUGUUGUUAAUUUUGGUCAAGGAUUCCUCGUAUAAUAUUGGUGAAUAAUGUUUUGUUUUUUAAAAUACCAAAUGGGAAGUUUGUAAAUUAAUAUUCCAAAUUCAUACUAUAUUUUACGGUUUAUUCUCCCCCAAUGAAAGAUAUUCCCCCAUUUUAAUAUGUUUGUUGUCUCAAAUAUUUUUCUUUAUAAUAGUUUAUCUUUUCUAUUUUGCAAUUUAAUUCGAUUUUCUGAUUUUGUUGGUUUGAACACAUGAUUAUAACAUUAUUUUGUUCAAAGUAAUAUACUAUCAAUUGUGGAAAGUUGUAAACAUAAAUUUACAUCUCAAAUAGUCCGUCCUCGUUAAUACUUGAAAUAUAUAACUAAAAAAACUGAUAUUUACAAGUAAUAUAUACUCCACCCUUGAAAUUCCUACAUAUGGUGAAUAAACCAAGAAUUUUGCUAGAGAUUAAUUUAAGGAAAAUAGAAUAUUUUACUAUGAGAAUUAAGAAGAAAAAAAAAGGAUUAAAGUGGGCUGCAAAAAGAAUAAAAAGAGAUUAAAUAAUUUUUCUUCCUUUCAAUUUGUUUUUCUGAUUUUAACUUGAUAGAAGUUAAAAAAAUGAAGAAGAUUUUUCUUAAUCUUGUGAUCUUAAACUAAAAAUAAGUAUAAUUUAUUAAAUGAUUUUAUUGUCUUAAAAAGUCACAUGAAAAGUUAAAAUUAAAAUAUUAAUAAAAAAAUAACUUUUGAUUUAUAAACAAACUAAAAGGGAAAGUAAGAUAAAUAAAAUUAAAAUGAAGGGAGUAUAAAUAAACUUGCUACAAGGUUUUAAUUUUAGUACAUUAGGGGACUUGCUAGUGGAUUUGACUGUGGGCAAUAGCAUAACUUUACCCAAGGCAAAUCCAUUGGAGGUAUUUGUAAUGCCUCGUUUGGCACCUAUGCUUUACCGACAUUAGUUGGAGCUCCAAUAUAGACUCCAGACAUCAGAUGUCAAGUGUUGUUAAUUGUUAUUUUAAUAUGUUUGUUGUCUCGAAUAUUCUUCUUUAUAAUAGUUUAUGUUUUCUAUUUUGCAGUUUAUUUCAAUCUUCUGAUUUUGUUGGUUUGAACAUAUGAUUAUAACAUUAUUUUAUUCAAAGUAAUAUAUCAAUUAUGGAAAGUUGUAAACAUAAAUUUACAUCUCAAAUAGUCCGUCCUCGUUAAUACUUGAAAAAUAUAAUUAAAAAAACUGAUAUUUACAAGUAAUAUAUACUCCACCCUUGAAAUUCCUACACAUGGUGAAUAAACCAAGAAUUUUGCUAGAGAUUAAUUUAAGGAAAAGAGAAUAUUUUACUAUGAGAAUUAAGAACAAGAAAAAAAGGAUUAAAGUGGGCUGCAAAAAGAAUAAAAAGAGAUUAAAUAAUUUCUCUUCGUUUCAAUUUAUUUGUCUGAUUUUAACUUGAUACAGUGUUUUAAAAAAUGAAGAAGAUUUUUUUGAAUCUCGUGAUCUUAAACUAAAAAUACAUAGAAUUUAUUAAAUGAUAUUAUGGUCUUAAAGAGUCACGAAAAAAGUUUAAAUUAAAGAAUUAACUUUUAUUUUAUAAACAAACUAAAAAGAAAAGUAAGACAAAUAAAUUAAAACGGAGGGAUAUAAACUAUCCCUUUUCCUUGUUGUUCCACUAUACUCUUCAUUCACUUUUACUUACAAUAUUUUGCUCCUUCCCAUUAUGUACUUGAAUUUUAAGUUUUAAAAGUAAUGACACAAAAUUAGAAAAAAAUGGAAAAGUCACGAAUUCAUUUCAAAAUUAGGUGAAUAUUUAAUUUAGGUUAACAACCAAUUAACCACAUAUAUGAGGUAAGAUGAAUGUGAUCCCAUAUUUCUUAACCAAUAAUUUGAAUCAAAACUCUGUGAAUAAAAAAAAAAUCGAUAAAAAUUUUUUUGUUACGCAAUAUGAAUGUCGAACUAAUUGGUGGAUUUCGAGUGACAAAUUAAAAAUAGGGAAAAUUGUACAUAAUGACAAACUAUUAAUUCAAAUUAAAUGGUAUAAUUACACUUUGAUUUAAUUGUGUCCUGUAGCAAACUGUUUGCCAGCGCCUCUCUCCCUCAAACUCUCGCUCGCCACUCUCCUCUCUCGCUCACUCCAUCUGUGCUCGCCUCUCUCGCUUUAUACAACAAAAGUGUAUAAAUUGCGUUUCUGUUUGUAUAAAGCGAGAGAAAAUUGUAUAUACACAUGCAAAUACAUAUAUAUUCGUCCUAUACACUUAUAAUUAUACAAUAAAAAUAUUCCCCUGCCCAGUUNNNNNNNNNNNNNNUUGUGUUUGUAUAAAGUGAGAGAAAAUUGUAUAUACACAUGCAAUUACAUAUAUAUUCGUCCUAUACACUUAUAAUUAUACAAUAAAAAUAUUCCCCUGCCCAGUUCUCUUUUGUCUUUCUCUCUUUCUCGUUUAUACAACAGAGUUGUAUAAAUUGCGUUUCUGUUUGUAUAAAGCGCGAGAAAAUUGUAUAUACACAUGCAAAUAUAUAUAUAUAUUCGUCCUAUACACUUAUAAUGUAUAAUUUAUGUUUGUCAACGAUUUAUACAAACGAGAGGCUAACAACAAUUUAUACAAAUGGCCUGCCAGCGAAAUUAUACAAAUCUGAAGAGGAGCCAACGAAUUAUACAAUUGUUUCUUUUUGUAUAUAUGUAUAGCGAAAUAGACAGCUUUCACUUGUAUAUGUAUAGCGAAUAAUACAUAUAUAUGUUUGCUAUGGAGCGCAAUUAUGCAAACUUUGCUAUAACAUACAAAUAUGAUUUUUUUUGUUUGCUAUAUGUGAAAGUUACUCUUAAAAAUAUAUAUGAAGAAAAUUAGGUGAACAAACGUAAGCUUGGUUCAACUACAAUAUUAUUUGUUGCUAAUUAUUCUCUAAUAAUUUCCUAGUCAAAAUUGACUUUCUUGAAUAUUUAAAAAAAAAUCAAUGAAAACAGAUUUGUUUUGGACAAAUACAAAUACUAUUGUACAGUCAAACAAUAUCUAUUUUAGCCAAAGCAUGUGACUUUGUGUUUCACUAGUUAAACAUCCAAUACCACAAAUAUCUUAAUUAUUUUUAAUAAAAUAAUUUAUAGUCACACAAAUGUUUAUAUUUUUUUUAAAUCAUAAAUUUAGGGGGAUUUUUAAACUCUUAAUAUAUCAGUUGAUUGACUUCUUGAACUUUUAUAUUCUUAUUGACUAUAUUUCAAUCCCUAACUUUGUAAUUUCAUCUCUCAUUUCCUAUUUUCCUAAUAUUUUUUAUAUUUUUUUUCAUUCAAUUAAUUAUUAACCAAAUAAAAAAUAAGGAAAAAAAGGACCAAAUUUGACUUACAGUGUUGGGGGAUGACCAAAACACACCAAAUCCGUUAUGGAAAGUAUAUGUCCAAAUAGUAAUUUAAUGUCUUACAUAAUCCUAAUUAGGAAAAUAUUUUAAUAAUCCACGUGUUCAUUUUUUAUUGGUUACACUACGUAAACUAGCUACUGUAACCCUCCACGCUGUAUUUUCUCUACAAAAAAAACUCCGCCAUUUUCAAUACCUUAAAAAGCUUCUCAAAGAAAACGUUACAGCUCUUUUUUUCAUAAAAUUCUUAGGAAAAAAAAAGAAAAAAAACUCCGGCGGUCGGAAAAUGGGUCAAAAAGGGUAUCAAUCGCCGGCGAAGAAAGUGUUGUCAUGGAUUCGGAAAAAAUCGAAGAAAGUGAAAAUCUUUUUGGGUUUAAUCACAGCAAUCGUUCUAUUGGUGACUCUUAAGUUAGUUGUUCAUGAUCACAACCUCUUCUUUGUUAUAGCUGAAGCUAUUCAUUUGAUUGGACUUUUGGUUUUGAUUUACAAAUUGACAACACUCAAGACUUGCUCUGGUAAUUUUGAUUUCAGACAUAAAUUCUUUUUUAUUUUCUGUUAAUCUGAAAAAAAGAAUAUUUUUUUUGUGUAGUUUCCAUUUGAUUGAGCUUUGUGUUUAAAUUAAACUAGAAAAAUUGGUUUGUUUUGUGUUACUCUGUUACUGCUCUGUGCAAAAAAAAAAAUUUGCUUUGUGUGUAAAGAGUCCUUUUUUUUAUUUCUAGAUGUUUCUAUUUUCCACUUUUAGAUGGGACAUCUUGAAUUUUGGAAUUUGGGAUAUUCUUGUGGGGAGUUGGGAGAACUAAAAAAUGAAAUUUUGGCAUUUUUAAUUAUAUUUUUGGGCUAUGGGAAUGUAGCCCACCUCUACUAUGUGGUGCCCUUUUAUGAGAUUUUUUUUAUAGGUCAAAUGCGGAUUUUUUUUUGAUAAUGGGUGACACGGUGAAAUUCCAUUACAUGACAUUUGCUUGUUGUGAUAUCAUGUUGCCUCUGUGACCCUUUCAUCACUUUAAGCUUUUAGGGGUUAGGACUAUAUUAUAAUUCCUUCAACUAAACAUAAAGACAAAUAAUCGUGCAUUUUAUCCUUACACCUCAUACCAAAGACUCUUUAGAGAGAAACACACUUUUUGAUAUUUAAUUGUAUCUUCAACUGAAUACCCCUACUAAUACGACUAGACUAUAAGCCUUGGGGGAUAUAUUGUUGACCUUUCAAGGUAAGCCAUUUUCUGAUUAAUCUAUAUAAGUAAAACACAAUAUAAAUAGUGAAUAAAUAAAUAAAUUCAACACAAAGUUCAAGAUUAGACAGUUGAAUCUGACUAGAGGUAUUGUCAUGGAUUAUUCUAAUGCUAAAUGAAAGAGGGUGUGUAAUUUUUCAAUUUUUAAAAGGAGGGUGUGUCAGAUUUGCUUCAUAUGUAUGUCAAACUGAAUAUGGCUACUAUAAAAGAGGGCCAUUCUUUUCUUUAGACAGUUACUUGGUGACAUCAAAAAGAUGAUUCCUUUUUCUCAAGAAAACAGAAAGUACUUGAGGACUGUAAUUUUAACUUUAAUGUUAUAACAAUGCAAAUCUUUUACAUUCCUGAUUACGUGUUUGUUCAAUUGUCUGAUGCGCCUUUUGUACUCCUACAGAUCGAUAGAUGUAAGGUAGUAGGCUAUCUGUAUAUUCCUGUUGUAUGAAAUGUGUUACUUUGGAACCUUGUUAUUAUAGGCAGGAUGCAAGAAGUCCAAAUUGUUUUGCGGAACUUGUUAGAUUGUCAUUCUUUUUACUGGACCUGAAGAAAAGACCAUUAUUUUCAUAUGCUUUCUUCUCCUGUUUUGUUAGGUCUUUCAUUGAAGACUCAAGUGCUUACAGCUAUUUUUUUGGCCGUAAGAUUAUACUGUAGUUUCAUCAUGGAAGCAGAUAUCCACACUGUGCUAGAUUUUAUCACCCUUGUGGCAACAGUGUGGGUCAUUUAUAUGAUGAAGUUCAAGCUGAAGGCAUCCUACAUGGCAGAACUGGAUAACAUGCCCUUAUACUAUCCGGUAUACACAAUUUUCGUCUACAGCUCUUUUCUGUUAGAUUGUUGUUAAUCAAAUUCUGCAUUCUGCAAAUUUUUGAGUAAUUAAUUAAGCUUUUAUAGAGCAGUUACUUUUUUGUUAGAAAUGUUAUUUCCAUGUUUUAUUGUGUGAUUCCAUUUACUUCUGUCCAUGAUAAAACUUUGUUUUAUUUAUAUUGUUUUCUCCUACCCACAAUUACUUCCCUUAUCUAGACUUCUAUUCAUUCCAAAAGAAACAUUUAUUAUUUACGCACUAAAGGGAAGAUUAUGAACUUGUUGUUGGUGGGAGCCGGGUGGUAGCAGGUAUUCCAUGGAAUUAGUCGAGGUGUGCGCAAUCUGGCCUGGACAUCAUAGUUAUAAAAAAAGUAGUUUAGAUAGCAGGUAUUCCAUUGAAUUAGUCAAGGUGUGCGCAAUCUGACCUAGACAUCAUAGUUAUAAAAAAAGUAGUUUAGACAACUAAUUACGGGGCCUGGAGUCUUAUUACUGCCUUUCUGGAAGUAAAUAGAUUCCUGACCUUCUCGGCCAUGUUAUUUCUACUAAGCUAUAUGAUACAAGACAGUGACAUUCUCUGUAGAGAGAAAGUCCCUUAUAAAUGAUCUCUUGCAAUUAGAAUUGCUUCCUGAUAUUGCUUUUGAACCAUGCCACUCAUUUUGCACAGAUAGUUCCUGCCGCAGCUUUAGCCUUCUUUGUCCAUCCUACUACAAGCCAUAUUCUGAUAAACCGAAUGCUUUGGGCUUUUUGUGUAUAUCUGGAAUCCGUCUCAGUACUGCCUCAGCUUCGCUUGAUGCAGAAUGUUCAGGUUCAUAUCUCUUCUUCUCCAAAUGAUUAAGAAGAAAAUUCUGUCUUCUUCUUAAACUUGUCUUUUAAUGAACAAAAAACUAACAGUAUGUUCUGUUCUCGCAUUUCAGAUAAUUGAGCCAUUUUCAGCUCAUUAUGUUUUCGCACUGGGCAUUGCAAGAUUCUUGGGCUGUGCUCAUUGGAUUAUUCAGGUUAGUUUUGUAGAUUGUAGCGUUAUCUUGUUCUCCAUAACUUCUUGAAUUAAUAGCAGCUGUUUCAGUUCAGCUGAACUCAUUGGUCUCGUGUCUUGACUUGAACUAUGUAUAUGUAUAUGAAACCACUUAAAUUAUCAAUUUUUUUAAUAAGAUGACAUUCAUUCUGAGCUCACUGACUCUAAAUUUUGGAUUCAUCUCUACAAAUAAUUAAGUCCAAAUGGCAACAACAUACACAUUUCUCCAUUUUCAGCACGAAUCUAAAGCUAUAUAAUUCCGUACUUGAGAGUUACAACUAUUCCUAUACAGGUUUAUGACACUGCUGGAGCAUAUAUUUACUUGGCUGGACGUGGUUAUUUCUGGAUACCUACAGUCUUUUUGGCAGAAAUGGUUCAAACGUUCAUCUUGGCAGAUUUCUGUUAUUAUUAUGUAAAAAGGUGAGCCAUUUAGCCCAUGACUAAUUCAAGUACGGCUAUUCAUGUGAAUCCAACUUUCAUUUACAUGACUUUUAAACAAAUCAUCUUUUUUGAUUUGCAGUGUCAUGAGCGGCCAGUUGAUCGUUCGCCUGCCAACGCCGGUUUAAUACACCAAGAGACUGUAACAUUUUGUUAAUUCUUAAGUUAUUAUGUGGAAUUUCUCCAUCUUUUUCUUUGACAAAGAAGCAAAAGUUUUUGUUGUGGAUAUUGGAUAGAGACCGUGACUGGAACAAACUCCAUUUUGAAGAAUUUGCAGAACUUUGCCCUUUUGACGAAAUUUUGAGUAGUCUUUUCAGUUAAAUUUUAUCCGCAAAUAACAUUUUACAUCAAACAAUAUUAAUUUUCUCGAAGUGUUUUUAAUCAAGAAACAAUAUGUAUUAGUUAACUAUGAUUAACCAAAGGUCUCGGGUUGAGUCCAUGUAAAAAAUUAUGUUGGAAGUGCCAUCCCGAAUGGUUCCGUAGUGUGCCAUCUGAAUUUAGUCGGGCUUCAAUGCAGGCUCUAGACAUCGGGUGGGAAACCAAAAAAAAAAGUUAGGAAAAGCAUGAUAGUUUAAGCCCGAUGGCUCUUGAAAAUACUAUUUAGAACCUAAAUAGGUUGUGAUUCUAAUUUAGUUGGAUUUCAACGUGGACAUCGAACAAUAAGUCCCAAUUUUUUUUUAAUGUCUCAUACAACUGACAUGAGUACAUCUGUUUUGAUCUUCUUUGUAUAUCUUCGUUCCAAAAGAUUAAUCUUUUUUCUGGAAAACACAAGACAAUCAAGUUUUUUUUUACUGUAAGAUGUUGGAGCUUUUGAGGAAGAUGAAAAUGGAAUUGGAUUACACAAAGAAAAUUGAUCAAAUCUGCAAUUUGAGAUGAUAAGAUGUUAAUACAGUGACAAAGAGGGCAAUACAUAGAGAAAUGAUAUACUAAUUUCCAAACACACAGUUCGUAGAAAAGGCCAAAUUGGUGCUUUUGGCAAUGAAUACUGUACCUAUGAUGAAGCUAUAAAAAGCUUGAAUCUUUCUUGAACCAAGAUUAUUUUCUUGGGUUUCCCAUUUGGUGUCAGGAUUUUUUCAUAUGCAGGGCUCAAAUCCGAGACCUCUGAUUAAGUAGGAUCAACCUUAUCCACUGCACAACAUUCGUUGAUUGUCUUUGAACCAAGAUUCAUAUGUAAAUGAUCACAAUCUUGCAGUUGUGUUUUGAAGUUGCUUAUGUUUUAAUUUGCCUUUAUUUGGCAUGUUGUGUAUUGAUGUGAGUACUUCUUUGCAGGUUGAAACAAUAUGAAAAAUGAUGGAAGGAUGCAAUACUAUUAUAAUUCUCUGGCAAGGUAGGAGACUUGAGUCAUACAUAAGUUUGACCAUGAAAAUGUAAUCAGAUUUUGUAAAUCUGAUCUUAUUUUCAAACUCUUAUAAGAGCUUCUCAAAGAAAAUUUCUCAUAAAAAAAAAAGGGAGACUCAGCUGUUCGAAGAGAAGAGCUUAACGGAGAUGGGGCAAAAAGGGUAUCAAUCACCGGUGAAGAAACUGUUGUCAUGGGUUCAAAAGCAAUCGAAGAAAGUGAAAAUCGUUUUGUUUAUCAUCAUGGUGAUUACUCUAUUGGUGACUCUCAAGUUAGCCGUUCAUGAUCACAACUAUUUUUUUGUUAUGGCUGAAGCUAUUCAUUUGAUUGGGCUCUUGAUUUUGAUUUACAAAUUGACAACCCUCAACACUUGCUCUGGUAAUUUAAUUUCACUCAUGAAUUCUUUUUCAUUUUUUGUAGAUCUGGAAAACAAAUAUUUUGAUUUUUUGUGUGUAACUUUCAUUUCAUUUCAUCAAAUUUAUGUAUGCCAAAUAGAACGUUGCUGCUAUUAGUCGAUUACCACUGGACAAGGUGUUUGUGCAAUUGUUUGAUGCGCGUUGUAAGGUUGAAUGCUCUUGUUGUAUGAAAUGUGCUACUCAUGAUGCAACUAGUCUAAGAUCGAUUUGUUUUUACUUGUUAGAUUGUCACUUUUUCACCUUUCGUCUGAUAACUUACUUAUCCUGAUUUGUUAGGCCUUUCAUUGAAGACUCAAAUGCUUACAGUGAUAUUUUUGGCUGUAAGAGUAUACUGUAGUUUCAUCAUGGAAGGAGAUAUCCACACUGUGUUAGAUCUUAUCACCCUCGUGGCAACAUUGUGGAUUAUAUAUAUGAUGAAGUUCAAGCUAAAGACAUCGUACAUGGCAGAUCUGGAUAACAUGUCCUUAUACUAUGUGGUAAAUACAAUUUCAUCCACGACUCUUUUACGUUUGAUUGUUGUUGAAUCAAGUUCUGAUUCUGCUAAUUUCUUGAGUAACUUAGCUUGUAUAGAACAGUUACUUUAGUUGUAAAUAUUAUUUUCAUGUUCUAAUGUGUGAUUCAUUUACUCUGUCCAUGAUAAAACUUAACUUUAUGUGAAGUCAUCUAGACUUGUAUGUGUAUCUUUAGCAAAGGGAAGCAAGCAAAUUAAAAGGAACAAGGUCAAAAAAUUAUUGUUCAUGAUUAUGAAUCUGUUGUUGGCGGGAGGUAACAUGUAUUUCAUGAAAUUAAUUGAGAUGCACAUAAGUUGGCUCAUACUGUAUGAAAAAAAUAUUCUAACAACUAAUUAUGGAGCCGGAAGUCUUUUUACUGAUUUCAGAUCAAUAGAUAGUCAACUUGAUGUGGUUUAGCACAUUAUGCAUGACUUAAGUAACUCCAGUUAUAGCUAAGAGAAGUUAACUGAUAUUGCUAAUAUUAGAUUUUAUAUUCUCGUCUUACUAAAUCUAGUUGCAGAUAUAUGUGACAUUGCAUAGAUAGUCCCUUAUAAACGAUUUUGAAUUGUUUUUGACAGAUAGUUCCUGCCGCAGUUUUGGCCUUCUUUGUCCAUCCUACUGUAAAAAGUUAUAUUCUGAUAAAUCGAAUGCUUUGGGCUUUUUGCGUGUAUCUGGAAUCCAUAUCAGUGUUGCCUCAGCUUCGCUUGAUGCAAAAUGUUCAGGUAUUCAUAUCUCCAUUUCUUUUCUACAAAGACAGAAGAAAAUCGUCUUCUUCUUAAACAAAAAGUUAACAAUAUUUGUUUGUUACUUGCAUUUUAGAUACUUGAGACAUUUUCAGCCCAUUAUGUUUUUGCAUUGGGCAUUGCAAGGUUUUUGGGUUGUGCUCAUUGGAUUAUUCAGGUUAGUUUUGUAGUGUUAUAUAUCUUGUGUUCUACGUACACAUUUCUCCAUUUUGAUCGUCAAUCUAUGCUAAUAUAAUCUCCGAACUUGAAAGUUACAACUAUUUCUAUGCAGGUUUAUGACAAUGUUGGAUCACCGAUUUUCUUGGAUGAACGUAGUUUCUUAUGGAUACCUAUGGUCUUUUUAGCAGAAAUGGUUCAAACGUUCAUUUUGGCUGAUUUCUGUUAUUAUUACGUAAAGAGGUGAGCUAUUUAGAUCACAACUAAUUCAAGUUAUACUUUUAUGAAUCUAACUUCAUCUACAUGAGUUUUUUUUAAUAAAUCGUUUUCGAUUUGCAGUGUUAUGAGCGGCCAAUUGAUUAUUCGUUUGCCAGUACCUGUGUAAAAGGCUUAAGAGGCUGUAAUAUGAUUUUGUUGAAUAAUUCAUGUGAUAAUGAAACUCUCAAGUUCUUAUUUUUGAAAUAAAUUUUAGUGACUGAAUCUCUUCUUUUUUGACGUUUACAUUAAAUAAUCAGUAUUUUAAUUACGCAACAAUAUGUAUUGAUAUUUUUCAACUAUCGUCACGCUCUCUUGAUAUUUUUUUUAUACGGUUAGACAAAUAUUAUUCAAUUUUUUGAUUUCACCAGACUUUUCCAGAACAAAACCAACCGUGCGUCAUUAUUCGCCACGUGUACAUUUCAGCACAAAUUCCUAAGAAAAAACAUCAAAAUCUAUUUCUCCUCCUUGAUGGAAUAGAACUAUUCAAUAUUUCAAUCCCUUUUCUGUUCAAUCUGACACGUGUCACGAAGCUAUAACCUCAGUAAAACGUGCCGCCGUUAGAAUCCACGUGGCAGUCAAAGAAACAUGCUGGUUAAAUGCUUUACUUAAACGCUGGAUUAAUUGAUCAUACGUGUCAUUAAAACUCUCACGUCAUCGUUUCUUUUCACGCCACGUGGCAUUCUUCACUACAUUUACUGCUUCAAUAAAUACAUCUCCUAUUUUUUAUCUUCUUCGUAUAUCUCUUUUGUUCCUAAAGAUUCAAUCUUUUUCUUGAAAAAACAAAUACAAGAAAGCAAGGUUUUUUUUGUUAGUGCAAAAAAAAGAAAAAGAGAGAAGAUGUUGGAGCUAAUGAAGGGUGAUUUUGAUGAAGAUGAAAAUGGGAUUGGAUUGAGUUUAAGCUUAUCAAUUGGAGGAAAUUACACAAAGAAAAAUGAUCAAGUUUUCAAUUCAGAUGAUAAGAUGUUAAUAGAGUGGCAAAGGUCAAAAAAGAGGGUCUUACAUAGAGAAAUGAUGGAGAAUGAAGAAUUAAUUUGGAGAAAAAGCAAAAUUAGUACUUCUGGCAGUGAAGGUGUAAAAAGCUUGAAUCUUUUUAUGAAUCAAGAUUCAUGUGUAAAUGAUCAUAAUCUUGUAGUUCCAAUUUGCGAUCAUCGGAAUGUUGGGAAAAGGGAAUCGAUGAGGAAAAAUUGUCGAGGUUUUAGAAUUUAUAACUCGAAUACGAGUUAUAAUCAAUGUAGAAGUAGUGAGUCGAAUGGAUCUAUGGAGAGAUGUUCUUCUACAAUUACAAAAUGCCAAAGUUCGUCUCCUAAAGGUAAUCUAUUUAAUUUGGAGUUUAUUAUAGUAUAAUUAAUAACUGCAUAACUCUGAUCAGCUAUCAAAUGAUCCUAUGUGGGUUUGCAGGUAGAAGUAGUAGUAAUGUCAUGUCCAUCAAAGAGGAACAAGACCAAAAAACAGAGGAAAAGAGGAAUUGUGGCAUGAUUCAAUUGCUUUCUCGAAUGCCGUGUGUUUCAGCAACCGGUAAUGGCCCAAAUGGGAAGACGAUAAAUGGAUUAUUGUGCAAGUAUGAUAACAAAAUGGAGAUCAAUAUUGUUUGUGUUUGUCAUGGAAAGUCAUUUUCCCCUUCUCAAUUUGUGGAGCAUGCUGGGGCUGUUGAUUUAUCCCAGCCUUUAAAACACAUCACUGUAAUUCCCCCCUGUUUUUGAUGGAAUCUAACUGAUCUUUUAAUUCAACUUCUUUUUUAAUUUCUUAUAUUAAAUCGAGAUAGGCUUAAAUGAAGCGACAUGAACCAUGAUUUACUUAUGUUAAAUCGAGAUAGACUUUGAUUUCUUUUUGUGGUUCAAGUUGGAAUUCUUUUACAUGGAGUUGUGUCAUUGAAUUUUGAAAGCAACAUAACCCCACAAUGUGCGUACAAUGGAAGCAAUAAAUAAAAAUAGAAUGCGAACACACGAAGUAGUACUAACAAUUGGACGCAAUAAAUAAAUAAAUGAGUACAAAGUACUUCAAAUAAUUGAACAAAGAACAAAAAAAUAAGUACCACAAACAAGCAAUGUCCAAGAUUCUGUAAGUUGCAACUAACACCACCAAAUAAUGUUAGGGUCUUUUCCAUCGACCAAUUUGAUUGUGUCACUCUUGAUCUACCAUUUUGUUAUAAAUUAGUUGGACAAACAAAAUUAAUCUGGAUAAUAACAAAUUGAUGGUCAGAUAAAUUUGAGUCUAAAUAAUUACACAUCUUCGAUUUAUAAUAAAUUAUCGGGUAAACUUUUCCAAUUAUAUAUUUUUUUAAAUUGUGUAUAGGUCAAAACGUGACACAUAAAUUGAAUAGGGGGAGUAUUUCUCUUCUAUAUACGAAGCAUUUAGUGAACAUUGAAUAAUAAAAAGAGAAGUAUCCAAAACAUCUCUGAAAUUGGUGUAAAUUAUUAGUUUCAUUUUUGAAUAAUAUCGUUUUACUUGAUUAACUAAAUUUAAGUACACUCCUAAUCAGUCAUAUGACAUAACAAGUGCUCUCAAACUCUUCUAGGAGCAUGGAGUUCUUGAUUAAAAAAAUUCGAGAGAAGUGUUAAAAAAAUCCUAAACUAGGCGAGAAUUUAAAGAGUUGGUUUCAAGAAUUGAAAGAGUUGUAGCAAGAUCAAAUGUAUAUUUAAAUUAGGCUGUCAAUAAUUGAAGAAAAAUAUUUUAUUUAUGAAUGCUUAUAUUUCAUGACAUUGAAAAUAUGUAUUAAGACAUCCCAAUUUAUAAUACUAACAACUAAAAUAAAUUAGAUCUAUAACCUCUCUAAUUAACAAAUCUUAAUUAAACAUAAAUAAGUAAUAUCAUAAAUAAUAAAUCCUAAACGGCUUAAGAUUCUUAUUACAACUUUAAAUUAUUAUUCCAACAAUAGUUCAGUGAUGAAAUUAAUUUCAUGCCAAAUUCUAUCAAUUAUAAUAAAGACAUAAAAUCUGCUUAAUAUGUUGAUUUAAUCAAUAAUAAAUACUACUAAAAUUAGUACAAUAUUUAAUUUAAUUUAAUAUAUUUCCUCAUCUAAUCAUAUGAUUAAUAAUUAACUAAAAGUACUCCUAAUACUAGUAGUAGUAGUACUUAUUUUUUCGUGUGUAAAUCCACAUAUAUUAAAGUUUUAUAAUAUCCCACGAGUCACCACAACACGUGUAUAAAAUCCUCUUUGGAACCCUUUCUCUCUCCUUUUCCCACUCUCUCUCUCUACUCACGCCUCUUUUCCGAGAUCCACCACUCUCUCUACAGCAAAACCCUAGAACUCAAACCUUCCUCCUCCGCAUCUAGAGAGAGAAACACACAGACUGUACAUCAAACGUUCGCUCUUUCCACUGACCUGAUCCGAUACAAAUCCAGGUAUUAAUGUUUAAUUUUUUUGAAUUAAGUUUUUUUUUUUCACGAGAACAGAGGAUUCGAGUUUUUUUUCUAAUAUUUUUGGUUAAUUUUGUGUUUAGUGCUUUAAAUAGGAGUUCGAUUGAUUGACGAUGGCAGCGGAAGCAGCAGUGGCAGUAGCGGCAGUAGCACCAGUUUCUGCUCAAGUUGUGCGUAUAUAAAUCAUUGCGUUUAUUUUGUUUUGCUUUAAGCUGUGGAUAUUGAUUGAGUUUGAUGUGUUUGUGUAUAUAGGUUGCGAAUGCAUUUGUGCAGCAAUACUAUCAUAUAUUGCAUCAUUCGCCAGGGCUUGUAUUCAGGUUUUACCAGGAUAUAAGCAAGCUUGGACGUCCUGAAGAGGAUGGAUCCAUGUGUAUCACUACGACAAUGCAAGUAAGUGCAACUGAACUAAUCUUCGCGUAUACUAUGGUCCAUGUUAUUCCCUUUUCCCCUAUAUUGAUUUUGUUGCAGAAACUUGUGAACAAUGUGCCUAAAUAUGUGUUUGUUGGGUGAGGGAGUUGAUUGAUUGUGUGAAGAAUAAAGGAUUUGAAAUCUGUUGAAUUUAUUUUUAUUGCUUGUAGGUAAAGAUCACAUUUUUAGAUGAAAUUUCAUUAAUCAUUAUCAGUGUUAGGUGAUGACAUGUAAAAAAUACAUUUUUCUAAUUAAUAUCUGUACAUUUUAAUGGAAAAAGUGGUUCUUUGUCCGUUUGUUUCAAACUAAAUGCCUUACUUUGACUUUGCACAUAUAUUGAAAAGAUUGAAACUGGAAUAUUGUACUUAGUUGAGAGAGCAUAUUCUAUAUCGACCUUUAGGUUUAUGUAGAAUGAUGUAGAGUGAGAAGUUUUACUUAUGGGCUUUGUUAGCUGUGGAGAUGUUGGGUAUACUUGAGUUUUGAUGCAGGCUUUUUUGGGUUUGGAGAAAAUUUUAUUACCUUUGAAUGACUAAAACUGGUCAACCUUGAGAGGCUCACCUUUAGCUUCACUUUUUACUGCUCUUGUCUUGUUUACUCUAAUGAUCUUUUGAAUUAGCAAUGCCGGAGUUGCUAAUGUUCUUUUGUUUGAUGUCAAACACAGGCAAUAAAUGAUAAGAUACUCUCACUCAACUAUGGAGAUUUCAGAGCAGAGAUCAAGUCUGUGGAUGCCCAAGAAUCCUUUAAUGGCGGGGUGCAUGUCCUUGUAACUGGAUAUUUGACUGGGAAAGACAACUUGAUCCGGAAUUUCUGUCAAACUUUCUUCCUAGCACCGCAAGAUAGGGGGUACUUUGUCUUGAAUGAUAUGUUUCGAUAUGUAGAGACUGCCGGUCAGCAUGAUACAGUCCACGUUCCAGUAAUUGAUGCUGUGGCUCCUGUCACGCCAGAGCAAAGUAAUUGCAACAAUUGUUUGGUUCUUUUGGCAAUACCCUAAUUAGCAACUGACAAAGUUUUUCUUUUACCAGUUGUUGCAGAUCCACCUACAGUACCGCAGAAUCACAUUCCCGAGCAAAGCACUCCACCAGCGGAGGAAGCUGAUGUGGGAGAAGUUUACAACCCAUCUGAGAAUGGUGAUGUGACUAUUGUUGAAGAGGAAGUGCCUGUGUCUGAGGUUGUCGAUGAAGUCCAAGAUGGCUCUGAAGUGGUAGCUGAAUCUGACAACAAAACUGGGGAAGUUCCUAAGAAGUCAUAUGCUUCAAUUGUAAGUGGUCAUGGCAACAAAUAACUGGAUGCACAUUCUUCUUAGCGUAUACUUUCAAGGGUUUGAUUAGCAACAUUAGCACCUCUAUACUCAUAUUUGCUACCAAUAGUUUAGACAUAUUAGCAUCUGCCAAGUCUAGUUGGUCUGUAGUCAAAGAUGAUUCAAGGAUAGAGAAGGUCUAUUCAAAAUUUCUUAGUUAAGAAAAUUUGCAAUUUAUUUCAGGUCAUGCAUCUCAAGGAAAGUGCUGCAACCUUCUCCCCUCCUCCAGCACCUGCUUCUAGGAAGCCUAUGACAAAGAGUGUUGUGCAAGUGAAUCAGCCUGCUGCCACAGCAACUGAUGGCCCAUAUUCCAGUUCAGAUACCAUUGAUAACAUAAAUAACACAGAAGGCAUGCAAUUGCAGAGUUUGCUUCUACUUUUUCAAUCCAUUUGGUGUUUUUUUUUCACUAUGAGUUGUGUUGAUUUCUCAUUCUUGUGUUUUUAAAUCACCUCCAGCAGCUGAUGGCUACUCAAUCUAUAUAAAAGGCUUGCCUAUGAGUGCAACUGUGGCAUUACUUGCGGAUGAGUUCAAGAAGUUUGGGCCAAUAAAAAAUGGAGGAAUUCAAGUCAGAAGUAACAGGGUAUGUUUGUUUGUGCUAUUUUCCUGCUAAUCAAAGAAAAAAAAAUCUGAAUCUGUGCAUUCUUUUGCUAUAUGUUCUUCUGCAUUAAUGGAUUCUCUAAUCAUAAAUUGGUUAAUGGCAGCAACAGGGAUUUUGUUUUGGAUUUGUGGAAUUUGAAGUGGAAAGUGCUGUGCAAAAAGCAAUCGAGGUAUCUCAUCUUUAUCCCUCUUGCAUGUCAUGUAUUAUAAGAUGGAGCGGGUGAAAUCAAGAGGAACAGUAGCUUAAAUUUAUUUCAUCAAGUUCAAGAGUUCUGUGAAAUGCAUAAGAAGUCUUUGAGCAGUGAGAAUCCAUAUGCUCUUCUUUUGUUAGUUGUUUUGAGUAACCAUAUUAUCCACCUUCAGCAAAUUGAUGGCACUGGAUUGAGUUAGUAUUACUUUUUAAGGUCUUGAUUAAAUAUUUAAAUUGAGUCGAUACUUUUAGCCCCAAUUUGACUCUAUCAUUGUUUAGUCAUCCUGCAGCGGAUGAUUAGUAGUUCAAUGCCAUGCAAUAUUCUAACUAGACCCUCAGUUGAAAAGAAAUUUAUGUCAUAAGGUUUAAAUUGGUAGUUCUUUACGGGUUAAUUUGGGAUUUAGUAAAAGAUUAGGCUGAGUUUAAUUGCAAUUCAAUUAAGAGAAUGAAGGAUAAUUACUUAAGUUUAAUUUGUCUGCUAAUGUCUGGUUAUUAUGGUAUCGCUAGUUGACCUAAACUUUCGGUUGGAUUGAUUUGUGUUGCCUAUCAAUGAAUGUAUUCCCUGUCGAACCUGUAAAAUUCAGGUGGCUUACACGUUUGUGGAUCAAAUUUGGUACUUUUUAAGUUAACUACAUGUUGCUUGAAUAACCUUAUAGAAGUGUGGCGGCUUACAGUUUUGUGGGUCCUACUUUGAUACCCCUUAGCUUUUAGUAUGGAUAUGAUUAACAUGGUCAAUCACAUUAGUUUUGUUAACAAUUCUUAUUGUCACCUUAGUAUGGAUAUGAUUAACAUGGUCAAUUCGCAUUAGUUUUUCCCCAUCCGAUGCGUCUCUUUUCACCUGCCCAGUUUACUUUUGGUUUUGGGCUUCAUUUUCUACAGGCUUCUCCAGUUCUCAUUGGUGAUCGGCAAGCAGUGGUUGAGGAAAAGAGGUCUACUAAUUCUCGACGUAAGUUUUAACCAUUUUCCUUUUAAGUAAUUAGAAUUACUGAUGCAUAAUCACCAGGAAAAAAUUGCAUAUUUGAUGUGUUUUUGGUGUAGUGAAGGGCGUGUUUCCAUAGUGGCUGCUUCUGUUUUGAUUUUUGGAGAAUAUUAUGUUGUUAUAUCACUUUCCUGGAAAAGCAUUGUGAAAAGAAAAAAGUGCAGAGCAAUAUUAUUACUUUUUCACAGUGAAUCUAAAUGUCUUCUCUGCUGCAGUUAACACCAGAGGUGGUGGUAGGUUUCAAUCCGGAAGGGGUGGUGGAUUCAGGAACGAUGGAGGAAGAGGGCGAGGAAACUAUGUAGGUGGCAGGGGCUAUGGUCGAGAUGAUUUUAAUGGAAGAAAUGAGUUCAACAACAGGGGUGGGAAUCGUGGGGGUUCAUCAAACCGUGGAGGUGAAGGAUAUCGGCGAGCUGACAAUACAGGUGGUGGGCGAAUGAGUCGUGGUGGUGGAAUGUCUAAUGGAACAGCCAAAACCCCGACACCUCGCUAUUCUGCUACAGCUUGAAGAGUAGUAGCUUAGUAUUAUUAUUUGAAUUGACAUUUAAAAUGAUUUAUUUUUAAGCUGAAGAGAAAUUUUGUCAAGAGCUAUGAUGUUUCUCAAAAAGCUCUUUUUGCUAAGUUUUCUAGUUCAAUUUUUUUUUUUCUGGUUAAUCGGAUGGGUGGAGGAAGGAAUGAAGUUUUUUUUUUUUUUUUAAGUAGAUUUCUUUGUGUAGCAUACGGGUGUUGGAGCCCCUAGCAAGAGAUUAUACGUCAUUCGUGGGCUUUUGCCUUUUUUGUAUUGAAUUAUUGUUGGGGGCUUGUGGAAAUUUAUUUAUUUUAAUUUCUCUUUUCAGUUUGACAAAAGAAAUGUUUUUAUUUUAUUUUGUUAUAUAUUUGGAUAAGCUUGUGCAUUGGGGACGCAUAUUACAAACCUUGUAAAACACAAGAGUAGGGAUGAGUCUGGAUCUGGUAUAGGCAUAAUGUUGAGAAAAAUGAACAAUGGGUCUAAUUCAAUCGACACUUAACAAGAAUGAGCUAACGUUAGAUCCAGCUCAGUCUGAUAUUUAAGAAGUCAAACCUUGCAAGUCUAACAAGGUUAAUAACAAUUGGUGCCCAUUUAAGCACCAAUUCACAAUGAAUGCACCUGCAUUUUGUUGGCUAACAGCAACGUAUUCAUCAGAAUCAUAUAUAAGCAGACUGAGAAAUCAUCUAAAGUGGUCUCAUUUUCAUAUGAUAAUAACAACACACUUACUGAUCAUAAGCAUCUGAUACAAGAUAUUUAAAGUCGACGGCCUGGAGGAAUCAUUCAGCAGUUUUGGGUACUGUUUAUUGUUAACGAGAGAGUUCACUUGCAAACAAGAUUGUUGUGUAUACGAAGCUCUAAAAUCUAAAUCAAUAUUCAAAAGGAAAUCAUAUCUAAAACACCACACCAGAGUGACAACAAGAAAAUAAGUUGCUUAAUCGUGAAAUCUGUAAUACAUUAACCCACAAAAUUGCAAAUAUCUCAACUCUGACAGUAGCCUUCUGAAAUAAUAUAACAAGAUAUAUUAUUUUUACUUCUGGUCCAUAAAAAUAGUAAACAUCGUAUAGACAAUUGAAAACUAAAGCUAAACUGCUGCUCGAGAAAAUAAAUAAGACUUGGAUAGACAAGAUACCACCUACGGCAUAGAAAAUGAACACUAGUUUUCCGUGUGACAGAGCAGGAACAAGUCAUAUUGAGGGAUGCUUGCAGGAAUAGCUUGCUGAACCCGACAAGCAAAUAUCCACCUGAUCUCAUGUACUUAGAAACCGAAAUUACACCCCUGCACGUACUCAUUUUCAUAAUCCACAUACUUCGUCCAUAGAGGCCGA